AUGUUAACUAACCUCUUGUUUAAGUGUUGUAAAUGCCUCAAAUGUGAUAUAUUCGAGCAACUAAAUUUGAGAUAUGGGGCAAGCGUAACAAGACUCGAAUUAGAUUUUUUUUUUGAGUAUUUUAGGAUAAAAAUAUGUAACUAUGGAAAUGAGUGAAGGAGGCUUGGUAAGUCUUUUAUAUUGGUAUGGCUCGAAUUAUAUAAUUAAAAACAUGUUUUUAAAUUUUAAUUUAUAAAAUCUGAACAGAUGUAAAAUAUAAAAGAAUAAAAUAUAAAACGCAUAAGAAGGGCUGAAGGAUGAUAAAAGAAUCUCAUUUUAUAUUCAUAUCAAAAUUGGACUUGAAACCAUGGUCUUCUUGGAUUUAAACAUAUGGAACAAUAAUUCACUUUACAAGAGAGGUGAACACAUUAUUUCCUCUUUACAACUAAAUAAAAUGAUCAAUAAUGUCCCCGUGAAAUUAGUUCAGUUGGCAUAGACUAUAGACAUCAAAUAAUAUAUGCAAGGGGUCAAAGUUCAAAUCCAGGACAUCUCACAUAUUAACCUUAAAAAGAUGAAUUUCUAACCAUUAACAUACUUGAUAAAAAAAUUGGCCAAUAACGGUGAGCAAAAAGUCCAUGAAAAUUGUUUUUCUCACAUCAAAUUUUACUUAAAAAUACAUGAAAAAUACCAUUUUACCUUCAACUGCAGUUAACUGUUGUUCGAUCAUUCCAACGGUAAUUAACUACCGUUCCACAUGUACCGUGGAGCAUGAAAAUUGAGUCAAUCAGGCAUAAGUUAGUCAGGCAACAAUAGAAAUAUUGGGGAACAAAACAGGGUUUAGAAUUGGAAAAAUUUAAAAGAAAACCAAGACGAAAAAAAUUCAAUUUAAAACGUGACUCCAUGCUCAUAAUCCACUCUGCAGUGCUCCAAUUGUAUAUGUUCAUAAAAAUUAAUUUUCAUGCUCUGCGGUGCCGUUGGAGAUUUUUUUUUUUUUUUUUUGAGUUGUAUAAGUUAACUGUAAUUGGGAGUAAAAUGAUAUUUUUCUAGGUGUUUUUAACCAAAAUUUGAUGUGGAAAAAGCAAUUUUCAAUGUCCAGUAGCAAAAUCAUACGCUUCUUGGAUUUGAACAUAUGGAAGUCCAGUCUAUUCAGCAACAUAAAAUGUUGUAUCCAUCAUAAAGAUAGAUUUUUUAUUUUCAUACCCCCCUACAGAUCCUACUGACCCUAACUUUAUCAAAAUCCCCCUAUUUUAUUAUUCUUCACAAUUUUUAAUUCUUCGGAUUUAUAAGUUAGUAGUGUUGGAACAAAAUAUGUCUAAACAAUGUCUCUUAAGUUUUGAUGAUAAUAAGAUAUUAAAAGUUCAAUUGAAUAUGUUAAUAUUUGUUCAAGUGUGCAAGAUCAUAUACUAAAAUUUAUUAUGUGUUGAUCAAAGAAUUGGUUUUGAAAGAACAAAUUGAAGAGAAGGUGAUUUCAUGAGAAGUUGUUGUAAGUCAGACUCUGAAGAUCUCCUAGACUCUAAAGGUCAGGAUCUAGACUAGUUAAAGGACAAAGGAGCUGAAGCUUUAAAGAUCAAGCCUUAAUUAUUGUGAAGAUCAUGCACAAUGGUUCUGAAGAUAUCAGAAGGUCAAUGGAUGUCAUUUUCAAGUUAAGGUACAAGAAGGACAACAGUGUACGACCACUACUCACUACCUCCAACAUUCUGAUGCGCGUUGUACUAAGAUACAUAUGUGUCUCUAUUGAAAAAGAACGGUUAAUUCCUUUUCAAGGAAAGGAUUCAAAUACAUUCCUUCAUAAGACAUUAACCAAAUCAAACAACAAAUCAAUAUUGAACGAUCAAGCUUCUCAAAAGACUCUUUGAUGCGCUGACACUCUCCAACGUCUCUUUUCUACCUCUAUAUAAAGGAUUGAAGAUAUUACAAGACUCUGCAAUAUUUUACAAGUGCGAAAACUCUGUCAAAUUCAUUACGCAUCAAACACUUAGAAUUUCUUAUAAAUUUUCAUAUCUUAGAAAUUCUUAAGUCUAGAGUCUCAACUGAUUUGUAUUUGUGAACACCUCUGAUUGUAUAUCAAGUGUUCAACCAAACAAUUAUUUCUUUGUAAUCUUUGUUUGUUAGAAGUUUCUUGCUUGUGUGCUUGCGAAUAUGAAGUAUUUUGCUUGUGUGCUUGAACAAUUGUAAUCUUGUGUGAUUAUAGUGAAAAAUCUCAUUCUAAGUGAUAAGGAGACUGAACUACUUCCAGGUUGUGGAAUGAACCAGGAUAAUUGCUUGUGUCUCUUUCUUCUCUCUAUCUCUUAAUAAUUUGUUGUACGUAACUCUGAAAAUUGAUUCAGGUUCUGAAUUCUAUCAAAAGUUGAACUUUGGACUUGGUUAAAAAGAAGAAAAAGUUAACACAAUUCAACUCAUUUUCUUGAAAAAAUAAAUAAAUUUUUAAAAAUGAAAAUCUGAGUUCUUUGGAAGAGAAAAAAUUACCAAAGUUUUUCGGAAUUUUAAAACUCAAAUAAUUUCAAAUUUCUUACCAACAUUUUCUUUUUUAUUUAUAAAAAAUAAGGGGUUAAAAUCGUGAAUAGAAUUUGUUUUAAAUAAAUUAAUAUUUUUUUUGCAAAACUCACAUUAUUCAGUUUACUUUUACGAGAAACUUUAUUUUAAAAAGAAAAAAAAAACAUGGUUAUAACCGUAGCAAAAUUUCCUUUUACUUUAAAAAGAAUCUCUUUUACAAAGCACCCAAGUUUAGAAUAUUCUGAAAUUUUAUAAAACUCAAAUUUGAGUUCUUCAAAGAACAUAUUUCAAAUAGCUCAAAUUUGACUUAUGAAAUUUUGAAAAACUUCAAAUUUAAGUUUUCUAAUAUUUAUUACUUGACAAAGUUAAAUAUAUUUUUUUUUGUGUGGGCUAAGCAGGCUAGUUAUGUUUUUGAUAUUCAUAAGUGGUGGUCGAAUUUCCUCCUAUGUUUAGGUAUCAACUAGCACUGUUGUGUUGUUAUUUAACUGAUUGUUUGUACAUUUAGAAGUUUCUUUGAUACGCCUUGUGUUGAGGGGAUCGUUUUGGUAUUGUUAAUAUAAUUCUUUUUUGCUUAUAAAAAAAAUAUUUUUAUCGACUCUUUUAAAAAGCUUUUCUUUUAUCCUACUGAGACAUCAAAAUCCAACGUAAUUUUUUUUUUUUCACAGAUUUUUCUAGUAAUAUGAUCAAGUGUACAUUUAUUUAAAUAUAUAUUGGAGUACAUGGUUGGAUUGUAAUUGUAAAUACGUGGGUCUAUCUUCACCAGCACGAUUUAGUGAGCUUUCAACUUCUCUCUAAUCUUUCAAUAUAAAAAAAAGAAAAAAACAUUGCUUCCCUAAAUUGAUUAAAUGCAUGUUUGAAUGUUCAAUGAGUUUGAUAAAAUUACAGUCAACCAUAAUAAUUUUAAAAAGUUUAGUUUUUAUUGAAUAACUCUAAUUCAUCGUGAUUUUGAUAAAUUAUGUGUAAUUUCAAAAACACACACUUUAUACAGGUUUGAAAUUUCAUUGGGUUUGAACAAAUGAUAUUGCUUAUAAUAUUUUAUCAAAGCUUUAAAACUUUUUUUUUGUUAAUUACCUUUUUAAUUCCAUAACUUUAAAAUCGAUCCCUUUCCUUAUUUUAAAAUUUUAGUCUGGUAUUCAAAAUUUAAAAUCAAUUAAGUUAGUGUCGACACAAUUUGGCCCCCCAACCUGACCCUUAAUAGAUGGAUGUGAUAGUAUAUUUUAUAAAUUAUAAGACCAAGUUACGUUAACUUAGAUAAAUUUAAUUUAUCGUAAAAGAAAUUAGAUAAGUUAAACGAUGAAAUUAACCAACUUUAAAGCUAACAAAUUUAUUGUUGAUAAGGAUAGACUAUUACUUUUUCCACCCUAUGUCUUUCCUUGCGCGCCCUAUUUUUUUCUAAUUUUACCCCUCGUCCGGAUUUCGUUUUCCGGAUCGUAUUGUUAGAAUUUUGCAGAUGUUUCCGAGUUUGAAAAUCCGGAAUAAUGUUUUACCCGAAGUUUUGCAAUUUUAAUCUUCAAAAUUCGUAAAAUAAAAUGCAAAUAAAAUAAAAAAAAACAUAAAUAAAAAGACACAAACAUAAAAACAACUCAUUUUAUUAAUAUAUGAACAAUACAUUACAAUAAUUUUCAAGCUUUUUAAGCUUAUUACAUAAGAUCCUAAAUCUAUUUCUAAUCUCCUAUGAGCCUAAUUCUAAUCUCCUAAGAGCCUAACCACUGGUAUGUGAUGGGACAUACCAGUAGUUUGCCUAUUGGAGGAAAACCGGAUGAGGAGGGCGGGAAGAAGAAAACAAUGCCCCUGAGGGAGAUGGGGGGUGCUCAAACUUACGCACAGACAUAUCAUGCUAAGAAUCACACUGACCCACAUGACCCUCAAAUGAACCGCGCUUCGUUGCAGCGAGGUUCCAUCCUCAUUGACCGUUCAUACAAACCCUGAAAGUUUUCAACGAGGCCCACAUCUAUGAAAGGCCAACGGUGGAAAACCAUGGUUGUAGAAGGAAGAAGAGGAGGAGAGGAUGGUGUGAGAAAUGGUGGGGUUGGAAGACUAUUUAUAGGGAGGGGUGGGUCAAAACGGUUGGGAGGCCAUAAAUGCAGUCAAAAAACGCAUUUUACCACGUUUUUUUUACUUGACCACCGACAAAAACGUGUGGUGCAGACCACCGGCCAUGACUGAUGCAUUCCGGAAUAUAUAAUCUGGAAAGCACAUCUGUUUUCCGGAAUAUAUUUUCCGGAUUAAUGCGAUAAGGGUGGCAAACGAGGGAAAAGUUGGCACUUCCCAUAGGGCUAAGGACAUUCCGGAAAGAUUCAGAGCCAUUAAUGUGGGUUUGGAUGGUUACAACAACCACUAACACGUUUUCAUUGACUGUAUUAAUGACCUAGGACUUGUUUUAGGCUAUAAAUAGGCUUCCAUCUUCAACAAAGACCUUCAUUCUUCACUUCAUCUCUUUUCUUACAUUUUCUUCAAAUGUUUUUUAGUUUUUUAGCGGUGUCGAUGGUGUCAUGGUCAUUGUUGACCGUUCAUAAGAACCCUACAAUUGCAAUGCGUUGCAGCUUGUGUGGAGUUCAUAUAACGGUUAACAGAGACCCUUGACAUCAAAGAAUGACACAUAAAAUUACAUAACUUGUCCGAAUUUAUGUUUCCGAAAAUCACUGACAAUCUGAUCCGGAUUAUGUAAUCCGAACCAGGGGUAUUUUAGUAAAUUUUGUAGGAUGGGCGAGAAGGGAGCAUGGUGGAAAAAGUAAUAGUCAUAAGGAUAUUAGGGCUUUUAAAAUUGUUGGUGUAUUUGUUAUGAUUCGAAUUGGCCUUGUCUUUGCCUAAGUUAAUUUCUUACUCCCUCCAUUCCAUAAUAAGUGAGCAUUUUGUAAAAAAAUAUUAUCAUAAAAUAAUGACAUAUUUCACUUUUCAAUACAAUAUUAAUUACUUUUUUUCAAUUAUAAUUAUAAUUAAUAUUAUUUUCAUUAUUCUCAAUUCAAUAUAUUCCAAUUUAUAUUUAUGAUGAUAAAGAAUGCAUUAAUACUUGAUAAAAACACUUAAAACUAUUUUUUUCUCUUUUAUUUAUAUAUAUUUUUUAAUAUAUGUAAAAUGAGUAAAUAACUCACUUAAUCUAAGACAAGUGAAGUAUAUUUUAUGACUCAUCUGAACAAAGCUCGCACUACAACAAUUGUUUUAACUUCUCCUCUUGCAUGCUUUUUUUAUCAUGAUUGACAAUCUGUUUUGAAAGUUCCUUAAUGGUUUGUGAGAUAAGUUUAAUUUGAGCAAGGAUUGCAUCUCGGUGGCAUUUUAUAUGGGAAAGGUUAAUCCUUUCCUACCAUGGGAAAUUUGGAUUUAAUGAUUAGAUUAAGUGAAGAACAUAUUCUUAACAUGCUCUCUCAGCACUAGAAUUUUCUUCACACUAUCUUCCAACAAUUUAAAAAUUCAAAAAAUUAAUUUUUAGAAAUUAAAAAAAUAUAAAAAAAUUCAGAUAAUUUUUUUUUUAAAAUUCUGUAAGUCAUUUAUUGAAUGUUAGAUUUUUCUUUUUGAAAAAAUGAAAAAAAAAAUUGUUCAGAAUUUUCCAGAAUUUUAUUUCAAAAAAUUUUCAGAAACCUUAUUUUCCAGAAUUUUAUUUUCUUAGAAUAAUAAAAAACUUUAAUUUCAAAAUAUUUUUUUUAGGAUUUUUAUUUUAUUUUUCAGAAUAUCUUAUUUUAUUAUGAAAUUAAAAAAAUAUAUUCUUUUUAGAAAAAUAAAAACUUAUCUUAGUUUCCAAAAUUUAAAUUUUAUUGAAAUAAUUUUUUUUUUCAAAAAAACUGAUUUUUUUUCGAUUUUUUUAAUUUCUGAAAAUUAACUUUCAGAAUUUUUAAAUUAUUGGAAGAUAGUGUGAAGAAAAAUCUUGUGUUGAAAGAGCAUGUUAAGAAUAUAUUCUUCACUUAAUCAAAAUCAUUGAAUCCAACUUUCCCUUGUGAACACACACCUUGCAUCUCUUUGUCCAUAUCAUCAUUGUUCUUGUUGUUUAAAAUGUAUCUUGAAAAACAAGGUUUGAAAACUCAAUAGAUUGUACUGGAAAGAUACGGACCCACCUAUUAAUAACUCAACCAUGGUUUUUUGUUGUUGAUGUAUACUUGACCAUGGUUAAAUAUGUAUGAGUAUAAUUCAAUCAUGUUUUUUUUUUUUUGUUUUAAAGAUAAUUCAAUCAUGAUUGUCCUCGUAAAUAUAACUCAGUUGGUAGGAACAUGCAUUGUUAUAUGUUGGGAUCGGAGUUUCAAUCCGAACACCCCACUUAUUUUCUUGAAAAAGAUGAAUUUUAACGACUAGACUAACUGCCAAAAAAUUCAAUCAUGAUUGAAUCCUACUCCAUAUAUAUUUAAAUACUAAUUAAUAUUUUACGGACACUAGUUAAAAAAUUAAUAAAAAUAAAAGUAGUUUUUUUUUUUUUCUUUCAACCACACAAAUGAUAAUAACUUUGUUUUUCAUGGAAUGAAGUUUAAGGGAACUGGGAUUCAAAAAAUUAUCAUCAAAAUUUAGAGCACGCUCAUAAAAUAAUUUACAUAUUUGUCAAAAAAAUAAUUUACAUAUUAUAUAUUAACGAGAUGUUCUCCAAUUGUUCAAAAAAACGAGAUGUCCUAUAACAGUAGUUGGAUUUGAAUUUAUGUUCAAUUUUUUUAUAAGAUUUGAGUUGAAUCUUUACUGAUUAAAUCAAAGUACGUUAAUUGUGUCAAAAAAAAAUACAAUAAUUUAUACAUUAAUUGUGAGAAAUUAAAAAUUAUAUAUUAAUAAAAAAAUAUCAAAAAAAUAAUUUAUUUAAAUGAAUACUAGACACUUAAUAUAAAUUAAUACUUUAUUAAAAAAAAUUAAUACUUAAAUAUUUAUUUAGAUAAACUAUGGAGUGUAUGCGGAGGGCUGACAUCCUAGACCCCAAUAACAAUUUACAACACACAUGAUUUUAUGUACAAUUAAUGGCUGAGUUAGGAAAAAGUUUGGAUGGACCACAAAAAUAAACUAUAAUAUAUAUAGACAAAAUUUAUGAUUUAACAAGUAUUAAGUAUAAAGUUGACUAUCAAAAAGUUAAAUUACAUACUUUAAAAAUUCAAAAUAAUUAUCUAUGUAUUUCGAUUGACUUGAAAGUAUGAUAAUAAUGCAUACUGGGGUGAAGUGUAUGUUUGGAUUCACUUAUAGAGGGACCAGAAAUGAUUAUGGAGUCUAGAAUUGAUUAUAACCUCUUAGGUUGUUGUCGAGUAGAAUUGAUUCUACUUGAACCUAGGAUUUUUAAUUUUUGAUUCUAAAAUUGAUUUUCGCACACACGAAUUGAUGAGAUCAAGAGCUCAUUUCUAUGAACACGAUUCCUUAAUUCGCUUCCGAAGACUUUCUGAUUCUCAUCACAAAUACAUAAUUCAACACAUUUUUAUAUGAAAAGUAUACAGACACAAAUUAUUUUUAAUCAGAAUUACUUUUCACCAAAAUCAAUUAUAUCAUAAUCAACUGUCCCCACCGAACAACCAAGCAUAUGCAUAGAAGAGGGUGGAUCACAAUAUAAUUUUAUUUAAAAGUCAAAACCUCCCCUAUAAAAAAAUAAAUAAAUUGUUUUGAUGGGGUGCGGCGCGAUUCACCCGAGUCUUAGAGGGACUCCACUCCUAUGUCUAAUCAUAUUUGAUGUCAUGCGAUUAACGAGAAUUUGAAUCCUAAAACUAAAUUUAGUGCAUAUAAUUUAUGGACUAAUUUGAUAAUAAGCGAUAUGAUUUAAGAACUAACUUGAUAAUAAGUGAAAUAAUCCAAAAAUAAUUUGUUAGUAAGUGGUAUAAUUUAGAGACUAAUCAUUUUAGUAAAUUAGAUAGAACCUAACACAAAGAUUAAGUUGCUCAAAAAUAAUUCAAAAUUAGAAUAUCUAGUAUCUAUUUGUAGAUUUCAAGUUUUUAAAUCUCAUUCCUACAAUUUGAGAAAGUAAAUUGAUGAUUUACUUCUUCAAAUAUUGAAAAGAACAAACAAUACGUCAAGUGGUGGGGCCAAGUGUUAUUAUUGCUACAAUAUCUUACUAUAAACGAAGAGGUGCAAUUUGGGAACAUAUCGACCCUUCAAAGAAGAUAGGGUGUGUUUGACUACUCACCACGAGGCAGCAUGAGCAUAAUUGCUUUGUGGUGUCAUGUAGGUGAGGUAGUUUGGCAGAUUCAUUGCAAGUGGAAAGGAAGGACAAUCCAAGGCACCAAAGUGUACGUGUUGUUGUUCUUCAUAUGUGACACAUCGAAAACGAUGUAAGAAUUGGUUAAUCAAACAAUUGAAUUUAAAUGAUUAAUAAGUUUAAUCAAAUGACGAAUCAUUUAAGAAAAAAUAUAAAAGUUCGAUCAUUAGAUGGAACAGUUAUUGACUACACUUUAUUUAUUUUUCGACUAAACUUUAGAUUAUCAAUGUCUUCUUCCUCUAAAAAUCAAAAGGUUACCAAAAAACGAUACAUCAAAAACGAGGGGGUUGAGUAAUCAAGAAGGUGGAGUUAGUGGAGAGCAGCUGAGAAAUGUGUGGUGCUUGACUAGUAGUUGUGGGCAUGUGCUAAUUGCAUAUGCAUAUGCUAUUUCUUUUUUCUUUUAAAAAGUAAAGAUGCGACUAAAUAUAUCUCGCAAGUGUAGCCCAAAUGAUAAAAGAUUGCAAAAAUAUUUGAUAUGCUAAAGAAUAAAAUCGAAUCACGUUAUAGUUAUUCUUUAUUUUUAAUAUUUAUUGUGUAUGAGUUUCAACGAUAAAAAAUUUUAAACUAAAAGUAAAGGAUGUAAUUAAAUAUCAAUAUAGUGAGUGUAACAUAAUAGUUCAUAAAUAAUCAGAUAUAUUAAUUAUGUGAAUGUUGAAGAAAUCAUUAUUGCCGAACCCGAUGCUUACAUAGCAUUUGCAUGUAAAAGAGUAAUUGAACAAACGUUGAAUAUCGUAGUGUUCCAAGAUUCACAAUCGGCUGAAUUUUUAUUCGAAAAUGGCUUAUUUGAUUCAAUCGUACCACAUAAUUUUUUAAAAGAGGUUUUAAGAGAGUUAUUGCAUUUCCAUGGUUGCUUUCCUUUAACUCAAACUGAAAAAUAAUUCAGACUUUAAUUUCAUUUUUUUUUCUUUUUCAAUUUGGAACUUCAAAUAGAAUUAUAAUAAAUUAUUAUUAUACAAAAAUCAAAUCAGAACACACAAUAAUAAGAUAAGAAUAGAAAAAUAUUAAAAAUAAUAUAAUAAAAAGAGGUAUGCCACUUGUUUAGGUUUCUCAACAAAAAAAAAUAAAAUUAUGGGUGGUUCCUCAACAAUUGUUUAUAAGACAUUUGUUAGCAUGACCAUUAAACAAAUAUCCAUACAAAAAUAUACUCUUUCUAGUAUUAAAUAUUAAAAUGUAUUUGAAUCAAUUUGGUACUAAUGACCAUUUUAAACAAGAUUAUUCAAAGAAAUAUGAACUUAUAAUUUCAACUUUCACCGUUAAGCUAACAUUUUUUAAACAGAGAUAUAUAAGAUUCAAAACUUAAGAAUAAUAGAUUUAUUAUUAUAAGAAUAACACUAACAACAUACUUUUUAGCAUAUUUUUUUCAACACUCGCUCUUUACUUGAUUAAUAUACAAUGAGAUUCAUUAAAUUAUGUGGGACGAACAUACAUGAUUUUGUAAGAUUCAUUUAAAUCUUCAACAAAUUAGACAAUAUAUUUUCAUAAGAGUUUUUUUUUUUUUGAUGAAAAGUGUAUUAAAGAGUACAUUGUAUAACUAUUUUUUAAGAUUUUAAAUAUUAGUCAAAUUAACUUUUGAUUGAGAUUAAAUAUUAUCAUUAAAAAUUAUAGUAGACAAUAAUUAAUUAAUUUGACUUACAUUUAACUACAAAUUAAUACUUUUUUUUAACAAAUAUGUAUUUGUAUUUUUUAUUAAGUAGAAUUUUUAUUCUUUUCUUUUAAUCCCAAAUCUCAAGCAAAGCCACAAGAUGGUGGUUCGAGGCCCACUUAUAUUUUUAAAUUUUUGACAUUAUUAGGUCAAUUGACAACAACAACUAGUGCUUUGCUUGCUGCGUCCUCCCAUGCCUCUUCUAAUCAAAUAUGCAUUUUAAGAAUCAUAUUGUUGAAUAAAAUAAUAAAUAACCGUCUGUUUGAGCAUAACUUAGUUAGCAAAAACAUUGCAGGGAGUAAGAGUUCAAAUCUUAAAUUUCUUAUUUAUUCACUUUAAUCACAGAGGAAAAAAAAUUAAGUGAUUGAGAUUCAACAAGUGGAUGAAUUUCGAGCAACUAACACUUAAUCACACACAAAAAAAAAACAGUUAUUGAGAUAAAUUAAUAAUUUUUUUAAUUAUUUGGAACAUCCUAACUUUGAAUUUUAAUCAGAUUAAUAAUUAGUUACACUUUAUUUUUUUUAAGUUUUUUCAGGGGUAGUUAAAUGGUUGAAAUUUAGGGUUUAACUCAUCCUUACUUGAUUGGAUUAAUUAUUAGUUAAACUUUAUCUUUUAAAGUUUUCUUAGGAUAGCUAAACCGUUGAAAUUUUAGGUUUAACCCAUCCUUACAAAACCAACUUAUAAGGUGAGAGAUGCAUCCUUUUUAUAAACUAUUAUCCAGAGUUUUAUCUCCUUACAUCCCUUUUUACGCCAAUACUCUUUUUUGGACUUGGUGCGUGGAUUGACAUGUGACCUUUCAAUUCGACAAGUUCUGACACCAUGUAAGAAAUCGGGGUUGGUGUUAACACUAAAACAACCUCACAAACCGUUUUGUCAGGUGAGAAUUGUUCCCCUCCUCUUAUAAAAACUUUGUCAGGUCAUCUCUAAUUCGAUGUGUGAUUCUUUGACAUACCCUUUCACGCUCAUAACUGAACAUAUGAAGCAUGGAUAUAGGGUGGGUGACCCGAUAGUGGAAAUCAACGAAUCUUGAAUGAGACUCUGAUAUCAUCUUAAAAAUUUUGGUUGGGUAUAACACAACACAACCCAACAAAACCAAUUUGUGAGGUCAUGAUUAACCCCAUUUAUAAACAUAUUGUCAGAUCAUCUUUUGUAUGAUGUGAAACAUUUUUAACAUAAGCUUGAUAGUUACGACAAAAAAGUAUCCUAUUGACUUUAAAUGCAUUCAAAUAGGCAUAUUUAACAAUGACUAUUUCCAAAUCUUGCUUAACAUAUUGGAUUUUCACGUGGACCCCUCAAGUUCUGUCCUGUAACUCGAUCUUAUGGUAGCUUAAGUGCUGAACCACAACUAAAAUCUUAUUUAAACAAAUAAUGAAACAAAUGGCACCACUUGGACUUUUAAUCCUUGAUGUCCAAUGAUAUUAGUUUAAACUUUAAUAAUGAUAUAUUUGGUGUCAUUGAAGAGAAUGUUUAAUCUUAUAGGAGAAGUUUGUUGAUCUUGUCAUACUUUGGAUUGGACCCAUACAAAAAUGAUAUAUAAAAAUUUAAAAAGAAAUUAAAAUAAUGAAGUUUUAUUAUUGAUUCUUUUUUUUUCCACUCAUUGAUUGAUUAAUUCAACAAUAGACUUAUUCGGCAUAUAAGAUAGAAUAUAAAGGACAAAUUACGUGUCGUACAUAUAUUUAAGGGAUUUUUCCAAAAACAACGCUAGCUAUAUUUUUUAAAAGUUUUUUUUGACAAGAUUUUUUAAAAGUUAUUAUUAUAUUCAGUGUAUGUGAAAAAAGAUUAAAAGAUAAUAAAAAUAAACAAGAUGCAUAUUUUACGCCGCUUAAAAGUUACACCAAUUUUACACCGCUCAUAUCGUUUCACUCGAUGCAUAUUUUUUAAAUUUGACCGUUAGAUUGUAAGUUUAUAUCACAUAGAUCAUUCAAGUAAAUUUUUACGAAAAUCUAAACCUGUUUUAUAAGUUAUUGAGAUACAUCAAGAUUAACUUUUAUGCACUUUUAUAAACUUACAAUCCACACUCACCCCAAAACACUAAGGUGCAAGUUAGCAAACUACACCCACCUAAAAUUAUUAAAAUGCAAGUUAUCAACUUACAUCCACUUGAUUAUUUACACUCAUUUUUAUAACUUUUAACAAAUAAUUUGUACCCACCUCACUAAUUUACACCCACUUUCAUCAUUUAACAUAUUGUUUCUUAAAAGUUUGUCUCACCUUAUACUAAAAAACGUGUAAUUUUUGUUUUUGAGACAAAAGCUUCAAUUGAUUUUUUUUGCCACAAGUUUAUUAAAAAAAAAAAAAAAACUUCAGGCUUAUUCGAUAAAAAAAAAUUGAUAGUGUCUUAGAAUUAAUUUUUUUGUGAAGUACUUAAAAUGAGUACUUGUUUAUUUUGGUGAAAGUUUAAAUAAGAAAAUUAAUAAAGUCAAUUUUGCUUAAAAUGAGUACCUAUUCAACGUAAAAAAAAAAAACGUACUUAUUCUGUAGCAAAAUAAUAACAUUGCUUCGUAAUAAAAAUAAAUAAAUAAAUUGUACCAAAAAAUAAACAUGUUAAGCAACGUCCAGGCAUAACAAACAUCAAAUAACAAAACAAUUAACAAAGAGUUGAGAAAUGUAAGACAAAACAAACAUUAAACAAACAUGUUUCUAAUAUUUUAUUUCUAAAAUAAAAUAAAUUUACAAAUUUACAAGUUUAUACUUUGCUUAAAACAUUAUUUAAAUAGAUAAAAGUGGGUUUUUGGUAAAAAACAAGUGGAUGUAACUUGCUAAUUUGCACCUUAGUAUUUUUGGGUAGGUGUAAGUUAGCAAAUUAUAACAAAUGAAGACGUCAUAUGUUUAAAAAUAUCGGUUGAUGGUGGUUUCAUUGAGGGAGGUGUAUGCUCCUUUCUCACAUGAGAAGAGAGAAAGGAAAAUAGAAGGAAAAAAAAAAGAUACGAAAAAAGAUUUGAGAUUGAGAGAAGAUAAGAGGUAAAAACUAAGCAUUGUGUGUUUUGUUUAUGAAGGUAUAAGAAAUAGUGAGUUGUCGGAUAAAUUUGUGAGUUUAUUGAAGGAGUUAGAGAUUUUUUGGACAAUUAUUUUAUCAAAAAAAUUAAAUUCAAUUAAAAAAACACUAAAUAUUUUUAAAUAUCUAAUAAACAUGUAUUUAUCAACAGAGCACAACACAUUGACAAUUUUUCAUUAUCGUUUGCCACAAACGGUGUAAUACCCUAUUUAAUUAUUUGAUUAUUUUAUUGAGUUUAGAGUCUAUUUAUAUGAUUUAUGUGAUUUAAAUGAUUAUGUGGUGUGUUGUUGAUUUAUUAAGUGGCUUUAUUUUAUUUACUAUUUAAUAGAAUAAGAUUUGAAAAUAAAAUAAUAUUAAGUUGAGGGGGUUGUUUUGGAAUUUAGAAGAGUUUAUUGGAAUAAGUGGAAAUAAGAUAAAGAGGGUUGAGGAAAUAAAUAGGAGAAACUAAAGUCAAAAUAGUUUUCACGUGAAACCUGUUUUUGAAACCUGUUUUUGGAGAAAAUGGAAUAAACCAAGAGAAGAGGAGAACCAAAGAGGAGAAGCUUUCGAUCGAUUAACCUAAGGUAAGGGUGGGACUAACUUUCUCCAAUUCUAAGUGUUAUAAUUCUGAAAAUUGGAUUUGACAAGUUGUAGGUUGUAGUUUUGGGGAUUUGAGAAUUAGGUUUAAAAGUUGGAAAAUUGAUUAAUUAAGAGUAGGAAUAUGUUGAAUUGAUGUAGAAAUAGUGUCCAGACCUUAGAUCAUUCAUAGAACAAUGAUUAGUAUCAGUUUUAUGGUUAGAGUUGUGGAAUUAGGUGAGUUUUUGGUGAAAACUGCAUUCUGCCCGAGCUGACAUUCAUCGCUCGCCAUAGCGAGUAGCUGCUCUCGCCUCGCGAGUGAUGAUCCUCAUCGCUCGCCUUGCGAGUAAUUCCCCUCGCCCCGCGAGUGAACCCAGUUGCCGCUCGCCAUAGCGAGUUACCCAGUGAGAAAAACAUGAUUUUGUGAAUUAACAUUUUCGGUCGAGUUUUAGAUGGUUUUGAGUGCCUUAACAUGUUUAGAAAUGAUUAGGCAAGUUUUUAGAUUAAAUUUAGGCAUAGAGAAGUUAAAAAUGGGAUUUUUGAGUGAAAAAUGUCAAACUCCCGAGAGCCAUCAGUUUUAGCUCGCCACAGCGAGUAACUUACUCGCCAUAGCGAGUACUGUAACACCCCAUUUUCCCAACUUGAAAUUUUUUGCAUAAAUCAGAGUAAAACAAGUAAACAGGAUGUUACACUUCUUUCAAAUCUGAAUAUAGUAAAAUUACUAAUUAUCUCAAUCAUCAAAUUAAAUCUUAUUGCAGCAGAAAUUAUUUCAACGUUUAAAACAUCCUUGGCACAAAGGCCUCAAUGUAAAAUCUCAUAAAAUAAUUCCAAUAAGAUGUUCAUAAAACUUCAUAAAAUAAUACGUAAGAAACAGAAAGCAACAACAAAAUUCUCAUCCCGUUACGUAUCAGAGCACCUAAGACACAUGUGAGAGAAUCGACUCACUUCACAGUUAAUCUUGAUUACCUGCAAGUUACCCAAUUGUGAGGGCAACAUUUCCAAGUAGAAGGGUUGAGAUUGCACAUUCAAUAAUAAUAAGCAUAUAAUUCAUCAAAAGCAUUUAACAACUUAAACUUCAUCAAUUAAUAACAUUAACUCUUCUUAUAAUACUUUAUUAAUAACUCAACCAACUUCUAAUCAUCAUUAACUUUAGGGUUAAUGGUGUUUUAUCCCCAGUAAUAUAGGUCAUUUUUUUGUUUCCCUCCCUGUAAAAUAUUUUUUUUAAUUUACCACCUGUAAAUUUUUUUUUUUUUUGGAAUACCCCCUAUAGGUCAUAAAAAAACGAAAAAAUUCUGAAAAAAAAAAAUAAAGUCGUUUUUUUAUGACCUGUUAGGGGGUAUUCCAAAAAAUAUAUAUUUUACAGGGGGUAAAUCAAAAAAAAUAUUUUACAGGGGGGAAAACCAAAAAUGACCUAUAUUACAAGGGGGGUAAAGCACCAUUAACCCUUAACUUUAUAUUCAUCACAUUAUAUACAACAUCAUAUAGCACAUAAUAAUCAGAUCAUAAACAUCAUCAUAUAACGACAUAAUCUUCACAUCAUAAACAUCAUCUUAUAACAACAUAGACAACACAUCAUAAACAACAUAACAACAUCAUAAAAACUUCAUUAACGACACAUGGGUAAAUAACAACUUAACAACAACGACACUACUUCAACUCGACAAUGCAACUUAGACAUCUUACACAUCUUGAACCAUCUAGACAAAAUGCAACUACGACCUCUUAAUCAUGCAUGUGGUACCAACCAGAGCAUCAAGCCCCCAACGUAUUGAGCGUAAAUAGGCUCACAUGGCAUCAAUCCCUCAACUUACAGGGCAUCAAGCCCUCAACAUAAUAUGUAUAAAUGAGUAUGCAUGGACUCAACGUCUUACAACUUAAACAACUUAGACAUCUCAUAUGACUCCAAUAAUUUGGAUCAACAUCUUACAACUUAAACAUCUCAUAUGACUCCAAUAAUUUGGAUCAACAUCUUACAACUUUAACAACUUGACCAACAUAUGCAACUUAAUGAUUUAAUAAUCAAUACAGCAGAGACAACAACAUACAACAACUUCACAACAUAACAUCAUUAAUAAUAACAACUUAAAUGGUAUAACAACAUUAUUUUCUAUAUCAUACCUUUUUCACAUAAAUAUAUGUAACUCAAAUUAUUCAACAACAACAUUCACAUAAUAUAUGUAUUUCUAAUUAUCCUACAAAGAUAUUCACGUCAAACCAAAUUAGAUCUAUCACAACAUAGGUUAAAUACUCUUAAACACCCUAGUUGAACUCAGUACUUCUAGUUUUGAGGUUUGGAAUUAUUCCUUAAGUUUUGGAUUAACUUAGAAACGAUUAUGCUGAAUUUUCAUAAGAUUUCACUAAGACCUCCUUGGAGUAUUUUCAUCAUAUCUCAAGAAUCUAAUAUUAUUUUCACGUCAAACCAAAGCCACUGGAAAACUAACUCAAUUAUCUACAACUUUCAUGUUUACACCAAAUGCCAAUUCAAAACAGAAACGUGUGAAAUAGACGCAAGAACAUGAAACAGGAGAUGUUGUCACUGUGUAGCUCUCGGGAAAAACCCAUUUUUCACCCCAAAAUCUCAAUUUUAACUUCCCUAUGCCCAAAUUUGAUUUCAAAACUUGUCUAACCAUUUCUAUACAUGAUAAGGCACUCAAAACCAUAUAAAACUUGACCCAAAACAUUAUUUUAGAAAUUCACCAAUUAUCAACCAAAUUCAUCGGAUUAUCUACUCUUUCUACGAUCAAUUUUAGUUUCAAACCCUAAUUUUACAACAUCAAAACCUAUUAACAACUGCAAGGUUAAACCCUUUUUCAGAAUUACAUACUUAUGAUUAAAGAAGGUUAGUCCCACCCUUACCUUAGGUUAAUCGAUCGAACUCUACAAGAUUGCUCCUCUUCUCACAAGAUUCUUUUCUUCUCUGACUUCUCUCUUCUCUUGGUUUUCUCCCUUUUUCUCCAAAAUAGGUUUCACGAAAUCCUUAUUUUCUAAUUCUAACUCUCCCCUUUUAUAUAAAUCUUUAACCUACUUAUUUUCUCUUAUUUCCAAAUCUCCACAAAAUCUCCAUAUUUUAUUCUAAUAUAUAUAUAUAUAUAUAUAUAAUAUAAGAUAUUUCUAUAACAAUUAACAUAUAUUUUUACACCAAAUAACAUAUAUUUCUACAACAAAUAACAUAUAUUUCUACAACAAAUCAUAUAUAUUUCUGCAACAAAUAACAUAUAUUUCUACUACAAAUCAUAUAAUUUCUACAACAAAUAACAUAUAUUUCUACUACAAAUCAUAUAUAUUUCUACAACAAAUAACAUAUAUUUCUACAACAAAUAACAUAUAUAUUUCACUAAUAAAUAUCAACAUAUAACUUAACAAAAUAUCGAUCAUCUAAUUUCCAAAACAGCCCCCACAACUUUAAUCUUAUUUUAUUUUCAAAUCUUAUUCCAUUAAAUAAUAAAAUAAGCCACUUAAUAAAUCACAUAAUCAUAUAAAUAUAUUCUAAACCUAUUAAAAUAAUCAAAUAAAUCGAAUAAUUCAAAGAGGGCGUUACAAGUACCCCUUUUGUUGAACUCGCCAUAGCGAGUAGAGUGGCUCGCCUCACGAGUUACUCAGUGGCAGUUAGCCUCACUUGGUGUUCUUGCGAUCUUUGUCGCACGUGAUGUUCUGAGUUGGUCUUUGGGGUAGGAAUGAAGUUGUUUAUAAUUAUAUUGUGGUUCAGUGAGUCUGAAUUAAAAUGAUUAAUGUUGUUGGUUAAUUUGAAAUACAUAUAUUAUGUGGAAAAUGUUUGAUAUAGAAAAUAUUGUUGUUUAUAUCAUUCAAAUUGUUAUUAUUAAUGUUGCUAUGUUACAAGUUGUUUUAUGUUGCUGUCUCUGCUGUUGUUGAUUAUUAAUAUCAUUAAGUUGCAAGUGUUGGUCUAAGUUGCAAAGUUGUAAGUUGUUGUUCCAAGAUAUUGGAGUCAUAUAAGUUGUCUAAGUUAUAAGUUGCUGAGUCCAUGCAUACUCAUUUAAGUUGAGGGUUUGAUGCCCUGUGAGCCUAUUUGCUCUUUAAGUUGAGGGCUUGAUGCCCUGUGCGCCUAUUUGCUCUUUAAGUUGAGGGCUUGAUGCCCUGGUUGGUACCACAUGCAUGAUUUAAAUGUUGUAGUUGCAGUGUCGAGUUGAAGUCGUUGUUGUCGCAUUGUCGUUGUUAUUAAGUUGUCAUCUAUCAAUGAGUUGUUAAUGAAGUACUAUAUGAAGAAUUAUUAUUAUUAAUUGAUGAUGUCUAAGUUGUUAAAUGCAUUUGAUGAAUUAUAUGCUUAUUAUUAUUGAAUGUGAAAUCUCACCCCUUCUGUUUGAAUGUUGCCUCUACGUGGGUAACGUGCAGAUAACCAAGGAUAGGUGUUGAAGUGAGUGACUCUCUCACGCGUCGUCUUAGGGUCGCACUGAUACGUAACGGGAUGGGGACCUUACUUGUUUUCCAUGUGUUACGUAAUUGUUAUGAUUUUAUGUCAAAGAUUUGCCUAGACUGAAUUUUAAUAAGUUGUUUAAGUUGAGGCCGUUGUGUCAUUACGAUAUUUAAUUUAAUGUUUUCCGCUGCAAUGAGAUUUAAAUUGAUGACAGGAGAUGAUUGAAAUAAAUAGUAAUUUUACUAUAAUUACAUUUUAAAGAAGUGUAGCAUCCUGUUUUAGUUGUUUACUCUGAUUUUAUACUAAAAUUUUCAAGUUGCGAAAACGGUGUGUUACAAACGGCCGAAAGUAAAUAAAUUUGAAAUGACUGAGGUUGAAUGGAAAAAUUCACAAGAAAGAGAAUGACAUUCAAAAACUAAAAUUUAAGAUUGAAAAGUUAAAGACUUAAUUGCAGUUUUAGUCCCCUAUUUUCAUCAACUCAUGAACUGGUCUGUUCAUUUUAAAAGCACUCAGUUUUGAUCCCUUUAUACUAUUUUUAGACUCAAAAGCAAUGAUGUGACAUAUUUUAAAUGACCUUCUGUAUAGUCUGAUGAUGUAGAAUGGUCAAUUCCAAUGUAAUUACCUGAAAACUCCCUUAAAGUGUCAAUCUAAGUAUGACAUAUCACCAUUUUUAAGUUCAAAAAUCUGAAAGAGGGACCAAAACUGAGUAAUUUGAAAAUGGAAGGACAAUUUCAGUGAGUGAGUGAAAAUAGAAGGACCAGAACUACAAUUAAGCCAAAAUUAAACAAAUGACAUCCAAAACUAAAAAAAAUAGUUCAUCAUAUUGUUGUGAGUUUCAGGGAUUCUACAUUGAGUUUGAUCAUCACGUUAGAUUAAAAAAAAAAUCAAACAAGUGAUUUGACACCACAUCUUCACACUAAAUCUUAAUGUAUUAGGUAUAUGAAUCAUAUCACUUGUAUGUUGUUCAACAUCUACUCUUGCAUCCAAUGUGAAAUUUUAACUCACAAUUGACACAUUAACUACUUUUCCUAAAGUAUGCGACUAUAUGCAUUUAUGAUCUACCACGAUGAACUACUCAUGUUUCCCCGACAAAGUUGAACUGUGUUAUGAUAUUGUCGUUGGACUUUACAUGAUAGCCAACACCGAUGUUGAUCGACUCAGUGAACACAAAGCAACCACACAAAUGAGCAUUAUACCACGUAUUUACACAAUAUUUUGAAUUUGACAAAAUUAUAGCUCGUUCUUGAGACAUGUAUCCAUACCAGUUGAUUAAAUAAUUUAACAACAGACUUAUCGGGCAUAUAAGAUAGAAUAUAUAGGACAAAUUACGUAUUUGUACAUGUAUUUAAGGGAUUUUUUCGAAAAAAAGGAUAGCUAUAUUUUUUUUAAAGUUAUAUUCAGUGUAUGUAAAAAAAAAGAGAUUAAAAGAUAAUGAAAUAAACAAGAAUUGAUAUAUAUAUAUAUAUAUAUAUAUAUAUAUAUAUAUAUAUAUAUUUGUGUGUGUGUGUAUGUAUGUAUGUAUAAACUAAGAUUUGGGUUUAAACUAAGACUAGGGUUUAGAUUUGGUACCAUAUUCUAAUAUGUUGUCAAUUGUUCAUAUAUUAUUAAAUAAGGGAGAAAAUUACAUAAAAAUUGGGGGGACAUAAAACCUGACCCAGUCAACAACCCUAGCGGGCAAAACAUAAAAAAAGAUCUACCAAAUGGAUUUAAUCCUGAACAAUUCUAACAAACGAUUAUUAUCAAACUGGUCUAAAGUUUGACGAAUAAAUCAAUCGUCAACACGAAGUCGACUCACGUACCAUCAACUCUCUGCAAAAACGACAUCAAAUUUUAACGACUUUUUCAAAUUCAUAUAGUCCCAUGACAAUCAAUCUGUGAAGCCUGGAUACGAGAUACAAUACGAAUACGAUACUGCACCGAUACACCGAUACGUGAAAAUUUCAAAAAUCAAGAUACGAUACGGCUGGAAUACGUUAAUAAAAAAAAUUAUAUAAUUAAAUGUAUAAUAUAAUUAUAACCUUUUUUUUAAUAUGCAAAUAUAUUAACAAACACAAGAAACUAGACUCGUAGCACAUUAACAUAAAUAUAAGGCUUAAUACAUCCUUUGGUCCCUUAACUUAUUUUUGGUUUUCAAUUUGGUCCCCUAACUAUAAAGUGUUUCAAUUUGGUCCCAUAAGUCUUCUGCGGUUUACCAUUUUGGUCCUCUCCGUUAGUUUUUAACCUUAAAUGUCUAAUGUGAACCAACUUUAUAGACGGUCCACCAUAGAUUUUAUUAAAUCACAAAUUUUUAACCAUUUGAUAUUUUUUUUAAAAUGGAGACCGUUGGAUCAUGGAGAGAUCUAUUGUAGCUUAUAAUGAACCACAAACACCUAAUUUUUUCCUCCAUCUUCUUCCCUAUGUUCUUCUUCAUCCCCGGAUUCCAAUCUCAGCCCCAAUUUCAAUCCCCAAAUCCAAUCCAAUUUAAAUCUAAACAUCUAUCUCCAACAACAACAUCAACAAUUUCUUCAUGGCCAACAAUAACAAUAGCUGCAGCAACAACAACAAUAAGCAAAAUUCAAAAACUUGUGGAAUACCCAUUAAUCCACAAGCAAUUCACAAUAGACAACACUGAAAUCAACAACAUCAUUAAUCCACAUAUCCACAGCUCAAUUAUCAUACACGGAUACAUCAAUUCCACCAUCACAAUUUCACCGUUGUACAGAGGAAUUAGAACAAACCACUAUUUAUCACAAUCUGCAAUUGACAACACUAAAAUCAGCAACAACAUUAAGCAUAACUCCACAAAUCGCACAUCAAAAUUUUACAUAAAUAUGGUUCCAAUCCAAAACCAGAAUUGAACAAAACUCGCAACAACAUUGCCAGAUUAAAACCUCCUAGCAUACUCCUCAGCAACAAUCAUAACAGCAACACAUUUUCUCUGAAGAGCAUCACGCUUAGCUUUCAUGGAUGCAGAUUCAUCAACCACAUCACCAUAACCACCACCGCUAACAACAACAAUUUCAGGCGGCGGCGGCACCACUUUCGGCACCGCAACUUGAAUCGUUCCACCAUCUUCCUUCCGUGAAUCACCGAGGACGGAAGGGGUGUAGGGUUGACGGCAGCGAUGACUUCAAUUUGGGCUCCAGCGGCAGUGUUGUUUCCGUUUGGAAUGGAAUUCGUUUCCAUUGGGAGAAGGAAAAGAAUGGAAUCUCAAUUCUCACAUAUUUUGUUGUUACAUCUUUUUUUCCGUUAGGGUUUUAAAAAAAAAAAAGAUAACUCCUGUACACGUGUCACCUUGUCAUUGGCUCUGAGUUUUUUUCUUUUUUUUUUUACAAAAAAAAUUAUUUUUUUUUUUAAAAAAAUCCCAAAGCCAAUGACAAAGUGACACGUGUCCCAGAGUUAACACGUGUCACCUUGUCAUUGGUUCUGGAAAUUUUUUACAAAAAAAUAAAAAAUAUAUAUAUAUAUUUAAAAAAAAAUUAAUUAUUUUUUUUUAUAAAAAAAAUAUAAUUUUUUUUUUAUAAAAAAAAUAAAAAAAUCUCAGAGCUAAUGACAAGGUGACACGUGUCCACACUUAACGUUUUUUAUUAAAACUAACGGAAACCUAACAGAAGGGACCAAAACGAGACUAAAAAAAACUUAAAAUCCUCAAACAAUCUUUUUUUUAGUUAAGGGACCAAAGCGAUACCAAUUAAAUAGUUAAGGGACCAAAAGAGCAUUUAAGCCUUUCUUUUUUUUCAUGUACGAUCUUGGUGAUGGUUGUUCUACCUCGCUGAUUUUACUAUUUUUGUUAUGUUGUAAAUGAAUCUUUUAUUUGUUUGUUGUGUUGAAUGUGAAUUUUAUUUUUGGUUAAAUGUUAAUUUUUUCUGUUUUUUUCUUUCUUGGUAUAUUGUGUGAAGAAGUGGUGGAAGGAAGAAGAUGAAGAAAGAAAAAAAAAUUAGGUGCUGGUGGUUCAUUGUAGUAUAUAAUGGACCUGCAAUCAAAUGCUCACAAUAAUACAAAAAAUAUUAGACAUUAAAAAACAAACGGAUAGGACCAAAAUGGUAAACGGCAUAAGAUUUAUGGGACCAAAUUGAGACACUUUAUAGUUAAGGGACCAAAUUGAAAACAAAAAAUAAGUUAAAGGACCAAACCAUGUAUUAAGCCUAAAUAUAAAUAAUAUUGACGAUAAAGAGAGUGGGGAUUAGUCAUUUGCAUACGCAAAAUAUACCAAAAAUAGCACAAUCAGUGUUAUACAUCAAUGUUAUAUUAUAUCCAAAAGGAACAUUGUUAGUGCUAUACUAUAUCGAUCCAAAAAAGAAGCACUAUAUCCAAAGUGGAAGGCGACCAUUUUGGAAGAAAAAGUUGAAACCCUAAUUUUUUAGAAAGGGGAAGAUGAAAUUGUUUAUGUGGUGUGGUGUGGGUCGUACUGGCACCAAAGAAAGAUAAAGAAAAUGUGUAUAUAUAUAUAUAUAUAUAUAUAUAUAUAUAUAUAUAUUAUAGUAAUUUACUGUUUUUUUUCUUAUUUUUUACAAAAAAAAAGGCUUAAUUGCACUUUUGGACCCCUAUCUUUUCAAAAGUUGUGGUUAUGGACCCCUAAUUAAUUUAAAUACAAAACAGCCCCCUAUGUUUUGAUUCUUUGACAUUUUUGGACCCCCAAGGCAAAAAAAUAAAAAAAAAAAUUGACACGUGGCACCUCACUUAGAGUGCCACGUCAGCGUUGACCGAGUCAACAAUGGACUAGGGGUCCAAAACUACCAAAGAAUCAAAACAUAGGGGGUUGUUUUGUAUUUAAAUUAGUUAGGGGUUCAUAACCGCAACUUUUGGAAAGAUAGGGGUCCAAAAGUGCAAUUAAGUAAAAAAAAAACACAGAAAUCAAAUUAAUAUAAAAAACACGAGUAUUCGUGCGUAUCGGAAAGUAUCGGAAAAUUAUCUUCUUAAAAAAUAAAAUUUGAUAUUUAGACUCUCCCGAUACGUAUCGGGCAGGUAUCGAUGCAUGAUGCGUAGGGGAUACGAUACGUCAUCCAUUUUGAAGUAUCGGAACUUCAGAGCAAUCAAUAGGAUGACUGAAAUACAUAACUAUGAAAGCAUCACAUAACUCAAUCUAAAACCGAGCAUCAACCAUUUCUUCAAAGCAGGAAGUGGAAAUAUUAUUUAGACAAUCCAAAGUUGUCCGACAACCAAGUAGCUAUCCAUAUGAUUUUUUUUUUUUUUAUCAGGUAGCCUAAUAGUUAGAAUUCAUCUUAUAAGGUGAAUAAAUGGGAUGUCCGAAAUUCGAACUCCAAUCCCUACAUAUAAUAAUGCAUUGUCCUACCAACUGAGCUAUGCUCAAGUGAACUAUCCAUAUGGUUUAUCUACCUUCUCUUUAUCUUUUGGUUAAAAAAAAUCAUCUACUUUUUCUUUAUUUUAACAUUAUUUUCUUUCAAAAAAAAAAAAAAAUUUAUCAAUUUGGAUUUACGUGCCAAACUAAUAUUUGGAUAAACUCAUACGAUGUGCAUACACAACAACCGUUUUAGGUUGUCCGUCCAUAUAACAUAUAUAACUCUAACAAUAAAAUAAUAUAUUUUAAAAUAAGAGUAUCAAUUGUUUUUCUCAAAUAAUCUAGUAAUUAAAAUUUACUUUUUAAGAUGAAUAAAUGAGAUGUUAAAAGUUCAAACUUUGACCUCUAUACUAUACAAUUCAGUUUAAAAAAAAGAAAAAAUAAUACAUCAAUUUUUUGUGGGAAAUGAGACAUGAAGUAUAGUUGUAAAAGAGAAUCAAAUUUAUUUGUUUUUUUUUAAUGGACAAUGUGCGCUUGGGUAUUGUUAAGGCAACCAAAGUACUCCCUUCGGUCAUUUAUACAAGAGACAAUUUGAAAUAUUUUUUGGUCUUUUUUAUAAGAAAAUCUCUUUAAAUUUAAACUUUAUUAAAUAUGUAAUUUCAUUUAUACCCUUAUUAAGUUGGAGACAUGCAACCUAUUCCAAUGCAAAUGCAUUUAUUUUGAUACAUAUUCCCCAUGUUGAACUACUUUAGCCGUACACACAGGCCAACACGUAUUUCUUCUUGUAGAGGAAAAUUAUGGUUCAUGUUCUCUUCAACAUUAAGAAGAUAUGGGGGAUAAUUUAAAUUAAACUCAAAUUCUUGUGUUUCUACAUUUGAUGGUAUUGUUGUAUCAUUAUCAGAAAUUGAAUGUUCAUGUGUAAAAGUGAAAGGAACAUUCAAGUCUAUGUUAAGAGGCAUUUUUAAGUAUGGCUGAAAGUUCAUACAAAGCUCUCUUUAUAUAGAGAAUGACUGGAUGGUUAAACUUCAUUUCUACUCUAUUCAAAAUUUGAAAUUUCAAAAGUUUAUUUGCUCAAAAUUUUGGUCGAAAUUUUUUGGAAAAAAGUGGUGGGAGUUUGCCUACUUUUUUCAAUUUGAAAUCCAAAUGAGCUGUGAGAAUAUCAAUAGCCACAUUAAACCAUAAUAAAACCGAUGUAUUCUUGUGAAGAGGGAGAGGCGUGUUUGUGAGGCUUGAAUUGGUACUCAUACAAUAGCUUUAAUGAUAGAAUUACAUUAAUUGUAGGCGGUAAGGAAGGAGUAGUUUAGUCCAAGGAUAUUUUUGGAAUAUCAACUAGUAUUUUAAAAUUAUUAAUAGAAAAAAUACAUUUUCUUGGUCUGUGUGAUUUUCUCAAAUUGUCUCUUCUAUAAAGGACCAGAUGGAGUAAUAUUUUUUUAUAUAGAAACUUGUGUAUUUACUAGUUUUACUUAUGUUUUCAAGAUAAAAUUUCUUAUAAUGAAUUUAUUAAACAAUGCCUUUAGACCAUUUUUAAUUAUGAGGUCUUAAUCUUUUAAGACUCGGUAUCUAUUACAUACCGCAUUAGAUACCCCAUUGAGGAGAAACUUAAGACCUUAGUCUUAAGUGUAACCCCCCACCUUUUUAAUAUUAAAAAAAAAAUUGUGUUAUUUGAACAACCAUUUAUGUAACCAUUUUUUAGACAAUCCAUAAAUUUAGAAAGAAAAGUAGUUAUUGACACGGAAACCAAAAGAAUAAAAAAAGAAAGUAAAACAUAAUGUGGUAUGAGAUAUAAAGUUGUCAAAAAAAUUAUUAAAAAAAGGUUGUAAAAAUAUCAUUUCUCUUAAAAAAAAUGAUAUGUAACUAUGUAAGGAUCUAACGUUAUUUAUAGCUGACUAAUGAAUCCUUAUUUAAGAAAUUUGUGUGAAAUGCUGAGUUGAAAGAGUUGAGUGUUUAUUAUAUACUGCCAUUAAAUAAUUAUAAAUAAGUGAUGUAUAAACGUGAAACAUAUUAGAACAUCCACAAUGAAAAUAUCCAUUUUUGUGUACCAGUCUCGCGUGUAUACAUAAUUCAUUUAUAAUAUUUUAAUAGUAGUAUCUAAUAAGAACUCAAUCCCUUCAACCGAACAUCUUACACAAAUUUAUUAAAUGAGAUACAUUAAUCAACUAUUAAUAACUUUAUAUCAUUACAUAUAUAUAAAAAAAAAUAUUAAAAAGUCUUGAAUUUCACUUAAGAAUGUACUCCUAAUGAAAAUACUUGAUAGAUGAUACCGAGUCUUUUAGAUCCAUUCAUUGAGGAUUAAAUGAGUAUCUUCUCUUAGGAUGUUUUUAGGGGUAACAUUUGGGUGUCAUAGUUUUUUGAUGCUAUUGGUGUCAUAGAUAGUUUUGUGUCUAUCUCUCUUUUAACAACUUAUUCUCUCAUCUAAAUAAUUUAUUUUAAUCAUUCUCUUUCAUCUAAAAUGAACUUAUGUUACCAAUGGCAAUAAAAAAACUAUGGCACCCAAAUAUUUUUCUUUUUUUAGAGCACUUGUUGGUCUAACUUUUUAAAUUCUGUGUCGGCAAUCGGACAAAGACUUGAUGCAAAAGAGAACAGGUUCCCUAUUUUAUUCAAUUUUAACAUUGUGGGUCCCACUGAUUUUCCCAAAAUAGAGAUUUUAUACUGCAAACAUGUCAUACACCUAGUACCUUCUUCAUCAUUAUACAUGCAAUUUCAGGCCAAGUCAGUCAAGGGCGCAUGCGUAAUUUAAAAGACUGUGUCACUUUCCAAAUAUCUAUUCUAAAAUAUUUCAUUUUUAAAAAUAAACUCUCUUAUUGUAUAACAAGUACAAUUCAAAUUUUUAAAAAAAUAAAAAAUUCUUUAUUCAAUUGUUAUUAUAAAAACAAUUGUUUUGUAGAUUCAUCGAAUAACUUAGGUAAUUGAUGUAUAUUAUAGAUCAAUUACAUUGAUCUAUAUUAAAGACCAAUUACAUCGACUAUUCAACUAAUCUAAAGUUCAAAUUGUUUUUUAUAAUAACUAGUAACAAUUGUUUUAUAAUAAUGAUUGGAGAAAAUAAAUUUAAAUGAUAAAAAUUACAAAAACUUUUAAAUGUAUAACAAUGAGAUUUAAACUUGCAAUUCAAUACUUUUUAAGUAAUAUGUAACUUUUAAUCCACACUUCUUAUACAAAAAACUUUCUCUCAAACAUGCGUUCAUCAAUUCAUCUACGCUUCUUUUCAAACGAAAACUCUUUCAUUUGCAUUGAUCAGGAUUGAUUGUUGUGUGGUUCUAUACACAGUUUCACGCAGUAGUUAAUCUCGAUCGUAGAUUUGUGAUCCAGUUGUUCAUAUUUAUCCAAUGUUGAUUUGACCGUUUAACACAGUUUAUGAUCUUGACCCUUCAUUUUUAAUCGGACGGCCAACAACAGUUACUCAUCCACGCAGUAACUUUGACGCAGGAACUAUGAUUCAUUGAGCAUCACAUUAUAUCCAUGUGUCAACAAGCAUGAAAGAUCUUAAUGUCAUAUUACAAAUCUUUAAGCAUCCUCUUGUUGUCUUCAACUAAAAGAUACGUUGUGUAAUUGUUAACACAAUAAAAAUGUGUGUGUGUGUGUCUGUGUGUGUGAUGAAAUGAAAGGUGGUUAUAAAGAGAAAAAAUGAAGCUUGUGAUUGAGAUAUAUAGCUACAUCAUUCAUCACUAGAUUGGUGGAGAACGGAGAUCCAACCACGCCAAAAAACAGAAGUGUACGUACAAGAAUGUUUAUCAUCCUUUAAGUCAUGAUAAUUAAAGAAUUUCUUUCUUUAAUUUAAAAGUAUUUUAGUGAUUGACAUUUGUCUACAUCUAUUUUUUCAUAUGUAUCGUCGGUCAAGAAUUAAACUCUUGAUCAAAAUUAUUAAGGGUGUGUUUGGUUCAGCUUUAGAUAGAAUUGAUUCUGACAGAAUUGAUUAUGAUAGAAUUGAUUGCAUCAUAAUUGGUUUUGAGAUGAUUUAUUUAUGUUUGGAUACGAUAACGUAUAAUUGAUUAAACAGAAUAAAUGUUGUUUGGAUAGUUUUGAUCAAAAUUGCUUUUGAAUGUAUAAUUACUAAAAUGGACAUAGCUAAAUAAAAAUAAAUGGACAUAAUAGUUGAAUGUAUGUGCAGAUCAAUGUAAAUAUAUUAUUUAAUGUAAAUAAAUAAUUUUUCCUAUAUAUUAAUUUAAAAAAUAAUAAAUACGAUCAACUAUUAGUCAAUGAUGGAAUUAAAUUUUUUUGACAAAAUAUUUGUUCUAUGUAUUUUAUAUUUUAUGAUAAAAUAUAUUUAAGUUAAAUAAUAAUAGAGUUUUUUUUUUAAAAAAUAAAAAUAGAGAUGGUUGGCAAAAAUGAUAAAAUGUAGCGUAAAAAAAAAAUACAGCAAAUCUGAAAAUAAAUACAAAGAAAUAUAAAUUACUAAAUUAAGAUUAUUAAGUGCAAUAUAGUCCUAAAAUAUAAGUUAUUACAAUACUAACAGCAUGAAAAUAAAAAUUACAAAUAGAUAAUAGAAUUUAAAGUGCAAUAGAGUAUUAAAAUAUUAUUACCAAAACUAAUUUAAUGUGUAUCAUAGUACUAAAAUAUUGAUAUAAUAAUUUAAAGUACAAUACUAAUUAAGAUUUCAUGUAAAAAAAAUCGAUGUGGUUGGAGAAAGGGUUAGAGAAAUUGAUGAUAAUUAAGAGGGCAAUGAUGGAAUUGAUGACAAUUAAGAGGGCAGUGAUGGAAUUGAGGAUGUAGAAUUGAUUCUAGAAAAGCCAUAAGUUAGGAAUUGUAGCUAUAUGGAGAAUUGCUUUUGGAGGAUAGAAGCAAUUUUGAAAAGUCAAACCAAACAUAUUGGAAUGUUGUAGAAUUGCUUUUGAAAAGUUGUAGAAUUGCUUCUUGUACAAAAGCCAAACCAAACAGACACCAAGAAACAUAACGAUCUAUUAUUUCACUUGAACAUAAAGAAUGUUUUAUAGCGUAUUAGACAAAGUAAAAUAUUAUUUUUUUGUAAUGGUUGAAAGAUAAAAAGGUUAUCUUUGUAUUUAAUGAACAUUCGUGGUGGUCGAGUCAAUUGUCGUGUUUAGGUAUUGGCCAGCCACUUUUUAUAUCUCGUGUGAUCUGCUUGUUUUUUUUAGUAGUUUCUUCAGUACACCUCGUACUGACUGUUUAUAUCAGUCUUAAUAUAAUUCGGUCGAACAAAGUUAUUUAAACAUUAAAAAAAAUGGACAACCGUAUAAAUAUAUAUCAAUUAUAAUUACUUGUAUAAUAAAAAAAAAGGAAAAGGUAAUUCACAACAAAAUCAAAUAAUGCUUAUUCUAUAUUAGACAAACUUUUAAUUGUCAACUUAUCUUUCAAAAAAAAAAAAAAAAAAAACACUUAUCUUGUGUCACACCAUGUUGUUAGUUAUUUAUACAUUGGCAUUAUAAGUUUUUUUUUUCUUCAUGUCAAACCAAAUAAAUCCCUGAAAAAAAAAAAAAAUAUCUAGAAUAUCCCUUUGCCGUACUAAUUUUAAAAAUAUCUCAACAUCUAUUAUUAUUAUUUUUUUGAUAGAUAGAUAAAAUGACAAAGCCAUUAUAAACCUCACACACAUAAGUGAAGGUACCGGGGUUCGAACCCCGAUCAUGGCAUCCGGCCUAACAAUUUCGGCAUUUUACCAGUUGAGCUAAGAUUUCUGAAUAUCUAUUGUUUUAUUAAAUCAUAUUAAAAAAUUAUUCUUUCGAUCAUUAUAACCUAUUUUGAAUCUGAAUCUACCGACACUGCCUUCUUGAAUCAUUCGUCAUAAUUUUUUGAAGGUACGUUUUUGCUUUGCCUUCUUACAAAAAAUCAAAAGCACCUGUGUCUGCAUGUGACUAGCUAUGGAACCCUUUCUCUAGGUCAUCUGAUUAGUACAUAGUAUAUAUUACUAUAUUCUGAGAGAGUCUUCGUAUUCACGAUAACAAAAAUUAGAUUAAUAAUAUUUGUAUGAUUAUUUUAUUGUAAUUUUUGAAACAAUCUUUUUAUCUCUUUUUAUUAGUCAAAACCAAUUGAGAAAAAGAAGAAUAUAGAGUAAGAACACAAUAUCGUUAUGAGAGAGAAAUUUGUUUAACAAUUAUUUUAAAAUAGUUAUAUAAAUAUGAUUUCUCAAAAGUUAAUUUUGUAUGAAUUAAUUUUAUACUAUUGAUUUGAUUAAAACUUAGUUGAAUGUAAAGUGAUUUUAUUAAUAAAAAUGAGUAGAACAAUAUCAUAUGUAAAAGUCGUGUUUGAAGUUAAAAAUCACAAAUUAUAGGUUUAAGUUAGAAAUGGUACAACCCUCAUAAAAGUGAGUUGAUUAUUUAAAAUCUGAAUGGAAAAAUCAUGUUUGGAAUCAAUAGUUCCAGGUUAUCGCUUUCAAGUUAAAAUUAAUUUUGAAGGAAAAAUAAAUUUUAUUUGACCUCAGUGAAGUAUGUGAAAAUCAAUUUUAUAUCUCUAAAAUCAAAUUUGCUCUCAGCGUGAUAUUUAAAAACUUUACUUUCUUCUCAUUCAUCCGCCAAAGAGAGAUGAUUUAGGGUCAAUUUUUGACCAAAAGACCCCUCUAACUCGUUUUUCUCUUUCCUUUUAAUUGAAAUAAGUACUUUCACAUCUAUUUCGUUUUUUAUUUUGUGAUUUCGACGUCUUCGUGCGACAUUGGUUUCUUUGUCGUCUUUGUGCGACGUUGUUUGUUUUUCUUGUUUCUCUCAUGUAUUUGAUCAGUACAGAUUGUCAGAUCAGCUUCGAUCAAGUGCAGAUUCAAUCAUUGACUUCAGCGUCAUCCUCGUUGCAAAUACGGAGAUAUGGUUAUUCUGGAGAUUUAAAUAUAGUCAUAUGUGUAGGCAUUUGUACUUUGCCGUUUUAUGCUAUUAACAUGGAUGUUGUGAGCUUGUUCACAGAUUCAUCCUUUUUGUUUUUAGCGAAUUUGCAUUAUAUCGAUGUACUCUAUCAAUUUGAAUGAAUAAAUAUAUUUUAUUUUGUCAAAAAAAGAAACUUUACUUUGUAACUUGAGCCCAAUUGUACUACGUUUAUAUCAUUCCCACCGCAAAAACAAACACAUCAUAUAUAGGUUUUAUGAGUUAUUAAUUAUAUUUUAUCAUAACCAAACAUUUGAGCUCAUGAGCUUAGAUUGGGAGAAUCCGAAUUCAAUUUUUGAAUGAAACAAUUUUUAGUUAUAUUAUACUUACCUCGUAAUUGAACUCUGAAUUAUUAGAGUUCAUUUUCCCUAAAAACCAAAGAUUAACAACCAAAAUAAUUAUAUUUCAUCCUAAUUACACGAGUUAGGAAAGAAAAACAUUUCUUUUGUUUGGUUCAAUAAUAUUGUACCCUUAUGAUAACCAAUGGUUUUAUAUUGUUAUUUUCUGUAUUUGAAGAAAAGAAUAGUCUAAUAGUCUAUAAUAUACGCUUAAAAAACAAUUAAACAUUCAUGAAAUACACUCCCUUAAAAAAAAUCAUAAAAAACACACAAAAAUAACUUCUUAUAUUCAUUUGAUCACGUGGCAAUGCAUUAGAUGCACAUCUAAAAUGAUUUUAGACUAAUAAAAUAUAUAAAUUAAUUAAUAAAAUUGAAGGGAAAAACUGAAAUGACUACAUGGUGGGCAAAAGAUCUAAAUAUCAACAAUCAAAGACAGACACAUGGCAAGUAUGCAUCAGAAUCAUGGGUCUUUUUCAAAAAUAUUGGUAACUCCCUCUAAAAAAAAUUAUUGGUAACUCUAUUGAAACAACAAACACCAUUGAGACUUCUAUAUCUCUGAGAAAGUCUUGCAUAUGAUCACAAGCUUUUGGACAUAAUACUUAGACACACAUAUAAAAAUAAAUUUUAAUUUAUUAAUUAAAGAUUAAAUAUCAUUAUUUUAGUACCCAAUUCCUUGUGUCUAAAUAAGUAUUUUUCUCUGUUUGGAAGAUUCAACCAAUAAUGAAGUUUUUAGACAUUAUAUUAGAAGGAAUGAUAUUUGAAAAUACAUUUUGUGAUAAAUUUUUUUACAACUUUCUAUUUUAUAUUUAUAUUAUUUUUUUACUUUAUCUCUCUAUUGUUUUAAUUUUCGUGUAAAUAUCUAUUUUUUCUUUGUAAAUUAUGGUUGUCUCUUAAGUUGUCAAUCAAAUGAUUGUUCAAAUAACACCCCCCUUAUAUAUAUUAGAGUGUUAGUGACACUCCCCUUAUAUUAGAGUGUUAGUGAUAUGGUCACCAAAUUUUUCGGAGUAAUAUUCUUCGGCCAAUACAGAAAAUUAUUUUCACAUUUCUUUUCUGUAAAAAAAAAAAAAAGUCACCUCUUAACGUGAAUAAAUAGAAUAUUUGAAACUUGAACCCAUAUCAUGCAAUAUUUUUUCCGGUGAGUUAGUUUAGUUGAUAGGGUUAAUGCAAAAUACAUGUAAGAUCUGAGGUUCGAAUCGCGGACACCACGAAAAAAAAUAAUAUGCAAUGUUUAUAUCAAUCGAACAAAUCCAUUUUUCCUUCUCCGACUUCUCUCUAAAAAACCAACAAAUCCACUGCCUUUACCUUUCUUCCCUUUCAUCCAAAUUUAACGCAUCAAGAUCUGGUUUUUUUUGUAUCGUUUUUCUGUUUCUUUUAUCGUUUGCUGUGUUUCAGAUCAGAGAGUUCGGUGGUGGUAGAUUUGGCAUUUUUUGUGGUGGUUCGGUUUCGUAAACCCGAAAGGGUGGUUUCGUGAAAUCGGAUGGGUUGAUGUUUCUGUGCUUGACUCUCUGAUUCUCCAGCUCUGUUGAGAUCUGCAGGUCUCAAGUCUUCAGGGUCACCUCCUCUCCGAUACUGUCUUAUUAUCCAUCUCAGUAAAUAUGUCUGUUAUUGGAUUGUGCUCGAAAGAGCUAUUAUACCUGCUGCUUUAUUCAGGGGGGUUGCUGGUACGUGGAUUUGUUACCGUGUUGGCGGUCGAUCCAUUCGCCAAUUCUAUACCUUUUUUGAUUCUAUGGAUGUCCGCUUUUCACAUUUUUUUGUAAUCUGAUUUCGUACUCGUACGAGGGUGCGCUGGGUUGCGUUCGUGAGAAGUGUUCUGUCUCUUAGGAUUAAUCAGGGUUGAGCUACCUGGUCUGGAUUGUAUUGUUUUAUUUCCAUUUGGGUGGUACCUGGGUCAGGCCUAAUGUCCCACAGUCUCUGUAUCUUUUGUUUUUUAUUUAAUAUAUUUUUGUUUCUUGCCUAAAAAAAAAUUAAACUUAGAGGACUAGUUUUUCACUUUUAAAAACACUACAAAAUUCUUUAUUAUUAGACAAAAUUAAAAUUUUAAAUUUAUUUAAUAAACGGUGUAUCAAGUUUAUAUUAAAAACUAAAUAUAUCAUUUAUUCAAUGAACUUAAAAAUUAAAUAUACUUCGGUUGAUAGCUAUAUAAACAUUGAUAUAUAGAGGUUGACAUUUGAACAAUUGAUUUAUCAUUUCUCCAUGCUUCAUCUGUGUGGUUGCAACUACUUGACUAUUUAAUAAAACAAAUUAUAACGAAUAGUUUUUCAUUUUUAUCAAAUACGAUCUUUUUGAAUAAGUAAAUAGAUCUUUAAAAUAUUUACAAUGAAGAUACUCAAUUUUAAAUAUUUAAACGGAUCUCAUGUGUAGAACGUGACUUUGUUAUUGUUAACACGAUGAGUAAAUAAAGAUUGAUGGAUUCCUUUACGGCACGUGUAAGGAGGAGCUUUAUGAGUUGGCGCAUUUGCAUGAAUAGAAGCUAAAGACACCGACUCCUGUUAAAAGCCGUAACUUACGGUAUCGGUUCCUUUUGUUUUUCUUUUUAAUUUUCCAGCACCUCUUGCUCAUAUUAUGAAACUACCAAUUCAAACCAAUGAUGUUGUGUACACAGUACACGUUAGUGUCAAAAAUAUUAUAAUAAUCAUUAUGAGUAAAAAAUAUAUAAGAUAUCAGCAGAAUAGUUUGAUGACUGGUUUGAAAUGUAUAUUAAGUUCAAAUGUUAGUGUUAAGUCUUACAUUGUUAUGAUUAACUAAAUGUUGCACAUAUAAGAUAAUGAUUUGUAUAGCCAGUAUGUAACUCAUUUAGAUUAGUUUGGUGAUGUUGAGUUUACUCACGUUAGCCAAUGAAAGAAAUAUAUAGAAAGAGACUUUUUUUCAAUUACACAGUAUAUAUCAUAAGGAAAAUGCUAACAAGUGUUAUGAAGAUAUUUGAUCUUAAAAAUAUUGCCAGUGGUCAUCAUCGAGAAACCUCUCCAAUCACAUGAUUAUGACAUACAACCCCGAUUUUAAAUAUUUGCAAAAGUAAAAAUGAAUUUGGUCUUAAUUUGGACUAAAUAUGUUUUGUCUUUCGUUUAUAUUUAAAAUCGGAUAGAGUAGUUUGACUUUAUAAUAUUAUAGUCCGUCUGGAGCCUUGUGUUUGGAUAACUUAUAACUUUUUUGAAAAGAAAAGAUAUUUCACUACCUACAAACCCGUGAUCUUAUAACCUCGGGCGGGUUUGACCACCGACAUGUUUACAUUUUGAAAAUCAAACCCUACCAUAUUUCAAUGAAAUAUUUUUUUCAACCGAAGACACAAAAACCCAUAUAACACAUGCUUGAUGCACCAAAUUUUAUCAUGUUUUAUAUGAAUUUGACCAAUUCAAAUGUUUUUAUUCACCUUUAUUUCUUGGUUUGACCAACCUUUAUUCAACUAUCUAGGCAUCGAUCCUUUGAAUUCGACGGCUUACCAUUUUCAACUACAUUUCAUAUUAUUUUAAAGGGUAAACUUAGUCAUUAUUAAAACUUGGGUCAUGCAAACUUGCGUCAUAAAGACACAAGCUAAGAAGUUUAAAAGAAAAUGAAAGAUAAAAUCGAAGGAAGUAGCUUAAAGGUAGACGUUAGCUUUCCUCUAAAAACUUUUAUAUUUAAAACCCGAGGAAGUAGUUUGAUUUUGCAACAUUAUAUUCUAUCUUGAGUCUUGUGGUUGAAUAACUUGUAUCUUUUUCGAAAGAAAUGAUGUUUCCCUACCUAAGAUAUGAUAGACCAAACUCGUGGUCUUACAACAUUGUCAGGUUUGAUCAUUGACAUGUUUAAAUUUCCAAAAUCAAACUCUACCAUGUUUCAAUGGAGUAACUUUCCAACUGAAAAUACGAAAACCUGUAUUAAUAUGUCAAAUGCACCAAAUUUUAUCAUGUUUAACAUGAGUUGAUCAAUUCAAAUGUUUUUAUUCACUUCUAAUUGAUUCUUAAUUUUACCAACCAUUAUUCGACUAUUUAGGCAUCGAUCGAUUUAAAUUUGACUACUUAUCAUUUUCAACUACAAUUCAUACUUUUCUUAAGGAUAAACUUUGUCAUUAUAAAACUUUUAUAUUUAAAAUUGGAAGAAGUGGUUUGACUUUGCAACAUUAUAGUCCAUCUUGAGCCUUGUGUUUAAAUAACUUAUAUCUUUUUUUUUUUUUUUAAAACGAUGUUUCACUACUUAAGAUAUGAUAGAACAAACUCAUGAUCUUACAACCUCAACCGGAUUUGACCACCGACAUGUUAAAGUUUCCAAAACUAAACUCUACCAUGUUUCAAUGAAGUCUAUUUCUAACUAAAGACACGAGAAUUCAUAUAAACAUGUUGGAUGCACCAAAUUUUAUCAUGUUUAAUAUGAGUUUGAUCAAUUCAAAUGUUUUUAUUCACCUAUAAUCGUUAAUUUGACCAACCUAUAUUCGACUAUCAAGGCAUGGAUUAUUUGAAUUCGAUUGUUUAUCAUUUUCAACCACAAUUCAUAUUAUUUUUAAGGGUAGACUUUGUAAUUAGAAAACUUUUAUACUUAAAUAGGGAGUAGUUUGACUAUGCAACAUUAUAGUCCAUCCUGAGUCUUGUGGUUGGAUAACUUAUAUCUUUUUUUGAAAGAAACGACGUUUCACUAUCUGAGAUAUGAUAGACCAAACUCGUGAUCUUAUAACCUUAGUCGGGUUUGAUCACCGACAUGUUUAAAUUUCCAAAAUCAAACUCUACCAUGUUUCAAUAGAGUAUUUUUUUUUUCUUCAAUUGAAGACACAAAAACCCAUAUAAAUAUGUCGGAUAUACCAAAUUUUAUCAUGUUUAAUAUGAGUUGAUUAAUUCAAAUGUUUUAAUUCAUCUCAAAUCCUUAAUUUGGACAACCUUUAUUUGACUAUUUUGGUAUCGAUCGAUUUAAAUUCAACUUCUUAUCAUUUUCAACUACAAUUCAUGUUAUUUUUACGGUAAACUUUGUCACUAAAACGUUAUUAACAAACUAGUGCUUAAACAUCAUUUGAAGGUAGUUCCAUUAUUGAUGCUCUGAAAAGAGACGGCAAUGAAUAGCAUAGCAGAGACGUACUGAUACUAUAGUACAUUUUGGUGCCCCACUAUUGAAGGACAUUUAUAUAAUUUUACUCCUAUAUUAUAUAUCUUAUCUAUCUAAUUGGGACCUUUUGUCAAAAAAAGAAAAAAAAAUUGGGACCUAACUUUUUUAUUUUUAGAAUCUUCAACUAGUUGAAGGUGAGAACGACAAGGGAAAGAACGUGUUACUUCUGCCUUGCAUUGAAAACAUACAAUUUAGAUCGGGUUUUCUGUAAUUUUCUUAGCUGAACUAAAAGUGGUUUCCUUCAAAAAAAAAAAAAAAAUGGUUUUUAUGGUUGAAAAAUCGUUUUAAACAUUAAAUUCAACGUGUAAAAUUGAUUUUGAUUAACAUUGAGUUGCAUAUAAAAUAGGAAAAUAAUGGGAAAUGUUAACUAAGGAAUUGCAAAAGGAUAUAUUGUAUUGAAAACGGUGUAUUCUAAAAGUUAAAGAAAAUAAUAUUUUCAAUAAAAAAAACUUAACUUUUCUUUCCACUUUGAGUUCUUUAACGAGUGCCUUGGGGUACUGGUUAACUAGAAUCUAAAAUAAUUUUAAAUUAUAUUUUUUGUUCCUUAACUGAUUAUAUAGAAUCGUUUUGGUCUCUUAAUUAAAAUUCUAUUUAUUUUAAUCUCUUAACUUCUCUCCGUUACUUAUUUUGGACCUUUCCAUUAGUUUUAAUUCAAAAACGUUAUGUUUUCUUCAUUUUUUUCUCAUCUUUUUCAUCUUCAUAUCAUCUCUAUCAACCUUCAACAAUAAGAAUCCCAGAAAAAUUCGAGAAGAAAAUGAAGAAAACCUAAAUUAAUUUAUGCAGAAUGUUUCUUUCAAUGUCAAUAAUUUUUUUUUAGAUUUAUUAAAUAAAUAAUAUAUGGAGUAUAUAAUAUAGAUCAAAUACAUUUGUUAUUCGAUGAAUUUAAAAAGAAGCAAAUCUAUAAAAUAAUUUUAUACCUUUAGAAUCAAUUUGAAGUUCUCAAAAAUAGAACUAAACAUAACUUUUUUUUUUUUUUUUUUACGUUAACAUACACUUGUGUGAUUGUUUGAUUGACAUACUUCAAAUAAACAACAAUCGUUGAUCACUUAUAGACAUAAAUGAAAAAAAAUAAGAUUUUGAUUCUAAUCACAACGUUUGAUCUAAUAAUUUCGAUUUUUUAAUCGAUCAAAUUAUAUAUGGAUUUAUCUUUAAUAAAGAAAAUUUAUCAAAAAGAUAAAAGAGCCAUUGAUAUGAUAUGAAUAUAAUAUGAAGAGGCGAGUUUUUUUAUGCUACUUUUAGUCUUUUAAAAAAAUAAAAAGAGUUUAGAUAACAUAAAGAAAGAAAAAAGCUGCAAAUGGGGGGUUAUGUGAAUGUGAUGGGUUAGGGGGAUAUCAGUAAAGAUCAAUAUUGUGUCUCACUCUCAUUUCAUCAUCUAUCUUACUUUUUCCAAUGCCACGACCAUACGACAUCAGGUAGCCACGUCGAUAUACAGUACAAUAAUCACUUUAUUCUUUAUAAUGUUAUAUAGUCUUUCACAAUUUUAUAUUGAUUUUUUAACAAGCCCAAAUAUAAUAUAUUAAAAAUCUUUGAUGGCUCAACUCGUACAAGACGUACUGAACUGCUUUUUUUUUUUAUCCAUCUCACAUUAAUAACUCGGCCUCUACCACCUAUAGGUAGUUUUAGACAAGUUUCCUUUGAGGUCGAUGCCUAAAUCCCAAGUAUAGCUCGUAAUAAUCUAUCUUCCGGAGCAUAUGAGGAUUCUUUCGCCAUUUGAGGCGUUAAUUUACCCACUAAAAUAUCCCCUGUUUCUACCCAAGAUCCCAGAAUCACAAUUCCAUUUUUGUCUAAAUUUCGGAGUAAAUGGGCUUCUAGAUGUGGAAUUUUAUUGGUGAUUCUUUAAGGAUCAUGGCUUGUCACAUGAGUCUGAAUUUUAUAUUUCCGUAUGUGAAAAGAAGUAUAAAUAUUUUCAUAGACCAGACGUUCACUAAUGAGUACAGCAUCUUCAGAAUUGUAACCUUUUCAUGACAUAUAAGCUACUAAUACGUUUUUUCCCAAAGCGAGUUCACCGCCAACAGUAGCAGCACCAUCUGCUAAAAUUUGCCCCUUUUUUACGCAUUUACCACCAACAAAGAUGCAAUAUCAAGUUACAGGUGCAUAAACAACGCACUUCAAAUGAAAAAGCAAAAACAAAAAGAUUACAUCAUAACACCAUACAACAUCUCUAAAAAAAGCAAAACCAUACAAUACAAAGAGUGGUUUUACCGGUCAUGAUAUUGAUUCAAUUUAGUUUUGUAUAAAAAGGUAAAUUGAAAUUAAUCUCUACUAUUUUUACUUUAGAUACAGUUGAUCUUUUUUUUACAAAUAGAUCAUAGAUUACUUUUUUUUGAAAGGUCAUAGAUUAAUUUAUCAUUUCGUAUGAUUAUUUUUUUGUUAAAGACUAUUUUGAACCAUAUACCAUAAAAUUAUAAGACUAAACUUUUAUCACGAAAUUAACAUCAUAAAGGUUCAAACUCCUACUCCUGCAUAUAACAUGUAAUAUUUCUACCAACUGUGCUAAGCUCAUGAGGAUACACUGUUGGAAAUUUAGGUCUUAAUAAAAAAACAGAUUUCAUAAAACAUGUUCAACAAUUAUGAAUCAACAACGGAAGCAAAUAAAACAUUGAACAUGAUUAUAAUCGGAUCUACGACAUGUUUGAAUUAUCAAGGAUAUUAAGAAUUAGGGUAUUAUGAAUAUCUGGAUAGAGCUUUCAUGACAGCCCUCUCAACAGCAACCAUACACAGAGAGAGGAGGUGAUGAUCUGAAACACACAAUAUAGGGUUAGCGGCGGCUGAUUUGGUUCUUCCUCAACAGGUACCUUUAUACCUCAAGUUCUCUUCAGAUGGGGAGAAGAGAGAGUUUGUCGUGUUUGAUAUAUUGGGGACCAUAGCCUCUUUUAUAUUGGAUGGCCAUUAGGGUUUCCCAUUAUUCCUUAAUGGGUCAUCCGGACAUCCACUCAUUGAGUCCAUAUCAACUAAUUAAUUAUUUAAUUAAUUAUCCAAUUAGAAAUCUAAUAGCCUUAUUACUUAAUUUGAUCACUAAUCAACUAAGACCCACAAUUGAUAAAUAUAAUUAUUGUUACAAUAUUUAUCCACAUAAUAAUAUUGAAAUAUAAUAAAUAAUAAAAUAUUCGAACAUACACCACAAAUAUUUUUUUAAUCUAUAUUAUAUCAAAUAGAGUCAUUCAUUUUAAGAAACAGAGAAGAUCUCAAUCCUAAUAUAUUGAGAGAGUCAAGGAGCAAUCACAUAAAUGGAUUGUACACCACAUUUUUUUCUCUCUAAUUUUUUUUAAAUAAUUUGGGGCAAUUUUCUACUUUUUUAAUGAAAAUAAAUUUAUCUAAAAUAACCCUCAAUGUGAAAUUGGUGGCAUGAAUGGAUCAUGUCUACGGAAAGAAUCAUAUCUUAGACUACAUCAUGAUAGAAUAGACCAUACUUUAUUAAAAUAAUGAUAAAUAAUACUAAUAUUUUUUUUAAAAAAGUUUAUCUAGCUCUAAAUGUCAUACUAGAUGUCACAAAAAAGUUUUAAAGCCAAAUAACAUUUUUUUAGGGAACUUAUUAACAUACUUAUUCAAGUAAAUAGGAAUAAUAGUACUACAAUUAUUAUGUUAAAUUUUCUACUUUGCAUUAAAAAAUUUAAUGACUUUACUCAAAAAAAAUUUAAUGACUUAAAAAUAUUUUCCUACAUUAUGGUUUUUGUAUAUUUAAAUAUGUUAUUAUAAACUAUAAUUGAAUAUAUUAUAAUAAUUAUAUCUUUUAAAAUAUCAUGUUAAAUAUGAAAAUAAAACAUAAUUUCAUAAAUUUAUUAGUUUGUAAGUCUAUUCUAAGAUAAGCCAAAUAAUUUACUUAAAACAAUUUUUCCCCUUCAAAAACACUAAGUAGGAGUGCACCAAUUAACGAAUUCUUAAUAACGAAAUAAGAUAAACUUUUUUUUUGAAAUAAUAUAUGUUUAACAAUUCACACCUUAAAAUAAAUAAUUGAAAAAUUCGAUGUUCGAACUCUGACAUUUUAUAUUUCAGUGUCUAUACCAAUUGCGAUAUUCUCACAAAUAACAUAAAAUAAACCUUUUAAGUAGCUAACAUGUCAUGCUACUCUGUUGAAAAAAGUAAUAUUCAUUCUUAAAAUUAGGCAUAUGUCAAAUAACAAUAGAAGAAAUCUAGACGGCCAAAUUAGACUAAGAUCUUAGAAAGCCUAGUUAGAUCCGAUACAUUGUCACCUCUAAUUAAAGUAUAAAACGAGUGGAGGGGAAAAAGAUUAGUAGAAAAUAAAGUGUCCGAUCCCAACAAUGUCAAAAGUAAAAGUAAAUUGAAUUAUGGGAACUGAUAAAACCGUCCAAAUAGUGAUACAUAGCUUCAUUGAAAAAAGCCAAACAGUUGGUGGUGGUUUCGUUUCUACAAGCAUCCAUCCAACAACGAUGUGUUGUUUGACAACUUGGAACCUUCUUUACUUGUGUUUUGAUUGAUUGAUUAUAAAUUAAGCAAAGAUUUGUCAAACAAAACCUUAUUUAAUUCUAAUAUAUGUCUAAAAAUAAUAUGCUUAAACAACCAUCUUAGUCUCUUGAUAUGUGAUAAGUUUUGUUGAUAAUGUAUUAAAAUUGUAAUCACAUAAUAUUUUUAUUUAUUUUAAUCAUCAAAUAUGUUUUUGUUGGUUAUUUUAUUCUUCUUUUGUUUUUUGUUAGUAAAUUAGCUUUUAAUCUAUCAUGAAAGAGUUAUGUUUUCUAUCAAAAAUAAAAUGAAAGAGUUAUGUUGAUGAUCUCGUCAUAGACCUCAUGAAUAUAAUAUUUUCGGUUGUAGAACCCUAUUACAUAAAUGGUUAGAUCAUCAACAAAACUCCUUUCCUGUUAGGUUCAAACAUUAGACGAUCUUUUUUUUUUUUUUUAAGGAAAAGAUUAGCCAAUCUUUUGAUAAAUAGAAAAAGUGAGAGGAUCCAAUUUGUCUAUCAAAAUGCAAACAUAUAUUUGAUGAUGUAUUGCAAUUUUGAUACACUAAAAAAUUAUAAGGACAAUGUACGACACAAGGAUCAUAUUUAGUGUUUAAAAUAAAUGUUAUUUGAACAAAAAAUUUGUAUAUGUUUUGAAAUAUCAAUGAAGAUUCUUUUUACAUAUUUAUUGAAUGACUAAUAUAUUUUAUUGAUAUUAUAGAUCAGUUAUGUAAAUUACAAAAUAAAUUUGAAAAAAAUAUUAUAUUUCAGAUCAGAUGAUGUAUCUCAAAACUUAUACGAUAUCGAAAUACGAUAUCAACUUUUUGAUUGACUUAAGUGGUAAAAGACUCCAUUUUGUUUUUCUUCUCUCUUUGAAGGAACUUGAAAGCUUCAAAUAAGUGAAAAAUUUGAUAAAUGACUCUUCCUUAUGAAGUUGUAAAGAAAAACACUUAUCCAAAAAAUUCGAUUGAAAGAAUAAAACUAUUUGUGUAUUCUUCACAUAUUUCUUUAAUCACGGUUAAAUGACGAUGAAAUUUUUUGUAUCAAUAACAUCUUUAUAAAAAAAAUUGGUUAAAUAUGUUUUUGGUCUUUAUAAAUAUACAAACUUUUCGUUUUCGUCUUCUUAAAAUUUUGUUAAACUUUUUGCCCUUCAAAAGUUUUUCAUCACUACUUUUAAUCUUUUCUCUUAGUCAACUUAUGUAUAGCCUUCUUAUUUUUUAAUGAAAUUGUCUAGAAAUAGGUAGUAUAUCAUGACAAUCUCUCUCCUUUAAAACUUGUAGUUCAUUAAAAAUUCAAUUAAUGAUGUAUGCGGUUCAUAUUAUGGACCACAUACAUCAUUAAUUGAAUGAACUUAAAAAGUCAAUUUUGCUUAUAUUUAGAAACGGAUGGAGUAACAACAAAUUGUGACAAAAAAGAUAAAAGAUAAAAAAGUUUUUUAAAAUUAAGUUAAAAGACAAAUUGUAUAAUUUUGCCAAAAAAUAUAUUAAAUAGUUCAAUUUCCAACUUAUUGAAUGCAUCAAUUUCUAUAAAAACUUAUUUAAAGAUUGUCAAAGAGUGUCUUAAAUGUAUUCGUUAGCAUUUCCUAUAAAAAAAUGGUUGAAAGAACAAAACUUAUCGCUUAUUCUCCAUAAAUUUCUUUAAUUACAAUUAAACGACGAUAAAAAUUUCACAUCAAUAAAGAAAACUUAAAGAGAUUUAAAAAAAAAGUAGAUAGAAAAACAAAACAAAACCAAUCCAAUUCCAAACCAUAAAAAAAGUUAAAUAGUUCAAUUUUCAAUGCAUUAAAUGUAUCAAUUUCUAUAAAAACCUUCUUAAAGAUUGUCGUUGUUUUAAAGGUACAAAAUUUGAUCACUAUUAUAUGUAAAAAUCAACAUUUUAGAUUUAUUCAAUUAAUGAUAUAUAUAUAUAUAUAUAUAUAUAUAUAUAUAUAUAUAUAAUCUUUAUUAUAUACCACAUACAUCAUUUAAUGAAUUUUAAUGAAUAAAUCUAAAAUAUUGAUUUUUGCUUAUAAUUGUGCACGGAUGUGUACUCGUUAACAUUUUUCAUAGAAACAGUUAAAAGAACAAUUGUAAUCAUUUAUUCUCGAUAAGUUUUUUUAAUAGUAGUGUUAUUUGAACAUCCAUUUGUUUGACAACCAAAUAAACAACCACGUUUAUACAAAAAAAUGUAUAUAUUGACAUAAAAACCAAAGUAAUACAAAGAAAAUAAAAAUAUAAUUCAAGUAUGAGACAAAAAAUAUCACAAAAAUUAUUAUAAAUAAUUGUAUAAAUGACAUUUCUCUUUUUUAAUCACGAUUAAACGAUGAAAAUUUCCCAUCAAUAACAUCUUAACAAAGAAAAUUUAAGAAGAAAAACAUUUUAAAAAAUAGACAGAAAAACAAAAACCAAGCCAAGAAUCUACCUUCACCACCAUAUGUGGUGUGACCUAACCACUACUGACCCACUCACGUCUCUCAAAUUUUCCAAAGUACCAAAUCUCUUAAAACUUUUUUUAUUUUUUGACGCAACUAAAUCUAAAACUUUAAAAAUACAAAAGUUGAAUAAAGAACACAUGAUGUUUCCUAGGCAUGUGGGCCCUACCACCGGACUUCAAAUUUUAAUUGAAUUUAGUUUAUUGUCAGAAAAGAAAAAUCAUCUGUCUGCAGUAAUGGCCAACGGAUCUUACACGCAAAAAAAGGAAAAUGCAGAAUGGCAGACACACCAUGAAUUCUUAACUUUCAAAACUCUAUUUAUCCCCUUUAUUAGUUUUUAAUUAUCCUUUUUUUUCACGUAACUUUGUGGCUAAAAUAAGGGGGUCUUUGGAGUUCGAACCCUAACUCCUGUAUAAAAUAAUGCAUUAUCACUACCAACUGAGUUAUACUCACGGAGACUUUAAUUAUCCAUUUUAUUAUCUUAAAUUAAGAUAAAUCUUGAGAGCAAAACUUAAUUAAUAGCUACAAAGAUAAUAUAUAUACAUGUGUCGCUUUGAACAUAAGAUAUACACUCUUUAGUCAUUAUUAUAAGAAAAAUUAAUAUUUUAGAUUUAAUAAUUAAAUAAUGUAUGUAUUAUGUAAUAAAGAUUAUAUACAUCAUUGUCCCGUAAGCAUAGUUCAAAAGGUAGGAUCAAUACAUUUUUAUAUGCAGGGGCAGGGGUUCGAAUCCCAGACACCCUACUUAUUCACCUUAUAAGGUGAAUUCUAAUCACUAAGCUACCUGAAGAAAAAAAAUAUAUACAUCAUUAAUUAAAUACAUCUAAAAUGUAAACUUUUAUUUAUAAUGAUGACCGAAAAAUAUACUACCACUUCUUCACAUUUAAAAUGUAUGAGUAUAUCCACCAACCUAUUUGAUGACAAAAUAAAUAAACUAAGAUAAUGUAUAUGGACAAUUUUUUUAAGGAAUGCAUAUGGACAUAUUUAAUACUUGCUUUUUAAAUAAAAGGGAGGGAUCUAGAAAUAUGUUAGAUGGGAAAAAUUAAUUCUAAGUAAUUUAUAUUUAAAUAAAUACUUUAAAAUGAAUAGAAAAUCAUAUUCCAUGUCCUUUUUAUUUGCAUCUUUUGUCACUCUCACAUGUAUCAAGGAAAUACACUAAAGUUAACAUGUCCAUAUUGUCUAGUUCAAACUUUUCAUUUACUUUUGCCUAAAAAAAGUUUUCAUCUCUACAAGUAAACUAACAAAAUCAAUAAAAGUAUAUUUAAAGAAAACUAAAUAAUUUGGUAAUUUAUAUUUAAAAACAAAUUUUAAAGAAUAUUUGUAAUUAAGGAUAUAUAAAAAUUAAUUUUGUCUUAUAAGUGAAAAAGUAAAGUUUCUCAAAAAAAGUGUCGCUAUCAAUUUUCAUCAUUGUUUUAAUUGAUUUUGAUCUAAUUGUACCGUGUUAUUAUGUUUUAGUGGUUAACGAGUUUCUUGUAAAAUGAAUUGUUUGUAGGAAUAAGAGAUAAAUUUUUGAUUAUAUUUUAGUUAUCUUUCGAUCGAAAUUUAAAAUUUUAGGAUCCUACUAUUAUUUUUCAGUGUGUAGUUUGCAUUUGUGAUGAUAAAAAGUACAUGAAUAACAUCUCUAAAAUAUAACAGACAAUAUUAAUAUUAUUUUAUUGCUCUACUUCAUUCAAAUCUAAAUUUAAGUUUACGAUGUUUUGACCAAAACAAAAUAAAAGAAAUUAAAUUUACGAUGUUAUAGUUGUAUAUAAAUUUUAGAUGAUGUUUAUCACUUUAUCUACGAAUAAAGUAUAAUAAAACAAGAUAGUCAAUCAAUUAGCUUAUGUGUGCAUCAUUCACACACGUUUAAAUAAAGCAACUGUUUUUGAAUAGUAAAAGUAGAAAAUGUCCAAAAUUAUGGUUUUUACACACACGCAACUAUUUUAGGUAUUUGGUCAGAAAAGGAAAAAGAAAUUAAAAAACAACGAGACAUCCGUGAAAGAACUUUGUUUUAUUAUUUACCCGAUUUGCACGCGCCUAUCACAAUCUUAAAUUAAUUAAAUUAAAAAUAAUUAAUUAUUUAUGACAAAAAUUAAAUUAAAUAAACCUUAUCCCACUUUUCCAACUAUUAUAUAAACCCUUUCACCCUUUCUCUCUCUCUUCAUCACUCUUUACUUUCUCUCACUUCAUUUCAUUUCCACCCUUUAUUUUCUUUCUCUUCAUUUUCUUUCUCUCCAAAAUAUGGAGAAUUCCACCGACAAGAGAAAGAGAGUUGAUGAUGAGUUUGAUGAAACUCAAACUCACUGUGUUGACUCAGUUCAUGCUAAGAUUCGUAAGAUUAACUCCUUUUCUGAUUCUGAUGAUGUUAACUUAACUGAAACAAAGACUGAAACUCAGCUUACCCGAGUCGACUCGAGUGAGUCGAGUCAGGUUUUUGAUUCGGAUGAGAUUUUUAAUAUACUUGAUGAUGAAAACAAUGCUCAUGAACGUGAUUCUGAGCCUGACUCAGUGAUGGGUCUUGACUCAGUUAUCAAAAGCUUUGAAGAAGAGAUUUUUGCACCUGGGACUGAACCAGGUCUGACUGAACCGGAACCGGUUCAGGUCGACCUGGUUCAAAUGACCGGUUCAGGUGAGAUGGAGAUGAACUUAGGUUACUUGUUUGAGGCUUCUGAUGAUGAACUUGGGUUGCCACCAACUGUGACUGAACCGGGUUUAAAUGAACCGGGUUCGGAUGAACCGGACAAGGUGGACUUGACCGGUUUUGUUGGGUUUGAUGAUGAUUUUACCGGUUUUGAUGGGUUUGGUUAUGGAACUGGGUUGUUGUCGGAGAGUGACGGUGGUGCUGAAGAUUUUGUGACUGGGGAUGGGUUGUUUGAAUAUGGUGAACCGGCGGCGGCGGAUGUUUUGUGGCGGUCGGAGUCUUUACAAGCUAUGUAAGAAGGUGGCGUUGAGAUUUUGGGGUGGAAAAUGUAAAUCUGAGAAAAUGUUGGGGUAAUUUUAGAAGGAUGAAAAAAUGGAAGAUUAGAAAUGUAGGUGAUAGAUGUGAAAAGGAAAAGUUUGUAGGAUUAAGAUUUGUUAAUGGUUCUUUUGUUGAAAUUUAAUUUAAUGAGAAACAAAUUGGUCCCAAAUUAUGACAUUGUUUUGUUUUUUGCAUACUUAAUUAUCUUUUCUGGUUUAGACGAGGGUUCUUGCAAAAAAAUUACCUUGAAAAAUACAAAACUAAAAUAGUUUUUUAUUUUGGAUGUGGAAUCUUAAAUACUUUAGUUUUACACCAAAUGGGAUUCUUUUUACUAAAAUAUUUGUUCAACUGAAUUGAUGAAAUAUAUUGAAAGAAACACAAUCGAACAUAAUGCAUAAAUAAAAUUACCACAUCUAUUUUUCUUGCUAGAUAAUCGAAAUGGUAAAGUCAUCUUAGGCUCACACACAUAAAAUAAAAGGUGGUGGGAUUCGAACUCCGUCGGAAUAUAUAACUUAAUAAUUUUGACAUUUUUAUCCAUUAAGUUAAGAUUUAUUGGAUAGUUAUCGCAUCUAUUUUAUUAAGGAAUUGUAUUAUUUGAAAACUUUUGCGAGAAUUCAAUUUUUUUUUUGGUCUAGUAAAUCACUAAAAUUAAACUCACAUAUAAAUAUCAUUCAAUAUCAUUCAUCUUUUUUUUUAAGAGAAAAUAAAAGAUCUAAAAAUAUUUUAAAUUGCGGUUGUUGGUGAUCGAGUUAAAGAUUUUGCGAUUUAGAUUGUAUUGUACGAUGUGUUAUAAAUUUCGGUUGUUGCACUGCUGAACUAAUCACAGACGGAUGUCACGCUGGUUUUAAAACAUUUAAUAAUUUUUAUUUCAAUUUUGUGGAAGACAUGAUUCCUCCAAGUGUUUCUUCUCAAUUAUUCCUUUAAAUGUGGAUUGUUUUUUGUAUGGUUCUUAACUAAAUUCACCAUUAUUUUCUCAAAUUCAUAAUUUUCUCAAAGUUUGUUGUAUCCAAAAAAUAUGUAUCUUUAGUUAAGAACUAUACGAAAAGUAUCUAAGAAAUUGUACCUAAGUUUUUUAUUUUAUUUUUUAUCUAGUAGUCUAGUGGAGAUGUCCGAGGUUUCAACCCUGACCUCUGCAUAAAUUAUGCAAUAUCCCAAUCAACUGAGCUAAUCUGAACAACAUAAAUCACUUUUAAUCAGAACUAUUUUUAACCAAAAUCAAUUCUCCAAAAUAAAUUCUAUCACAAUUCAUUCUUUCCACCUAACAAUCAAACACACGCUAAGAAUGAUAUCCCUUAUCACUUCAACUCACUUUUCUUCUCUGAUUCUAAUUUUUUCUAUAAGGUUUUGUAAUUUACGAUCAAAUUUAUACAAAAAAUGUGAUUUUUAUCCAUCUCAUUUGAAAAAAAAUAGAAUCCUUGACGUAAUAAUGAUUUGUCGCGAUAAUUAUUAUGAUUUUUUUCACUUCGUUCAACGAGUAAAGUGUUAACAACCAUUGUCAAAGUCGUUUUGUCGCCACCGUUUUCUCGAUAUUAAAAUCCUUUUUUCCUAGACUUAUAUAUUGACACCUAAGUCAAAGUUAGUGUAUAAUGAAUCAAAACAAGAUAAUUAACAAAUUGUAAAACUAAAUAUCGUAGUUAAUAGGCAUACAAAAUAAAGAAGAACAUGCAUCAAAUAAAUUUGUGAUAAAAAUAAGAUAAUUAAUAAAUUGUCGAACUAAACAUCGUACUUAAUAGCAAAAUAAGGAAAAUCUACCAACAUAAAAAAAUCUACACCAUAAAACAAAUCAUAAAAUAAAUCCAACAACCAAAAGGAUAAAAUAAGUCUAAAAAAAGAAAGAAAAACGGUGUAAGCGGGUCGACCAGUCCCAUUUUUACAACGAGUUAAGCGGAACGAACCAACUAUAAUAAACGAGUUCAAAAUUUUGACUUAACCCAAAAAAUAACCGGUUAAACGGACCGCCUCGACAGAUUUGACCCCGUUUUACCACCCUUAUUAAUAAGGAAGUUACAAAAAUGGAUUCAUAUGUUUGAUAGAAAGAUAAAAAAUUAAUUUCCAAAUAUACAACAUUUCCAAAAAUAAAAUAAUUUCCACUUUCCCAUGUUUUUACUUCCCAAGAAAGUUUAAAUAACCAUCCAACUACCAGUCAUACACCUCAUGUUUACAAAUAAAUCAUAAACAUGCUAUCAAUCAAUUAUAAUACUUGGAUCAUUAAAAAUAUUUGAUUUUAAUCAUGUUUAAUUUAUAGAGCCUAGCAAAAAAUGUUACAUGUGAUAAGCUAAAAUUUAAAAUGUUGGGUCUUGCUGAUAAGUGUUCUUAUGAUAUUAGUUAAGUAACAAGUGCCCUUAUAACAUAAGUUAAGGUAAUCAAAAUUAGUAGUUUUACAUUGAAAACAAUAAUUCGUAAACUUUUUACAAGUUGAUUUGACCAUUUUUUAUUACUCUCCAACACAGAAUUUCUAUUUUUAUUCCCUUAUCCAAUACCCCACCCCAGAGCACUAUUUAGCAUUUCCCUAAAAUGUUUCACAAACAACAAAUUUAAUUUCUUUAAAAGAGUAUUAAUUGAUAUAAAAAUAUCACAAAACAUCUCUAUUUUAUUUUCGUGAGCUGUCGUGUUAUCGCAUAUGAUAUAUGAUGAACGUUGAUUCUCUAAGCAACUAAGAUCAUUUCUGAUGACGAGGUCUUUACCUUUUAAGACAUGAUACUUACUAUAUAUCGUUAUUGGAUUUUUUUUUUUUUUUGGAUCUUCUAAGACUCAGGAUCGCACUUAAGACCCUUAUUUUUAAUUGGACUUCUCAAUACUAUUAAAACGAUCAUUGUAUUGUAGGAAUGUAAAUGAUGAAGAGUCAGUGGUGGAAUCGAUUUAGACCUUUUGUCAUAGGAUCUUCAGAGCAUCCACAAUGGUAGUCCACUAACAUGGACUCCUUAAAUGUAUCUCAUGCGUACACAUCACUUAUUUAUAGUUUAUUUUUAUUUUUAUUUAUUUUAUAAUGAAAGUACCUAUUAAGGACUCAAAUGACAAUACACUAAUAAGACUCCAAUAAAGAGUACUUAAAUAGAUCCCACUAACUUUACAUUAUUAUACAAAAAUUAUUUAUAACUUAUUUUGUAAGUGAGACUAACCCGUACAUAUUUUAUUACUUCUUUUACACAUGGAACCCGUUGGUUUCCCAUGAGAGAGAAUCCUUAUAUAGUUGUUUGUUGCUUAAUUGGACUCAUUUUUUCUUUCUUUAAUGAGGUCCUUAACAGGGAGUGGUCCUUAUCAAGUAAGGAACCUGCAUUAAAGAUGUUCUUAGAUACCGUAAUUAAAAGAUUAUAAAAAAUGAUGUAUACACAUAAAAUUUGUUUAAGAACUUUAAAUGAAGGUCUCCAUUGUGGAGCCUCUAAUACAAUUAUUUAUUCCCUCUAAAAAAAAUGAGUUUAUUAUUCAUAAAACAUUUAAACAAAAAUGAAAAAAAUGAGAAAAAUAAAGCAUGUACGGUACUUAGCUAUGAAGUUUGUCCUUUUGCUAGACACCAACCACUUCUGUAAUUGUACUACUCACUCGCUAUAUGCUGCAGAGAGUAAUGGAGAAUCCAAAGAAAAGCAUCCACCUCGUUAUCAACGAAGUGGUUGAUGAUAUUUGUUUGUUCGGUUACACAUGUCUUUCAUGCAGAAGUGUAAUGCAUAGACAUACUUUAGAUUCAGUGAGUAGGCUUGUCUAGGUUAAGAUCUUCUUUUUAAAUGAAAUUAUACAUAAGAAUAUAUUGAAAAUUACUUUUCUCCUUUUUGAAAUUAUUUAUUAUUUUGAUUUAGUGGAAGUUAACUUACAUAAGACAUUUUUUUAUUGGGAGUUAACUCACGUCGGUAUUUUAAAAAUACCUCUUGAGAAGUUAGCUUUUGAAGCACCCUUUUGUCAAGUAGAUAAAUUAGAAUCGACAACUUAUUUUUUAAGAAAUAGAUAAAUUUUCGAAAACAACUUUAUGUAAAAGAUAAAUUUGAAUAAAUUUUUAUAUUUUCAAAACAAAUGUAAAUUAGCUUAAGUUUGAAGAUAUAUGUUUAAAUCUAAGAAAUUGUUUUUUAAACUUUUAAAAUUACUCUCACGCAUUUGAGAAUUAUUUUAAUACUCUAACAACAAUUAACAGAUGUUCGCUCUAAGUUAAAUAUUAUAGAGUGAACGAUAUUUAACUGCCAUUGACGAUAUUGAAAGCAAUUUCAAAUGCAUGAGAGUAAUUUCAUAAGCUUGAAAAGCAAUUUCCUUAAAACUAAACUAAAAAGAAUAAAAGGCCUACUAGAAAAUGUGAAAGGCCCAUCUAACUAAGGCCCACACAAAACUAAGAGAGAAUAAAUACAAACCAAUAAAAAAAAAUACACCUUUAUAUUAUGGAAAUGUUAAUUUGCGCCCUUAGAGCACAUGUUAAGAAUUCCAUAAAUAGAAAUUAUGCAUUGAAAAUUGUGUUAAUUUAUUGGUAAAAAUGUUUAAUAUUAAUUUUUUCAUUAAAUUUUUACUAUUAUUAGAAUGAAAUUAAUGCUGCUCUAAAGACACAAGUUAACAUGACCCUUAUACUUAUCCCGUCUCUAAAUUAUAAUCGUUUAAGGUUUUUACACACAAAUUAAGAAAGACAAUAAAUUAGUCAACAUACAUACUAAUUUUACCAAACUAACCUCACUAUUUAAUUAUUUUAUUAUUUAAAGUUAAAUUAUUUAAAAGAUUAAAAGUCACAUUAAGACAUUAAUUACAAAGGUGGUAUAAAUACAGCCGAGCCAAUUAAAUGACAUGAUUUCACACAUGGCUCAAGAUGGCUGUUUUCAAGAAAGAAACAUGCAAUUACAGAUAGACAGAGGAGUAAAAGGCAUGAAGGGCAAAGUUGGAAAAAGUAAUUUAAUUCCACAUAGAAAUCACAAAGCGACUAUAAUUUUGCUACCUUUUUAUUUUUUUAAAACGUCAAACAUUAAGAGACGGUGGGAGUAUUAUUUAUGGGUUAAGGAAGCAAAAAAUAACAUGUUUACAUUGAUUUCAACAACAUUUUGAAGAACUCUCUCUUCAAUUUUUUUUUUUUUAAGGAACUCUCUCUUCAAUUUAGUUGAUGAACUAUAGAAAAAUACUCCCUAAGACUUAUUAAUCUAUCAAGAUUAUCUCGGAGCCAUCUCUCUUAAGAAAAUGAGGACUAACUUGAUGGAUUUAUGAUAGUUUAAGGACUACUUAAUAUAUUUUUUAUAAUUCAAGGAUCAAAUUGAAAAGAAAAUAAUAAUUCAAAAACCAAAUCGAUGGUUUAUUCCUAAAACUAAUUGAGAAUUGUUGUUCCCACAUUUGAUAAGGCUGUGUAACACGAGUAAUUUACUUUUUUGCCCCCUCGGCAGUUAACUGCCGAGGAAUUAAAAAUCCGGCUGCAGUUAAUUGCCGAGGAAAACCUCGGUAGUUAACUGCCGAGGAAAUCUGAACAUAAUCAUACACAGAACCAGAACAAAUCCAUUUUCAUAAAUUGCAAGCAAAUAGAUUGCACAUUAUCACAAGUAAGUUGUGUCAAUCAUUUUAAUGAUAAUGUUAAUUUGUUUAGGUUGAUUUUUUUUUUAAAAAUUAGAGUAGUUUGCAUGUGGUUAGGGUUGAUUUUAAAAUCGACAAUUUGAUGAUUGCUUGCAUGUGUGGUUUAGGAAUUGACAAAUGAAUGUAGUUGUUGCUUAUGUUGUUUAAAUCAUAAUGUGGUUUUGAAUGGUGGCAAAAGAACACAAUUUGAAUAUGUUUUAUACUUUGCACACAAAGUGUUUGAUAAAAUGUCUCAAUGACAAAUUUAUUGAUUAUUUAGUUAGUUUAGGUUAUGGAAAUGAUAGAAAUGAUGUUAAUUAUAGUUUGGUUAAGUGUAUAUUGAUUUUUUAGUUAGUUUAGGUUACGAGAAUUAUGAUGGACACAAAUGAUUUAGUUGUAUAGAAAUGAUUAAGUGUAUGUUAAUUAUUGAAUGAUAUUUAUGUUAUUAUGGAAAUGAUGGAAAUAAAUUUUAUUAUAAUGAUGAUUAUAUUGAAUGAUUUUAGGUUAUGAAAAUGAUGUUCAUUGUUGUAAUUUUAAUGAGUUUGAUUAUGUUUAUGUUUAGUUUAGGUUUAAUGUGUUUGAUUAGGUUAUGGAAAUGAUGUUAAUUAUUAUAUCCACUUUUAUAUGUGUUUUUUUUUUAAAAUCUUUUCUUUAUGUUUAAUUAUUUUCUUUAUAUUCCUUCAAAAAUUAUUUUCUUUAUAUGUGUGUUUGUUUAAUUAUUAUAUCUACUUUUAUAUAUGUUUUUUUUUAAUUCUUUUCUUUAUGUUUAAUUAUUUUCUUUAUAUGUGUGUUUGUUUAAACUAUGUUUAUUUUUCUAUUAUUUCAGGUUCGUAAGCUCCGUGUGGUAAAACCGAUUAAUCAUGGGGCUAAGAUCUUGAGUCUCAGACGCCCAAACGAGAAUCAUGAUUGGUUUUGAGAUCCGCUUAGGGAGAGCGGGUUACAUGACUUGGUAUAUCUGGGCUACGCCACUGUGCCUCAUGCCAUGCUGAUGACUCUGCGAGAGGUGGCAUCCCGAGACCAACACCUUUCACAUGCCCUUGUGGGAGAUGACUGUGACCUUGGAUGAUGUCGCAUGUCUCACGCAUCUUCAGAUUGAGGGGCGGAUGUUGAGCCAUGGGAAGAAGAUGUCGAGACAUGAGGGAGCGACACUACUUAUGAGGCACUUGGGUGUGUCGCAGCAGGAGGCAGACAAAAUUUGUGGGCAGGAGUACAGUGGGUACAUUAGCUACCCUAGGCUGAGGGACUUAUAUACGAGGUACCUUGGUAGGGCCAACGUAUUGGCUGAUACGGAGGAUCCAGAGGAUCUGGAGGAGCGGGAGAGGGUUAGGACUUAUUGCGUGAGGUGUUACCUUCUCUACUUGGUUGGAUGCUUGUUGUUUGGCGAUAGAAGCAACAAACGCAUCGAUUUGGUCUAUCCGACGACCAUGGAGGACGGCUACGCAGGGAUGCGUAAUUAUUCCUAGGGAGGGAUGACACUCGCAUACCUAUACGGCGAGUUAGCUGAGGCGUGUAGGCCUGGAGACAAAGCUCUUGGGGGGAGCGUGACACUGAUGACUGUAAGAAACUUAUAAAUGUGAACCUUAACUUUUAUUUUUUUGUUAUAUUUUUUCGUGCGUAAUAAUUUAUAAAUGUGAUUUGUUUGGUUUGUGCAUGCAUGAUUUUUGGCGCAUUUUCCUGGCUUUUACAGUGUUGAUCCCAACACUGACUACAUGGAAAACUAUCCGGUUGCAGCGAGGUGGAAGCUUCAGAAGGGUCACGGAGAGGGGGUUACGUAUAGGUCACUACUUGAUCGUAUGCAGUUUGAUGACGUAUGCUAGAGGCCGUACGAGGAGCACAGAGAGAUCCAUGAUUUUGAGGAGGUUUUAUGGUAUUCUGGCUGGAUUAUGUGCGGUGUUCGUAGGGUGUACCGUCACUUGCCUGAGAGGGUUUUGAGGCAGUACGGAUACGUCCAGACCGUCCCCAGACAUCCGACGGAUGUUGUAGAGCUGCCACCGCCUCACAUUGUGUAGGCGUUCGUCGACUUCCGCACUCACACGCUUAAGGCGGCCGAUUGGGGUGAGCAGGCAGGAGAGCAGACAUGGCGGAUGGCUAUGUGCUAUGGUACACUAGGGUGUCUCACCCUCAGAUCUUGCCACCUCUUUCAGGAGAUCUUCCGAGGCCAGCAAAUGAAGAGCAGAUCAUUGCACAGCAGUGGGAGCAGUAUGAGGUGAGAAACUCGCUUGACACCUAUGACAUGGUUUGUGGCGUUGUUGCCUACGCUGAUGCGCAGUUAGGCCAGGAGCAUGACCCCUCAGCAGUGGUUUCAGGCCAUGAGCCAUAUUAGGGAGCAGAUCACGCCGAUUUUGACCAGGAGGCGAGGCCAGAGGCCGAGGAGGAGGCAACAUCAGCAGGACCAGGAACAAUAGUAAUAUUUUGUUUUUUAGGACUUGUUUUUUAGUUUUGGUGUUUUCAUGACAUUGAUUUGUAUAUUUGUACUUUGAUGACAUUACUUUUAAUUCCAUGAGAUUUUUUACUUUGUUUAAUGUAUAAAAAUGUUGGUUUAAUUAAGUUGUGCAUUUGCGCCAAUAUUUUUUUGUGAUUUGAACCGUUAUGAUGAAUUUCAAACGUUUGUGUAAUUUGAACCAAAUGUCGGUUUAAUUUAAUUAUGAACAAUUGUAAAAAAUAUUGUAUUUUUCUUGUUUAUGUCCGAGUUUCAAUGUUGUAUGAAUUAUUUUGCCUUUCGAAAUGAUCUACUUUAAUUAAAGGUAAAAAAUGGCUGAAAAAAUGGCUUGGAAAUGUUUUAGAAUCAUGAAGAGUUCAUUGUCUGCAUAAUUUAUUUUCCUCGGCAAUUAACUACCGAGAUUUUCCUCGGCAGUUAACUGCAGCCGGAUUUCUAAUUUCUUCUACCGAGAGGGCAAAAAAGUAAAUUACUCGUGUGCCACAGCCUUAUCAAAUAUGGGAUCAACAAUUCUCAAACUAAUUAGGUUAACUAAUAAUGUGUUUUUGGUUGUUCUUCCCUUUGGGUCCCUAUAUUGUCGCAUAAAAGUAUAAAAAAUACAGGCUAUCCUUUCCAUUUCUUUGGCUGGACUCCUUUUCUUUGCGUGUUCAUUUUUCAUUUUUCUUUACUCAUUUGUUUAUUCUUAAAGCCUAAAUGAGUGUUUUUUUUUUCUUUUUUUCUUUCUUUCUAAAGAAGCCUAAAUGAGUUGCUGACAACUUUAAUUAAAUACAUUUGUAAAAAGAAACUUUAAUUAAAUAUAGAAUGUUCAUUAAUGUUAGCCCGUAAACAUUUACAAGUUGACACUACUAGUGAACUUAAGUAUAUUUGGUUUCAUUUUGGAUAGGAUAGAGUUGAUUAAGUUCGACAUUUCAAGUGUUUUCGAAUAAAACUUAUUUUAUCUCUAAAGUUGAUCCUUACUUGAACUUAAAAUUACUAUAUUAUAUUAUAAUUGAAUUUUAGUUUCAAACAUAUUAUUCAACUCAUUGUUACGAUCGGCCCAACUGCGUCACCAAACUCCAACUGGGUUGCUCCGCGUUGUCUGUUGCUGACGGCAAUGCUUCAUUGUCGUUGAGUGUGUUUUGUGCUCCGGUUGUUUCUAAAUAGAUUUGUGCUCACCGUUACAGAUCGCGUAGGUGCUCUGAAUGUCUCAUUCAAUAACAACGUUGGCCGCGGUUGUUUUGGGUGAGUGAAGGAGUUGAAAAUCACAACUUUGUUAUUGUGAUUUGUGUUUAUGUGUUGUUGGGUUUAUUCAGGUCAGAUCUGUUGAAAGUCUGGCGUUGAUUGGGUUUUGAUUCAAACUUUGAAGUGGUGUUGUUAUGCUGGCACGAAUAGGUCUUUGUUGUGUUGAUGCAUCGCCUCUUAAUUUGGUGUCGUACAAAUGCACGAGUGCGGUAGACCGUUGUGUAUAUUGAUUUUCUUUGGAUAGAGAUUUGUGCUUUUGAAGCGCAUUGUGUUGUUUUAUUUUAUAUUUACUACUUUUAGUAAAAUACCUUAUUACUAAUUCUUGUUUGUCUUCACCCUUCUAUUCGUAGAAAAACGAGUUUUGAUAACCCACGUUCAAUUGUAAGUAACUCGACCAAGAUUAUUCUAAUAAGAAUUCAAAUUCUUUGUAGUUAAUUGGAGAGUCAACUACUCCCUUGAAGCAAUGAGAUUAAGCUAUUUGGAGGGGAGGGAAAGAGAAGAGAGGGUUUUGGAAGAGGGGAGGGAAAGAGAAGAUAGGGUUUUGGAGGGUGAUAUAUAUAUAUAUAUAUAGAAAUUGAGAAAUCUUUUAAAUUAAAAAAAAAAUAGAUUUUUUUUAAAUAAUGAUAAACUAAUCUAUAUGAUUAGUAUAUUUUUAAUUUUAAGAAUAUUAUAUCAAUAUAGAUUGAAUUUAGAAAAUACAUAUAAAUUGAAAAUCUUCCAAAACUCUCAUCCAAUAAUACAAUUUCUAAGUUCCCCUAAAUGAGAUGGAUUUUCUAUUAUUAUGAAUAAAAAUUAACCCCCAAAGUCUUUUUUUUUUUUUUUUUUUUUUUUUUCUAGUUAUUUCUUCAUUUUUUCUAAAACUUAUCCCUUCCCUAUCCUCCGAACUCUCAAACAAAACCUUAGUGUUCAUUUAAGAUAUAAACGAGUAUAUAAGAAACAUUUUAACCAACAAUGUCGAUAUAGUUAAAUCGACAUCUUCACCCAAAUUAAAACCGAAAUUUUUUCAUUAUAUGCGUAUGCGUUUCAUUUCGUUUAAAAAAAAUUCUCUCAAAAAAAAAAUUUCGUUUAAAAAAUUGUCAAAAGAUUAAUAAAGAAAAACAUGAAAGAUUAAUUAAUUAUUUGUAUAAUCUUAUCCAAUAAAUAAAAUAUUCUUAUUAAAAAUCGAAACAUGCAAUCUAAACCUCAAACAUAGUUAUUGUUUGUCUCUUAUCCAUACAAAGGUUGCCACUUCCUACUUCCAACAACAUCAUCACUUUCUCUCUACUCUUUACACCCUCUAAUGGCAUUCACCGUAGCUACAUACGGUGGUGCAGGAAUCCUCUACAACAAGACCACCACAACAACACCCUACACCCUCCUACCAUCUUCUUCAAGAAGAACACUUCACAUAGUUUCAGCUAAGAAGAUUUCUUCACGUUCAAGAAGGAACCAACCAACAGAAACUGUUGAUGAGAAAAUAGAACCAAGGAAUGAGGUUGAAAUACCGUUUUACUCUGAUGAAGAUUGGCCUUUUGAAUGGAGACCUCCUGGUACUUACAAAGAUCCUGAUUUCUUUGAAGGUUCUCAGUGGAAUACUGUUGGGUUUGUUGGAGAAUGGUUGUGGAUUCUUGGUGUUCUUUUUGCGGUAUAAUUCAACUUCUAUCUUGUUUUUCUUUUGUUUCUUUCAAAUUUAUGAAUUCAAGUUUUUUACUUUUUUUUGUUGCUUGAGUGGUUGUUUGUGCAUCUUAUAGGAUAAGUGUUUAUUAUAUAAGCUAUUAUGAAUAAGCUACAAGAUAAAAUAAAGUUUAAAUCUUUCGAGAUAAGGUAUAGGUUGUUUCAUUAGUAUCUUGAAGGGUUUUGAAAAUAAGUUGAGAAUGAACAUAUCAUAAGUUUUUUUUUUUUCAUGAGCUCUUCCAAACAGUCUCAUAAGUGCUUAUGCCGGUAGAUAAACUCAAAUAAGAUAAUUCAUACAGGCCCCUAAUAUAGUAUCCAUUCAAGGCCACAAACCAUUUAUAUCUACGCACCAAGCCUGAUAGUAUUGGACAUGUAUUGGGAAUGAGUUAAGCUUGAUUUAAAAACCUAAUAGUAUGUGUGUGUAUUUUGGUUGAGUGGUUUUUUUGAGUAUGAGAGGAAUUUUGGAUGAGGAUAGAGUUUACUUUUGAGCUUAUUUAGUGACAUAAUCUCUUAUCUAGGAACAUGUUUGGAUUGGCGGUGAGUUUGAACUUUAACGAAAGCAUGGUAACAUCGUAAUUUUAUUGAAACUCUGAAGGGUUGUUUCUUGCCAAAAUCACACUGGGUCAUUUGAUUAUGUCAAAAUCACGGUCAAUUUAAAAUUUGCACUAUAGUGAAAAUGAAGGUAGUGAGAAAAAUUGGUUUGGAUUGUGAUGUUAAGGUUUUUGAAGAGUCUACGACCACAUCAAGAUCCUAAUUGUUGCCACAUGAUGCCAUAUUUGAAUUCACUAGGACUAUAUAUGGAUUCUUAGUGGCGUUUUCGCAGUAUGAUUCAACUACCAUCUUGUUUCUUGUUUCACUAAUUUAUACUGUGAAUUUGUAUAACAGAAAGAUGUUACUUUUACGCUUGAUUGUGUUGCAACAGAACAGAACAGAACAGAGUCCAAUGUGAUUCAUGUCGAUUUUGGUGCAUUGUAUUGUUCUAUUACUAAAUUUAAAACUACUACCGCUAGUUUCAAUUUAUUUUUAGAAUUUUGAAUGGCAUAAUUCCUCCUUACGUUAUGUGUACUUUGAAAUACUUUUUCGACAAUUGACUAUAGUGGCGUAGUCGCCUUACCAACGUGCUAACUCUUGAAAUUGCAAGUUUUUGGGAAGUUGUUUUGUGAGAAUGAUAGUUAGUUACCAUUGUUUUUACCUAAUAUAAUACUUGACCAUUUUAACAAGCUAUUUCUCAAGGUUUUCCUUAAAAAUUGUUAGACUAGUUUCUAUGUUCUAACAAUUUUCUGCAUACAUACUUCUGAUGUUCUUAUUCGCUCGUUCUCUUUGAUGCUGAGGAAUGUCUUGUCUGGAGAGUCUGACUUUUUAAUCUAGUCGUAUUAUUUAGGCAUGUAUGUUCUGUUUUUAGUUCUUUAUAAGUUCAUCGUGAUCGCAGGUAUUCGGUGGUGGGUAUGCAGCCAUAAACUACAAUCUAGGCGCAUCAGAUUUUAAGGAAACUCCUGCAUACAAGGAAUCUCAGUCUCAAGAACUUUUAGAACAACCCGAAACAUCUGAAUCGGACAUAUUCGACUCCAAUCCUACAGAGGUAGCUCCUAGUUUGAACUAGUCCAUCCAUAGAUACAAGCAAACAUACCUUGUUUUAGCAUAUAUGAAUCCAGUUGAAUGAAAAUUUCAAACUCCAUUGCACUCAAUUUGUAAGGCACUGCUUCUGCAAAUACACUGAAGUGUAUCAAUUCUGAGGCAAAAUUGUCAUGUUGGUGCCUGUGUUGUAUAUUUUUUUUUUCAAUUAUUAGAAGCUGCAACUUAUAUAGAUAAAAAACCAUUGAAAUUUAGAGUUGAUAUUUGGAUUCGAUGUUGCACAUGGAUAGUGGUUUGUAUGGCUUAUAUGUGUGUUUUGAUCUGCUUUGUUUGGUUUAGUAUUUUGUUACAAAUGUUGCCAAAAUGAUGUUAUGAUUCACUUAAGUUAUGUUUGGAUUGACUUAUUUGAGCUUAUCUACUGAUAUAUACACUUGUGACCUUGUUUUUGGAGAACUUAUUAAAACAACUUAUGACAUGCUCAUAUAAGCUGUUUUCGGCGUAUUUCCAUUAGCUCUCCAUUAUAGCUUAUGAAAACAACUUAUUAAUUAUACAAAAACAAUUUGACUUUAUUUUAUUUGUGUUAUAGAAAUAGCUCAUUCACAAGCGUUGAACACUUAUACUUUAAGCUGCAAAAUAAGUUGUUUAUUCAAACAGGGAGUUGUUUGUUCAAUUCAAAGACAAAUUACGAAAUUGGCUUAAUCCUUAAACAGUUGAGAGAACAGAAUGUUUUAUAAUUAUCUAAAUAUUACAAAAACAACUUCAAUUAAAGGAACAACUUUUUAACAGUACAUAAACAGACAUAGACAAACAAACAAUUCACUCUCAAACUCUAAAAGGAAAUAACACAACCAAUCUAAUAUAAUUUCUAAGAGGGAAAUAUCACUAAAACUAUAAAGUUGUAGAUAUGGUAUUAAGGCACUCAUAUGAACAUGAAUAUUGUUAUAGCCAUGAUAACAAUUAUUCCAUUCUUUGCAUUCAAGUUAAUAGCUUCACUUCUUCCUAAUCCAAAUCCAAUGAUGCUUGGUCUUGGUGGCACUGAAAAUAGUGGAGAAGCUACAAAAUCAAUAGAGAAAGAGGAUCAGUGAAACCAUGAUUAGUUCAAUUUCCAGGACCAAAAAAAAAGAAUUAAGAAAAUUACAAAUAUAUGUAACAUAGGAAGCUAACUUAUCUUUCUAAAGAUUCACAUUUCCUAUUCAUUUUGUAUCUUAGAUUUCUUAAAAUGAUAUAGAAGAUUAAUGAAUAAUUUAAUAAGAAUAUGGAAAAUGGUUUGUAUACCAGCAACAGUAGAGUUGUUCCUUGUCUGAAAAGAAACUUGAGAAUCUGGUGAAGAUGAAGGAGGCACAUGCAUUUUCACACCUGACAAAAAUAGAGGAAAAUCAGUUUUUUGUGUGAAAGAAUCACUUUUUCAAAAAAUAAUCAGUUUUACAUUUUUAUACAUGUCCUAAGUAUGCUAAUAAUAAAAUUGAAUAUAAGAAUUAAAAACUGAUAGCAUUAGAAGUAAGAGUUAGAAACAAGCCUAGGACUCAUGGUUUGAAUGUAAUAAUAUAUUGCAACUAAAUUAUAUAUAAUCUUUAGUUAUAUCUGAAGGUUAAAUGUGAUUGAUUAUGUGACCUGGACAAACUGAAUUAUCAACAUGAAGGUUACAAAAAGUUGGGAUCUGUAGAGCAAGUGUCCUAUUGAUGGGGAAAGAGGUAAAAGUAGUGUUGUUAAACAAGAAGCAAAGACAGUGUGGCUCUUGGCUAUAGAGUUGCUCAAGGUUGCUACAACAGCCGGUGGCCGGAGUGCUAACCGCGCCUUGCACGAACGGCAUGCAGGGAAAGAGAGGAAGGAGGCUUGAUGUGCAUGGAGCUAUUGUAGGGCUUGAGGAGGUUGGUUGCUGGGAAAGUAUGUUGGGUGGAUAAGAAAUUAUCAACAAGAGAAAAAUGUGACAGAAGAGAGAAACUAGAUUGCUAUGAAUAAGAGAAGCCAUUGUGUUGAGUGAUAGUGUGUGAAGAGAGAAAUGUUUAGCAAUGUGUCUAAAUAGCAAAUUUAGAAGUUUUUUGAGAGAUUUUACAUGCACUAUAUGUGAGUUUUAUCUUGUGGAAAAAAAGUGUGAGUUUUAUCAAUCACACACUUUUUGUUUUUUUAACUAAACCAAGGUUUGCAAAAGUAUAUCAAAAGGAAAAUCAUGUAUUGUUUGUUCAUGUAAUACAUGAACUAACAAGUGGUUGGACUCAAAUGUUUGAUGACUUUCGGUUAAAGACGAUUUUUUUUAAAAGAAUUUGGAUUUGAAUCAUGACUGAAAUGAUAAUUAACUAGACUUUACUUAUGUUCAGAUGAAUUCUUGAUUAUUAGAAUUCCUUCUCCAAUAAACCGGAGGGUUAAGACAAAAACAGAUUAUAAUGUUUUAAAUUAGAUUAAAGUGUGUAAGAUCCAUACUUUCCCUUACUCUCACUCAUAUUGCAAAUUAGAAGUUAAGAUUCCACAACCUAAACUCUUUCAUAUGGUCUCUCCAUGAACACUUGCAAACUUAUGAAAACUUGUUACAUUGCCUAGAAACUUAUAUAUAACAGUUCUAAAGUUCCUUUGCGCUAGAUUAUAAUUCAACCUAGUCUUACAUUAAGAUGCACACAAAAAUCUUUUCUACAAGUUAGGAUCAAAUCCUUACCUCAAUUGCAAAGCUCUCAAUCCAAUCCUACAAGUGAUCAAUAUGUGCAUGAGCACCCACAAACACAUAGAUUUUAGUUUCUACAUUUCUUUAGUAGUUAAGGCUGACAAAUUGAGAGGUUUUGGAAAAAAAUGUUUCUUCUCCAAAACCUCUACUAUGGUAAACAACAAGCUUAAGAUAUGUUAAAGUCUAACAUGAAAAAAUGCUAGGUUGAAUUUGUGGGAUGUCACAUUUGACUGAGGGUCUUAACCACUGGAAAUUGUGUGAAAUAGCAUAAUUUACAGAAUUAUGCUCUUCUCUCAUCAAGUUUCACUUCCAUCCAACCAAACUGACCAAAAUACCCCUGCGCUAGUUAACUAACGCAUGUGUAAAUCAAACGUGACUUAAUUUUACACAUGCGUGACUUAAGUCACGCCGCAUGAGUUAACUCACGCUCCAAAGUCAAAGUGCAGAUGUUGAUUAUUAUUAGGUUGAAUACAUAUAGCAGGUUAAUGAUCCUUAAAGAUAAACGGCAAGUCAGUCAACUCAAAGACAUUGAUCUCCCAUACCUUUCGUCUGUGGAGAAUUUCAAAUUCAUCAUUAAUUUAGUUAUUGAGCAUAUUCUACAUAAUUUGUUCAAUUUUAAAAUCAAGAAAAUGAGUUAGUCCAACAAAUUAAGAAAACUAAAUAUUUGUUCUACUUUCCAGUAAUAUUUGUUCUCCAAAACAUUCACCACAUUUCUGUUAAAAAAUGCAUCAUUACUUUCCAACCAAUAUAUUCUUAGCCAAAUUGAACCAUGCUAAGGUAAACACUCUAGAUGAAUUUAAGAAGAGUCAAGUCACCCCAAUAAUGGUUUUAUGAUGCAUAACAAAGUGAGUGUGAGUGUUAAUUAAAAGAACAAUCACAUGGGGAUGAAACUUUAAUGCAAAUAACUUCACUUUGGCUCCCAUGUGCCUUGCUUGGCUGCUUCUGUGUAUGUUUCAAUUCAAUUCACUUGACUUUGGAAUAUAAUAAAUUAGCGUGAGUUAACUCCCGCGGGGUGUAACACAUGUGUGAGAUAACUCAUGCGGCGUGACUCACGCAUGUGUAAAAUUAAAUCAUGUUUAAUUUACACAUGCGUUAUAUUUUGGUCAGUUUGGUUGGGUGGGAGCGAAACUUGCUAGGAGAAGAGCAGAAUUCUAAUUUACAAUCCUUUUGAGUUGGUGAGGCCCAAUGCGUAACCAUUAUGGUUGAAUCAAGAGCUUGCAAUGCAAUUGAUGAAUCACGAAGAGACAAAACCCUAGGCACCAAUUUAAGCUUUGAUAAAUUAAGGGUCUCACUAACGAAUGUCAUAAUGGCACUCUUUAAGGAUUCCUAAGUAAGAAAAUGUCUACUAAAAAAGUUAAUUAGUUAAAUUUCCAAUGCACAAAAUUCAUCAGUUUUUAUAAAAUCUUAAUAUUUAAGGUUGUUAAAGAGUGCCAUUAGAACAUUUGUUAACAUUUCUCUUAAUUAAAACAAAUAUAUUUUUAUACCAAAAAAAAAAAAACAAAUCAUUUUAUGAUUUGUGUCCUUAUUGCUAUGAACAAACUACUCCUUCGACCCAAUUAACAUUUACAAAAAAAUUGUUGCCCGUAAGACUCGCUACAAAUUACUAAAUAAUAUUAAAUGCAUUUAUAUGCUCUCUCCGUCCCUAUAUGUAAGCACCAUUUGUAUUUUUCAUAUUUCUUAAUAAAAGUUGAUAAUGCAAUUAAUGUGUCUAUUUUGUAUGUUGAUAUUACUAAAUUGUCCUUUGUUUGUUUGUGUAUUAAAUUUCACUUUUUCAUUUUUCAAGACAAGUUAAUAGUAUUAAUAAGGGGUAUGUUUAGGAAUAAUAAUAAUAAAUCUAUCUAGUAAUUUGAAAUGGAGUUUAUAUUUAGAGACAAAUUUUUAGUCAAAAUGAUGCUUAGAUAUAGGAACGAAGGGAGUAAAAAAGACAAUUUAUUACUCUAACAACUUUUCUUAUUACCUGUAUUAUUAUUAUUUUUUUGGUAAAAUAUUCUUAUAAAAAAGGACAGAGGGAGUAAUAAAUAUAAUAAAGAGAGCAAAUUAACUUCUUAUUCACCCCCUCUCCUAAAUUGAUGCGGUUGAUGAACAUCAACUUGCUAACAAGAAACUGAUGACGUGGUCGUGGAACAAACUUGGUAAAAAUAUCAACAACUUUCAAUUGAUUGCUCACAGGAGGAAGAGAUAUUAGUCGAUCAUCAUAGGCAUCACUGGUUGAAUGAUAAUCAACUUCAAUAUGCUUCUCAUAAAAAAGAAACUUCAAUAUGCUCAGUGUGUUCAUGAAAAACGAGAUUUUCAACUAUAUGGAUGACACUUGUAUUAUCGGCAUAAAGGGAGGUUAGCUCUAUUUCAGGAAAAUUCAAGUUCAACCAAAAGACCACGAAACCAAAUUAUUUCUGAACAAGCUAAGCAACAUACAUGACACGACACUCAAAUUUAUUAGAAGAUUUAAAGACUCUCGCAUGUUUCUUACUUUUUCAUGAGAUAAAGGAAUAUCCAAAAAACAUGCACCAACCAGUGACAGAUCGCCGAGUAUCAUGACACCCUUCCUAUUGGACAUCACUAUAAGAACUCAAUUUGGGAGCAAUUCCAAAUCGGAAAGAAUAGACCACAAUGAGAUUUUUUCGAACUAUAAGUGUGUACGAUAUAACUUAUCUUGAUAUGUAUUAGCAACACAUCCUCUUUUCAUCCCUCAUUUCAUAAUUUGAUGAAAUUCAUAUAGGUUCCACCACUUUUGAAAUAGGUCUCACUAAUUAGGUAAGGAGGUCCCCUGAAUUAGUGAGACCCAAGUGCAGCUAACUCAACCAUAAUUUUAGAGGGAUACUGUAAGAGACAAAGAGAGUCUCCUGCUAAGUGUUCUCAACUCAUUUUUUGUUGACAUAUAAGAAUAAUUUUGUACGAACAAGACAUUAAAAAUGAUUUUUUUUUGCACAGUAUUUAAAAUAUUCAUAUAGUUGAUAAUAUUAUAUGCUACCUUCUUUUAAAUUUUAGAAUGUUUAGUAUAUAAGUUUAAGUUAUUUUGCUUUUUCAAAUGUACUUAAUUAUAGUAUCUAAUCAUCUUUGAGUGAAAGUGCAAUUUUAUGUUUUGUUUCCUAGUUUUAUUUUAUAAGAAAAUGUUAUAAGAUGAGAACUAGUUUUUAAACACACUCAAAACACAAAAAAAAAAUGAUUCUCUUAAAAGUUAUAUGAAAAAGAGAUGCAUCGCAAAAUCACUUCAAAAAAAUAUUAUCCACUUAAUAAAUGUAUUUUCUUAGGUCAUUGAAUCUUUGUUUAUGAUUUGAAAUCAUCUAUAACAUAUGUUGUUGUGAAGCAUGAUCAAUUAAUUGCCAAUUAACAACAUAAAUCAAAAACUUAUUUAAGCAUAGAUGAUCUUUUAUACAAUUUUUUUUUUCAUGUACUGAAUUUAAUAAUUAUUGUAUCUUAUUGAAAUUCAUAAGUAGAGAGUUAUUACUUGCAAGCUUUCAUCUUUUUCUUAUGAUUACCGUUAACAGUUAUAAUAUAGUGUUUGCCUUAUAUAGCGCAACUAGAAUUGAAAACAUCUACAAAAUUACUUGGAAUCUCAUACAGCUGACACCUAUAAUUCUAACCGCUGGACUUAACAAUGUAUAGAGUCCUAACGGUUGGACUUAACAAUGUACUCUAUUAUAUCUUCUACCAUAAAUCAUAGACUUUGUAAACCUAAAAUAUGUUAUAUGAUACAUGUAUUUGUCAUGUAGCAAGAUUUAAUAAUUUCCAUAUAGAUGAUCCUUUUUAUGAAAUUCUGCUGUGUAGUGCGAUUGAAUAAUUUUGAUAUAGAUGAUCUGUCAUAUGAUAUUUGCAUCUGUCGUGUAGCAGAGUUCAAUAAUUUCCAUAAUGAAGAUCUGAUAUAUGAUGUGUAUAUGUUGUUUAGCGAGAUUCACCAAUUGCCAUAAUCUACAACAUAAAUUGAAGGUUUAAAUAAAUAUAGAUAAUCUGUUAUAUGAUAUCUAUUACUAUUUCAAAUGAUAUGUACUUUUGUUUAUUAAAUGUUUAUUUUUGGAGGGAACAAUUACAUGUUAUUAUUGUGUAACAAAUACCUCAUUUGCGAUUCUUUUAAAGCGAUUCUUUCACAAAAAAUGUUGUAAAAAGUGUUAUUUUUGUAAUGUGGGAAAAUUGAGUUAUCGAGAUGAAGGUUACAAAGAGGUGGGAUAUGCAAAGCAAAUGUCCUAUUGACGGGGAAAGAGGUAAAAACAGUGUCAUUAAACAAGAAACAAUGAAAGUUUGAUUUUAGGUAGGGUGAUCUUAAACAUUUUGUGGGCCCUUCGUAGGGCCGUAAUCUAGCCGUAGUUGAAUUGUGGCAAAAAUUUGUGCCUAGUGUGACAACCUAGCUUGCACAGGCUAUGGUCCGACCCUCACUCUAGGCUAUAGAGCUGCUUGAGGUUUCUAAAGAAUCGGUGAUCGAAAUGCUAACUAUACCUUGCAUAAAUGGUGUGCAUGAAAAGAGAGGAAGGAGGCUUGAUGUGUAUGAAACUAUUGUUUGGUUUCAGGAGCUUGGGUUCUCUAAAAUUAUAUUCGGUUGAUAGGAAAUUAUCAACAAGGGAGUAAUGUGAAAGGAAACAAAAACUAGAGUGCAGCGAAUAAGAGAAAUCAGUAUGUUGUGUGUAAUGGUGUAUGAAGAGAGAAAUGUUUAGCCAUGUGUCUAAAUAGAGAAAUUAGAAAUAUUUUGUAUGAGUUUUUACAUGCAUCAGGUGUGAGUUUUAUCAACCAUACACUUUGUUUGUUCAUGUAAUACAUGAACUAAACAAAUGGUUGAACUCAAAUGCUUAAUAAACUUCGAUUAAAGGAGAAUCCUUUAAAAAAAACUCAAAUGGAAAAAAAAAACUUAGCGUUUUAUUUAUUUAUGAGAAAAAAUUUAAAACUAAACAUAGUGAGAUUUACUAUCACUACCCUUAAUUACAACCACAGGUUGGUUCUAAUUAGGGAAAAGGAAAAUUUAACUUAUUUUAAAUAACAAACAUACACUAAAUUUUCCUUUUCCCUAAUUUAUUUUUUUAUAAAGUUUUUCUUCUGUAUUCAUUCAAGAGGAGAUACUAAACUUUAUCAUAAUAAAGAGAUUAUACUUCUGUUGUGAAAUAUCCAUGACUAAAAUUGAGAAAUGAUAUUUGUAUAACCUGUUUAUGACAACUUUUGGAUAGGGAUGACAAUUGGAUCCAGAUCCAAUGGGUACUCGCAAAAAUACCCACAAUUAGUAGGGUAAAACCCCGCUUUUAUGGGUCUGGGCAUGGGUACGGGUAAUACCCACAAAAUUAAAUGGGUAUGGGCACGGGUAAGGGUACUAUACUGCCAGACCCGCAACAUAAAUUAUUUAUUUAUUUGUUUAUGUAUAAUUAAUUAAUUUAUUUAAAUGUUUAAGCCUAAACCUAAACUUAAACCAAACAACUGCUUAAUACAAUAACAACUCCAUCAUGCCGGUGUAUAAUUUUUUUAGGGAUAUUUUGGAUGUUUUCUAUUUGACUAAAUACCACGAUUCAUAUUAUUUUAUGAGUUAAUUUUAAAAAAUUGAGAUCGUAGUUUUAUUUCAUUUGUGAUGUUUUUUUUUUGUUUUUUCAUAGUUAAAGUGCGGGUAUGAGCACUUAGGUACCCAUAGGGUAUGGGGAAGGGGACUAAAGUUGUUGCGUACGAGGGUACGGGCACGUGUACGUGUAUUUUUUAUAAAUGCGGGUAUGAGGACGGGCAUUGUAGUACCCUACCCAUCGAGUACCCAUUGACAUCCCUACUUUUGGACAACCUCUUUCUCAUACUUAUAUAGUCAGGUCACGUUCUUACUCUCUCAAUUGUUUUUGACCAAUAGAAAAAGAGAAAAAUAAAAUUAUCACAAAAUGAUUGUUCAAAUAUAAUUCCUCAUUAAAAUUUUCACAUGGAACAUACACAACACCUGCACACACUAUUAAAUUAAAGUAUUUACAAGAAUCAGACCACAAUUCAUUCUUGCACUAUGUUAAGAACUUUUCAACACAAAAAAGUAUGUUCGUUCUUUGUUUAUCUAGUGGCAGGCACAAACUAGGAACAAAGAAGCCAAGAAUAAUUUGAGGAACAACGCUACAUUGCAUAACAUGUUUCUAAUAGAAUAAGAUUCUACAAUUCAAAUGAGAAUCAUUUUUAUCAAAUGGAAAUGCUAACCAGCACAUAAUAAACUUUUUUACCUAUUAAAGUUUUAAGGUCCACUUUUAAUCUUUUGCUAGCUCAUUCAUAUUAUUUUGGAUUUGAACACUCUAUCCCUCUCACUCUCUUCAAUUCCUCUCUGAUUUCAUGACAGUGAAGGCAAGCUCUCUAAUUCAUAACUAUGUUUGGUCUCUUUCUCAAGCUUUUCAUAAGUACCAUAUUCUAAAUAAUUUUUCUUUUGUUGUGUAGCAGUAUUUUUGUAUGGUGAUGAGGAUCAAUAUUGACUGCAAUGGUUGUUAUAGAAAAGUGAAGAGAACCCUUCUUGAAAUGCCAGGUAAAUAAAUAAAUUUUAAGUUCAAGAUUGAAAAAUGAAAUUACUCUUUAAUUUUAUUAAUUAGAAAUAAAAUUUCAUUUUUUAUCUUUAGCUUUUUUUCUAUUAUAAUUUCCAAUAAGAUCAUAUUUUCUAUGCAUGUCUUUUUCAAUUAGAAACAAAUUAUUUUUUCUUUAAUUUUUCUUCAUGAUAUUUGUUCCGACACUCAAGUCUACGGCGUGCUUUUUCUGAAGUAUAUAGCCCGCGUAAAUCUUUAUAAGUUUUUACGGUUCAGUCAUAUGUAAAAAGCACCUCAGUGGUUAGAGGAGUGUCGGUGUUAUUUAUAAACUGAAAUACUAUUGACCUUGAUUUCCAAACAAUGAAAUUAAAACUUUUGGUGUACCAAAAAAGUAGCCCCACGUGAAGACUAAGGGGCUAAUUGGUCGAUCAACCUCGGGUGUGGCGUAUGUUUGACUCCUAUUUCUUAAGUAUUGUCCAUUUUCGAUCAUCAGUAAAGCCAUCGCAAUUUUGUCAUUUACACAAGCAUGCAUGUGGAAAGAUGAAUAUGAGUGUUGUUUAUAAAUUAAUUUUAACCUCUAUUUCCUUAAAAAUGAUCUUUAGUGUGCUCAAAGAAUAUAUAUUUUUUUCUAGUAUCAUUUUCUUAAUACUGAUCAAGUAAUCAUAUCCAUAAAUUGUUUUGAAAUUAAUAAGUAUGAAUAAUAUAGGGUUGGAUAACUCAACUAGUUUAAACUAAGAGAUAAGAAGUUGGAGAUCCAGAGUACGAAUCUAAACAAAGGAGAAAAACUAAUUUAAAAACUAAUUAUAGCGUAUAGUUCAAAAGAUCAUGCAUAACAAUAAUUUAUCUGCUAGGUUAUGGAUAUUAUGUUUACGAGAAUUGAUAUUACCCGCCUGACUUCCAUUCAAGUGCAAUUAUCCCCAAGAUGAAUCAUGUUAUUACUAACAUUUUUUGUUAAAUAAAAAUAUUAAUGUACAAUAUAGUCUAAUUUUUUUUCAUUGAUUUUAAUUGCUUCUAGAGUUGGAGAGCCAUUUCUUAGAGAAGAAGCAAACCAGGGUAAUUGUGUGUGGCAGUUUCAUCCCUCAAGAUGUUGCAAUCAAGAUAAAAAAGAAAACAAAUCGAAGAGUUGAGAUAUUGGACAUACAAGAUUUGAGUGAAAACAAUGCUGAAAAUAUAGAAGAACAGAAACCAAGCACUAGCCCCCAAAAGCCAAUUGAAAGAAAUAUGUUUGGAUUGAUAGAAACAAAGAGAGAAAUGCCUGCCCUCAAUCAUAGAGUUCAAUACACAACAAAUUGCCACUUUUAAAUCAUUAGAAUAACACUAAAUUUUGUAAUUUUGAUCAUUCUAGUGAUAAUUUUUCAUAAUUUAUACUCAUAUUUUUGUAAGUGGGUUUAAUAUACUUGAAAAGAUAGAUCUUAUUUACUUUUGUUCAUGCCAUGAAGUUUAUAAUAUACAUGUUAAUUCUCUGAUGAUACCGGACCUCAAAACUGAAGAGAGAAACUCUAAACCAAUCAAAUGACUUCUAGAAAAAUAUGCCUAUGUUAUGUUCAGUUCAAAAAAUUGAUCUACAUAUUUUUCUUAUUCUUAAUAUAUUAUAAAAAGAAUUUUAAAUUGACAGAAGAAUGAGUAAUAAUAUAUGAGAAAUUUGUUAUAUCAAUUCCUUGAUACUAUACUAAAUAAAAAAAUAAAAAUAAAAAGUAACCAAAAAAAAAUACUAUUUACAUUUUACACUACACUUUGGUGAAGUACUUCAAAUAUGUAUAACUUUUAUUACUUUUUAAUGAAAGAAACUUCUAUUACACCACUCAAAGUAACUUUACACAUGCCCCUCCACUAAUACAACAUACAUAUUUUAUUCAUCUAUGUAUCCAUCAUUAUACACCUCAUAUAUAGAUACAUGAGGUGAUAAGAUAUGUUACAUACGAACCAACUCACUCAAAAACAAAAGUUUAAAAUACAUCAAUACACACACACAUUUAUUCUACUGAUUGAUCAUAUCAUAUCAUAUCAUAUGCAUGCAUACAUCCAUAUAUAUCAUGGUCUAGUGUCCUUGUCCAUGUCCAGUACAUGAUCCGGUACCAGGAAGCUUCUCCUUAAUCUUCUCCAUGAUCCCUUUCUUCUCACCAUGGUGUUGCUCAUCACCAUAGCCAGUUGUUCCAUGACCUGUUCCAGUGCUUCCAUAGCCAGUUGUUCCAUGACCUGUUCCAGUGCCUGUCCCAUAAGUAUUUUGUUCAGUACCAGGAAUCUUCUCCUUAAUCUUGUCCAUAACCCCUUUCUCUCCAUGUUGUUGAUGACCUACACCACUAGCACCAUAACCAGUUGUUCCAUAUCCUGUUCCUGUUCCUGUCCCUGUCCCAUGAGUAUAUUGAUUUUGAUCAGUACCAGGAAUUUUCUCCUUAAUCUUGUCCAUAACCCCUCUGUUAUCUCCUCCAUGUUGUUGAUGACCAAUACCAGUUGUUCCAUAUCCUGUUCCUGUCCCAUAAGUACUAGCAUUUUGAUCAGUACCAGGAAUUUUCUCCUUAAUCUUGUCCAUUACCCCUCUAUUAUCAUGUCCAGUUCCGCCAUAUCCUACUCCAGUUCCGCCACCGGUAGCUCCAUAGCCGGUUGUUCCAGUUCCUGUCCCUGUUCCAUACCCGGUUCCACCAAUGUCAGUGUUUCCAUAACCACUUCCAGUGUUGGUACUUCCAUAUUCAGUGGUUGUUCCAUAACCACCUACACCACCUGCAUUAGAUAUAAUUAUUAGUUAUAUUAGUUAAUUACAACACAUUUCCCUCGUCAACACCGAUAAUUAUUUGAAUUUCAAAAAAAUAAAGUAACAUGUAGCGACGUCCUGUCUGAUUUGAAUUUGAAACAAAAUGACAUAAUUAAAUGUAAUGAAAUGCGAGGGGCGGUAGCCCAGGGCACCGCUUUUUUGGAUGUCAAAAUUAUUAUUUGUACUUAAUAGUUAGUAUUAAGUAGAUAUAUUUAUUUUUAAUUCGCUUUGAUUAAUUCUAUUGAAAAUAUAUUUGUAGAUAACUUUAAUUAUAAAUGAAUAUUUUGCAACUAAAAAUGCAAGAAAAAAUAUUGAAAUAAUUAAAAAGGUACAAUUUAUUGUUUCGUCCAGGACACCAAAAAAGACCUACGCUGACUAUUGACACAUCUUCAAUAAAAAAUAUUACUCCUACGAUAAAUUACACAAGCCAGCGAGUUAGAUUAGUUUCAUUCGGUGACAUGUAACAAUGUUAUGUGUUGGACACAAAAAUAUCAAAAGAUAUGCCCCAUAAUCCUAACUUAACCAAUAAAAAUAUCAAAAUUAUUAGACUACGUUAUGACCGGAGUUCAAACCCUGACACCUCCAUUUUAUAUCUGAAUUACGAUGAUUUUGCUAUUUCGUCUAUAUAAAAAAUGUAAAUAGUUAGAUAGAAAGACUAAUUAGUUACCUGUGUGGGUCCCUCCACUACCAGUGUGGGUUCCAUAUCCUGUGCCAGUACCUGUGUUGCUCCCAAAACCUGUGGUUUGAUCAACUCCAACUCCAUGAUGUUGUUGAUGAUGUCCAUGACCAUGACCAGUAGCACCGGUCAUCCCACCACCACUAAUGGGAUUGCCAUAUUGAUCAACUUGGCCUUGACUAGUCAAUGGGUUUCCAUAUUCAUCAACCCUACGUGUUUGAUCACCAUAACCUUGUUGAUAUUGAGACAUUGUUAUAAUUCUUCUUCACAAACAAAAAAUAACGUGAAGUGUUUUUGUAGUAAUGUAGUGUAUAAAAAGAUUGAGAUUGUAUUGGAUUGGAUUGCUUUGAUGUGGUUGAGGUGGUGGAACAUGUUGUGUUUUUAUAGGCAAAUCAAAGUAUGUGACAUGAAAAAAAAAUCUUAUGAUAGGGUCGGUGAAAUUGAUUUGGAUUUUGCAAAUAUCUGACACGUGCUAACGUUGAAUCGCCACGUACAAGGAUACGUGUUGGUGUGUUUUAUGAAAAAGGAAAGUGAUGUUGUCGUUUUGUGAUUUAUAAGAUGACACGUGCUUUGUGCGAGUAUGAGAGGGUGUUUAUGUAAAGAAGAACUUGUGAUUGUGAAAGUGUAAAAUGGAUAAGGCUUCAUUUAGUUACACUUGCUUUUUUAGGAGUAAAGCUGACCAUAUUAUGACUAUAUAAAACAAUCAGAAAUAACUGUGAUCUUAGAGAGUCAAGAGGUAUACGUAGUGUCAAUCAGAUUAAAAAAUGUAAGAUGUUGCCAAACUAAGUUAUCCUUAUUUAUUAGGUAUUUUCAUAAAAAAUAAAAGAUUUAAGCACACAUACAUAAAUGAAUAAAAUUUAUAAUUUUUUUUUUUGAAAUAAAGUAAAAUUUAUAGAUAAAAGUAAAAAAAAGAUUUAAGCACACAUACAUAGAUGAAUGAGUUAAUUAAUCCCUUAGAUAUUUUACACAGAUUAAAAAAUGAUGGAUGCUGCCAAACUAAAUUAACCUUCUUAGUAUUUGUAAUGUAUACUUUCGACCAUCAUAAAUCUAAGUUAAGAAAUCAUAAUAGAACGAUUUUUUUAAUGAGAGAAAUAUAAUAGAUACUCGCUCGGGAAAAAAACAAACAUCCAAUGGAGGGUUCGAAAACUAAUUGCAUUACAAAGAAGAACCCCUUAAUUUUUUAACAAUUUUAUCAAAUAGUCUAAUGGUUAAAGUUCACACAAUUUAAUUAUGGAAAAAUAAAGUGUCCAGAUUCGAACUCCGGCUCCUGCAUAUAAUAUGCAAUAUCCCUACCAUUAUAUCCAUAAACCAUUUUUAAAAGGUGAUUUUGAUGACUUCUACAAUCUCUUCCAGCUCCCACAUUCUAGAAAAAAAUCCUCAUUUCGAGCUGUCCAAAUUUUCCAAAUCCUUGCAUACCAAAUGAGUGUAAGCCCCUUUCGAUAUUUUUUAGUCAAAGCAGAUGAAAAAAAUAUAGUCAAGGAUAUUAUUGGGUAAAACACCCUGGUCUAAUCCAUUUAAAAAUUGCAUACCAAAAUCAUUCCAACAAAGCUACUACAUCUACAAAACAAGUGAUCAUUCGCCUCUUGAAUAUCCGAACCCCACACACAAUCCGAAGUCACACCAACUGGCAAAGCUCCUCUUCAAGAUAAGUUUGAGCGAGUCGGAAGUCUACCAAAAGUUAAUUGUCAUGAGAAAAUUUGGACUUUUUGGGGAGUCAAACUAGUCCAAAUUGUCCUUAGCCCUCUUCUAGACGCCACACUUAAAUCCGGUGGAGGAAGAAUUUUACCUCUUAAAAGAGUCAUAUAAGGAUUUCACUAUGAAGACGUUUGUAGAUUCAAGGACCCAAAUCCAUUUAUCUUUCUACUUUUUGACUCAAAUAGUAUAGAGAAUAUUCAAAAGUUCACCCAACAAAUGCUCCUCCCUUCCAAAAGAUCCCUUCUCCACUCAAAGUCAUAACACCACUCUUCAUCAACUCAUCGUCCCAUUUGGCUAACCUUAUUAUUCUUUUGAGUGGAUAACGAAAAAAGUCUAGGAAAAUUGGAUUAUAGAGAUUUCCCUCCUAUCCAAAUAUGAUGCCAAAAGAUCGUUGCUUCUCUAUUACCUCUAUUUUUUUUUUUUCACAAACUCCCAAGGCUAAUCUUGGAUGUUUCCUAACCCCUUUCCUAAAGCACAUAAAUCUUUUCACCAAAAGAACAAAUUUUGAUCUUAUCUCUAGUGAGAAGAUUUAAUGUAUAAUCACAAUUUCCGACAUAUUUCGCAUUCAAUACAUCUUUUCACAAAACCAUUCUAAUCUAUUCUUCACUUGUGUUUUCAGAGGUUGUAUGAAAAGGUGCAAUUCAAUGAAGUAACAUGAACAUUAAUAUACUAUAGAGUAUAAUUCAAUGAAAAGGUGUAACUCAGUAUAUAAUUUGAAAGGAAUAAAUGUAAGAAUAUUUCAGCACAUUGAUCAAUCUGUUCAAAAUAUCUUAACCAACUCAAAAACUGAUAGGACUCAUGGUUUGAAUGUGAAUUAAAAGAUUCAUAUUAAAUGAAAAAAAAUAGUAGAUAUUUUGAGCUACUAACUUCCAUUCCGUUAUACCUUUAUAUUAAGAGUUUUUUCUAUCAUAUGCAAAUUUGCACAUAUUAAGAAAUUUAAAAUGGCAAGUUUGUCUUGAAACUUAUGUAUUCUAUAUUAAAUAGGAAACGUUUUAAUAAUAAUUAGUGUUUUUCAAUAAAAAGUUACUACAUUUAGUUUCCUUUAACAUGUGCAAUAUUGCACAUGUUAGACAAACCCUUAUAUAUAUUAAUCCAAUGUGAUAAUUUUCUUGUGUUUUAAACUUCUCCGAAUGUCCCAGCAUCUUUUACCAAAGAUUACAAUUUACGAUCACAAGGUGAUAACAUAUAUAACAUUGAUUCUUGUCCUUUUAAAAACAUAAUCAUUUUUUGUCAAAAGUAAGGAUAAACAUAAAUACUGAUUGCACUAGAUCAUCAUAACACAUCACAUAUAAUAUAUCCCACCCUUAAAAAAUAUAGCAUACAUCCCUUCAAAACAAGGGAAUAAAUGUGGGAAACAAAACUAUGAUAAGGGUGGCCUAACGAAAUAUCACUCUCUAGAAAUGAAAAUUGUUGUUGACAUAUGUGGUUUGACUGAGAAACACCAAUAAUUUAUUUAAAUACCCCUCGACAAUUAACUGCCAAAAAAUUUAAAAACUGAUUGCAAAACUACCGAGUAAAACUUCGGCAGUUAACUACCGAAAAAAAUGAAAACCUAGAAUUUUCAUCAUCAUCUUCUUCGUUGCAUAUAAACAUGUUCUAUAAAUUUGACCCCUUCUAAAUAUUAUUACUUGAAUAUAUUAUGAAGUUUAAUUGGUUUGUUCACGUAAGAAUUCUUGCGAGAUGUAAAACGGUGAUAAUUGCUGUAGUAAAUAAAGCUUAUGUAGAACAAGAUGUAAAGGGUGAUGCCAUUACCAUGUUUGAUCUAUUUUUAAGCAGCUUUUGGCUUGGAGAAGGAACCCGGUCUUUGAUUGAUAACCUUCUCAUUGUAGCCAUUGAUCGAACGGCGAUGCCAAUUUUUGAGAUUGAAUAGCUAUAAAUUGGAGACAUAAGGUGUUGAUUUUGGAGGUGAACAAACCAAUUAAACUUCAUAAUAUAUUCAAGUAAUAAUAUUUAGAAGGGGUCAAAUUUAUAGAACAUGUUUAUAUGCAACGAAGAAGAUGACGGUGAUGAAAAUUCUGAGUUUUUAUUUUUCUCGAUAGUUAACUGCCGAGGUUUUUUCGGUAAUUAAUUGCAGUCGAUUUUCUACUUUUUCGACAGUUAACUGUAGAGGAAUAAUUGGAUAAAUUACUUAUAUUUCUCAACAACAAUUUUCCUAGAAAAUUAAUAACAACAUGAGAGCCACUCCACCAUAAUCUAAAAGAUACGCCAAAGCCAGCUAGGACAAUAGAGCAUCUACCCAAAUAGUCACUAUGAUUAUUCCGCACGAAGCAAGUAAACUGUAUUGGAGAUACACGUUUAUAGUAGCGUAUUAGUCCUAGUAGAUAGUAGUAUAAAUAUAUAUCUUGUAACCACCUUAUUUAAUCUCUGUAAAUUUUUUUUGUUUGGUUUUAGUCUUUGCUCUUUGUAAAAACAUUGCUUUUGGAUCCCCGCUGUUAGUUGAACACUAAAUAAAACCAGAAGUUUACCAUAUUACCACAUGGCAUAGAAUUAUUGGACCAUGUGGCACUAUAAAAAUGUUUUUUUUUUAUCGAACACCACUAAUUUUAUCAAACACUACAAAAUCAAUCCGCUAACUUAUUAUCCGUCAUCAAUUAGUUUCCCCGUUAUCCAUUAUAAGCUCAUCACGACUAUUAACCAACUCGACAAUUCUCCACUACUUUUUAUCAAACAAAACCUAAAAAUAUUUUAUUUAAAGUUUUAAUUUGUCUUUUUUUUUAUUUAAUUAAAUAAUUUAAUUUUAUCUUAAUUUUAACUUUGAUCUAAUCCUAAUUUCAAUUUUAAACCAACCAUUUUAAAAAAUCAAAUACAAUCUAAUGAAAUAAAAAAAAAAACUAUAACAAAAGUUUUCACCUUUCGUUGAUGAUUCUUGUUUCUUAAUUAGUGCCGCAGAAAAAACUUUGGCGUGUCCAUUAUUUUACCUGAUGAAAGUUUUGGCUGGAUUAGGUUUCAUUGUUUUUACUCUAACUUCAAAAAAUGCUGUCCAUACUCAAAUUUUAGGUGUCAUAGUUUUUCUUUGUUUUCUUUCUAUUAUACACAGGAAAUGUCACUAAGGUUUAAAUAUUGAAUUCUUAUGGGAACCUGAAAUUCAUAAACAGAAAUUAAGUAUAAUCCGUUAAAUUCUACAUAAAAGAUUUUUGCAACUAAUCCACUGGGUUUUACUCAUCACUUAACGGUAUAAACACACACACAAACACACACGAGCUCACACACACAGACACACUCAAUUACAAGUAUAUCAUAGCAAAUCAUAAAUUUAUUAAAAUAAGAUCUCUUAAGUUUCAAUUAAUUAAACUCUUGUUUGUCAAUUAAAACAAUAAUACUCCACUCAGAAUAAUAUAAUAAAAACAAUCAUCUCAACCACACUUAUAUAUUGUUAUUUCUAAAACAAAUAUUAUUUUAUUAUACAACCAUAGAAAAGUUGAAAAUCACAAAUUCAAAUCUGCAUUCUAACAUAUCAUAUCUUCACGUAACAUAACAUGAUGCAUACAUUUGAAAGCAAAUUUUAAAAUGCACUUAUUUAUUUAUUAUAUUGAUAUCAUGUGCAUGUAUAUCCUUAUUCCUUUAUUUAUUUAUUUAUUAUAUAGAUUUUAUAUGCAUGCAUCCAUAUUAAAGCUUAUAGAUCUCAUGGUACAUAUUCUUGUUGAUGAGUGCUUCCUGCUUUAGUAACAUCACUACGUCCAAAACGAGUUGUAGCAGCAACACCACUACCUCCACGACCAGGACGACGACCUAUACCAGCACUAACUCCGAUAUCAAUACCACUAUCUCCCGCAAUACCAUUUGUUUUAGCAACACCACUAUCUACCGAACGAGUUAUUCCAUACCUAAUCCUCGUCUCUGGUCCAACCCCAAUUAACCCAAUCUGGCUUGCUGGAGCUUCAUCAGUUAUUCCAAUUUGGCUCGUCGGAGCUUCAUUGGUCAGUCCAUUUUGAUUAGUUGGGGCUUCACUGGAUAGACCAGCUUGGACAGCUGGGGCUUGUUGAUAUUGAGACAUUAUUAUCAUUAGUAUCACUAAUAUCAUCAUCUUCAUAGACUAAAAAUUAAAAUGUUGAUUUUUGUGUUGAUGUAGUAAUGCAAGAUUAAGAUUGUAGUUUGUUUUAUGAGUGAUGAAAUGAAACAUCGUGUUUUUAUAGGCGAAUCAAGGUAUUGAAUAUGAGAAAAUGUAUACAAGGUCGGUACAUUUGAUUUUGAUUUUUCAAACAUGUGAUGUGACAUGUGCCAUUGUAGAUACGCCACAUAAAUGGUACAUUGGACCUAAUACAGUCUUUUUUUAAAGAUAAUUCUGUAAAAUAUUUAAAGAUAUUAAAUAAAAAUUAUCAGUAUUAAUGUAAAAAAAUUAUUUAAUAUAUUUUACUCUUUUUUGUGUAAAAAUCCGUUAAAUAUUUGUAUUGCAGCCAUUGUAGAUUUUAUUUGCUUAUAUAUGCGUAAGAAAAAUUUUAUUUGCCGAUAUGAGAAAGUCGAUAUGAUAAAAUUUUGAAAGCACAUGAUUAUUUUAAAAAUAUUAACAUUAUUGUACCAAUUCUAUUAAACAUUUAUUUUAUUUUAUUUUAUGCAAAACACCAUUAAAUAUUUACAUUGCGUCCAUUGCAGAUUUUAUGUGCUUAUAUCUACAGAAGGAAAGCAAAUUUUUAGGCACCAAUAUUUUUUUUUUUUGAACAAAUCAAAAUGGAAUAUAUUACUCAAAAACAGAGUAAUUCACCCCGCACAAAGUGUGCUAAAGUGAUGUACCAAUAUGAUAAAAACUUGAGGAUUCAUGACUAUAUUCAAAAUAUCGACAUUAAUGUAGUGUUUCAAUUAAUUUUUUAUUUUAUUUUAUAUGGAAAACAACGUUAACUAUUUGCAUGCACUCAUUCUGGAUUUUAAGUGCUUAUAUAUGCAUAAACAAAUUUUUAUGUACUUAUAUAUGAGAAAGUCGAUAUGAUAUAUUUUAAAAACUCGUGACUAUUUUCAAUAUAUCAACAUUAAUGUAGUGCUUUUAUUAAAUAUUUUUUAUUUUAUAUGUAAAACACCGUUAAAUAUUAGAACCGCACUCGUUGAUACUAGAUAACCGUUUGAAAAACGAUUUUGGAGAAAAAUAUGUCUUGUUCAGUUGUUGAUAUUGUUUGAGUUGUCUCAUUUUUUAUUUGAAAAAAAUUUGGUUAGUCGUUCAAAUUGACUUUGUAAUAUACGCGAAGUUUGGAAAAUGACCUAAUAAAAAAAACAUAGAUUCUACCCAUGAAGUUUGAGACUCUUCCUUUUGUUUCCCUCUUAUUUUUCCCUAUAGACAAAGUCCAAAAAGAUUAUCUAGGGGUUGAAUUUUUUCAUGAUUUUUUGCAGACAUGUAAAGUGAACCAUUUUGUUUACUUUGUUGUACUUGUCUUAUGUUCCAUACCAUUUAACACCUAUGUUUUGCAUAUUAUUUUUAUGAUUAAAUACGUAUUAUUUGGAUCCUAUAAAUAUACUAAAUUUUUGUUUUAGUCUCUUUAAAAUUUUCGUUAGACCCUAUAAAAUUUUCAAUAACAACUUUUGGUCCAUAAUUUUAAGGCAACUCAUAUAUUUUUUGAUGAAAUUGUGCAAAAUGUGUAGAAUAUUGUAAAAAAACUCUAUUUUUUUUUUUUUAUAAAACAUUAAUUAAAUAUGAAUUUUUAACCACCAAAAUAUAAAAAAUCGUAUUUAAUUCAUGUUUUGUUAAAAAAAUAUAAUUUUUUUGGGAGUGUUUCUUAUAAUAUCAUAAACUUUUCUGCCAAAAUUUAUUAAAAAAAAUGAAUUUUACAUAUGAGUUUACUUAAAAAGAUAGACCAAAAGUGAAGAUGGAAAACUUUUUGGAACAAGAAAUCGAAGAAUUUUUUUGGAAAAACUAAAAUGAAAAGUUAGUUUAUUUAUAGGGAUCGAAAACAUAAUUAACCCUUAUUUUUAUUUUACCGUGCAUGAGACGCCAAACUAUGAAGGAGUGUGACGGAUGGAUACAAGUCAUCCAUAGAACAGCAGCCCAAGGAAGGAUGGGAGCAAUCGGCCUUACAAAAGAAAAAGCAGUCUUUGCGGAAAGUUUGCCAUCGGGAGAGUGUAACCAAACUAGCAAAUCCGAAAGAUGACUAUUGGGCAACACCAUGGUACCAAUGCGUGCUGCCACUUGGGGAACAUCGAGUAGCUCUUGAGGAAUGUUCCAUUUUCCGUGCAAAACAUAAGCAACUAUGUCAUCAAAACUAUCAUGGAAAUGAGGCGCUACUUGCAACAAAUCAAGCAACGGCUCACCUAGCCAAUUGUCCGACCAAAAAAGAAUAUUUUCUCCCGUUUCGACAACCUAAAGGGAAUUGGCAGCAACCGUACCAAUAUGCUCCUUUAUACCACACCACACCACACCGACGAUUUAACAUAGUGUUGAAUAGGUUUGCCAUUAGAUAAAUACCUCUUUUGAAGCAACUGUGACCACAGAGAGUUUUCCGACAUGAGCUUCCAAGCUAAUUGUAACAUGAGAGACUCAUUUAUAAUGCGUGUAGACUUAAGAUCAAGACCACCUACUGCCCAAGAUCGACACAUAUUAGUGGUUAGAUUCACACAUAUUACGUGUGAACGGGGAAUCCGAAAUUCAAACAUCAAUCCCUAUAUAAGAUAUCCAUGGUACAACUUUCGUAUAAAUAUUAGUGGCUAGAUUCGCACAUAUUAUAUAUGAAGGGGGAAUCCGAAAUUCAAACUUUAAUCCUUAUAUAAUUGUUUUUGUCGAGUUAAGUGACUAAUUAUAACGGUAUAACUUGAUGGAUAGAGCAAUUAGAUUGAAGUUAGACAUUUUUCCGAAGCUUUUGGUGUUCGUAAAUUUGGGAUCCCAAUUUUAGGAACACUUAAAAUUUUUGGAUCCAAAUAAUGAUUUACUCAUUAAUUUUACAUGCACUAUAAUGUAAAGUUAUUUUACACAACUUCUAAGUUUUAAUAAUGUGUUAUACAUAAAAAAAAAAUAAAAAAAAUUCAAAUAAUGUGUUGUCACGUCUCAUAUAAUAUGGUUGAAAAUAUUUAACUUGUCAUAUUCAUUUUUCCAUUUAUAGGACUAAACGUGCUAUGGGUGUGCGUAUGUUGGAGAGAAAACAUGAAGGGCUAAAAUGGAUAAGGCUUAAAUUACAUGGACUUUUAGGUUAUGUUUGAUUUGGAGAAGAAAGUUAAAGGAAAUAAAGAUAAAUGAUAUAUAGUAAAAGGAAAGAUAAAUAGAAGAAAGUGAGAUAAUUUUUUUUCAUUAUUUGGUAUAAAAGAAAGUGAAUAAAUUGUAAGAGGAAAGAAAGAUAUGUAUAUUUGCAAAAUGACAAUUAUAACCUUAAAAGAUUUUCGAUAAAUAUGUUUAUUUUAAAUUAAUUACGUUACCUACACAUUUAAAUAUAUUUUAUUAAUAAAUUUUAAUUUACUUAACAUUUGUCAAAUUUUUUGUUAAUGAUUUUUUUUCCUUCAAAAUAUCACGCGGAGAGAAAAAAUUGCGGAACAUGUGUCGAAAACAGAAUUUUUCUUACGGAUGAUGCUUGUUCAACAUGGUAAUUAAUAAUUAUCGAAAGGGUAUUUAUGACUUUUAUCAAAAAGUUGAUGUUUCUUUAUGUUUCCGUCCAAAGCAGCGAGGAAAGGUUUUGAGCGUGGGUCCCACCUCAAACUUUCUUUCCUCUUCCGUUUUGAAGUGAUGCCAAAGGGCGGAAAGCUAAUUUUUCCACGCACAAUCUUUCUGCUUCUUUCUUUCCUUUAUCUUUCUCCGGAUCCAAACACAACAUUAAUGUUUGCAUGCUAGCUAGACCAUGACUUCAUGUGAAUUCAAGGAUGGUUAGUGUUGAUGUGAAUUGGGUAGAAACGUAUUAAAUCGGAAAUAGGGAAAAUAGGCUGGUUAUUUACAUUAGCUCAAAAGACACUUUCUAACACAAAAUUGUAUGUGAGCCAUUAUCCACCUAAUUUAUAAAAAAUUGGUGCGAAAUAUUAAAUAAAAUAUUUUUUUUGAAGGAUAUUUUUUUAAUAAGAAUAAAUUUAUUGCAUUUUAUUCAUAAUAAUAGCAGAGAUACAAGAUGAAAUCCUAAUAUAGAUAUGAAAACUAGAAUGAUGUGAAGCCGUCAUAGCAAAUUUAUGAGUAACUUCGUUAGCUUGUCUUCAAAUAAACCUAACAUCAGAGGUUACUAGAUCAAAAGCUAACAUAUGUCUACAGUCUUGAAUCACUGCACUAAAAUUAGAGAUGUCACAUUUACCACCAUAAAGACUAUCCACUACAGUUUUUAAAUCAAACUCAAAGUUCACAACACUCAGAUGUAGAUCAUGAACCCAAAACACUGCAGAUAAUAAACAUAAAGUCUCACUCAAAUUACAUCAAGGAACAAACUCUUUCAUUAAAAUAUUACAAAAACUGAUGCAAAUUAAACUGAGAUUUUAAAUGAAGUUUUUCUUUUCGUCUUAAAAAUAUAAUAAAACGGACAUGUUACACCGAUAUUGACCAUAAUUCAUUGAAUAUAAAGAAACUAUAAUUUAUGAGAAUUUUUAUUAUGAUAAGUUUUUAAAUUUUAUAAAAUGUGAAUUACAUUGAACCAAACCAAACAACAUAAACAACCAUAUUUUUCAUCGGUUUAAUUUAGUUCAAUUUCCGUACGAAAAUAUUUCAAAAAUAAAAUAAAACUAAAUUGCAUAUUACAAGAAAUUGAAUUUUGACGUGGACUAUGAGAAAUUUGAAACAUACAACAACAAUUACGAAAAUGUGAGAUAUCACGAAAGCAGGGUCUAUUUGGUGCAAUAAGAUAUAAUCAAAUAAAAAAUUGAAUAAGGAUAUGUCAUGAUUGUUGAAGUAUAAUUCAUAUUCUAAUAUUAGUAAUUGUGGAUAAAUUCAACUAUGUUUGUUGGUUAGUUAGUUAUUUAGUAACUAACUAGUUAGUUUGUUUGUUAGUGGCUUGUAGUGCAAGUUACUCAAUUUAGUCUUAGGGUGUGUUUGGAUUGAGGGUUUAGGAGGAUAAGAGAGGAGAUGACUCGCUUUUAUUUUUUAAAUUACGAGCAAUGUAAAAUGUUUUUUUUUUUUAAUAAAAAAAAUGUUUUUGAAGUAUUAUAUGAUCAUUUAUCAUGUUGUUAAUUCAAUUUUUAAAAAAUUAUUUUAUAAUAUCCGUAAUUUAAAAAAGAAAAGUAAACUCUCCCCUGACCCUCCCUUUCCCUCUUAAACUCUUCAUCCAAACACACCCUAAAAUACUUAGUGUUUGUAUUCCGUUUAUAUCUCAUAUCUCUAAUAUCAUUAUAUCUCUCACAUUCAACAAUAAAGAGUAUUAUUGUUCAAUUGUAGUUUCCUCUCUAAAGUGUGAUUGUGCGGAGAUCAUUCUAAUCUCAGUACAGUACAGAACGUUCUAAAGUAUCCCGAACAUUCUAAUUUUUCUCUCAACUUUGUAUGUUCAUGUUCUAUCAAUGCUAAGGAUAGGAUAGACACUUAUCAUAUCAUAUGUUUUAUGCACAUAUGAUAAGAAAUAUGAUAGUAUUAUUUUAUCAAGAUUAUAAGAAAUAUGAUUACAUGAUAAUAGUAGUUUUAAUUUUACAAGAUUGCACAAUUACUUUCAAAAACUAUCCGGUAGGUAAUUGACUAAUUCACUUAAAUAAAUCAAACACAAUUAUAUCGAAUAGAGACAAAGAAAUUGAAAUUGAGAGACAGGAUUGAAAAAUCCAUUGAAUAUAAUCAGUGUGAUGGAGAUUUAUUUUUAAUCAAUAGUUUUUUUCCCUAUCAAAAUCCUUAAUUGGGUGUAAUUAGGUUUCAUCUUUAGUUUAAUCGAUGACUUUUUUUAUUGAAUAGUUUUUUCUUCUUCUUUCAAUUGAAGCCUUAAUUGAGAUUGUAUACAUUUUUGAAUAACCAUGUGGUUUUUUUCAAUCAAUAGUUUAAUAUGGAGAUGAAGCAUGAGACACGAGAGAGAAGAGAUUUUUAGGAGAGGUAUACACGAUGAAGAUAAGAAGUUGUCAAUAAUCCACCAAAAGUUAAGAAUUAGAAAAAUAAAAGCGUGAGACAGGAUUAGAAAUAGUUUAAUUUAUUAUUUUUUAUUGAUGCAUCAAAUAACAAAUUGAAUUAAGAUAAUAUAAUUUUAUCACAUCUUAUCUUCUUAUAUUGUGCAUCAAACGGACUCUAGAGGCUUUAGGGUGGAUAAAUUUGACAUAUUUAAUUCACCAUAUGUGGAGAUUGAGGUAAAUAAAGAAUUGAUUCCCCUACUUUAAAGUUAGUGUUUGGUUUGAAAGUUCCUUGUCAAAGAGACAUUAAAUAUUGAUUCAAUAAAGAUUUUGAAAAGUUAAAUAAGAAAGAAAGUAGCGGUGGGACGUUCAAUUGUGGUCCUAUUGAAAACGAGUUUAGCUUUUCUCCAUUUAUUUUCUACAUUUAAUAUCCAUUUACGAUUACGAGAGAAAUAGAUACAUGUGUAGAUUAGUGAUUAAGUAGAACUCACCAGUGGAUCCACAAAGAUAGACACUAAAUCGAAGAAAGUAAAUGGAGAAAUGUCAAAUCAUUGAAAACAAUUGGUAUGUAGACAUAAUGACAUAUGUGAUGUACGAAACUAAUAAUCAACUAAUUCUUAGUGAUUAUUAUGUUAAAAGGAAAUUAAUAAUAAGACAUAGAUAUUUUUUUUAAUGAAUUAAAUUGUUUUAUGAUGAACAAAAUAACAAGUGUAUUAUAUCGUCAUCAAGUAGUAAAAUUUAUAAAGUUUGUAUCAACAUAGAUUACAUUAUUUCAACUAAACUAAGGGGGGUUGCACAUGGCAAACUGAUUGAUAAUUUCCUUAAGAAAGAAAGAGAAAAGUAAUUACGUCGUGUUAGAUUCUCUUUCCUGAAAUAUUAAUGUAACUGCAAACUAUGACUAUACUGUCGACUGAUUGCUAGAUUUUAAGACUUUUGAUCAAGUUAGUUAGGCGAAGGUCAUGGUUUCUCAUUAUCUUCAAUGAUCACUAUUCCCUAGUGUCUUAGGUGAACACGUAACAAUUGAAGGUUUAAGUAUGUCAAAAUAAGUACACAAUUAUCAAGUUACGUGAUUCAAUAAUCAAAGAAAGUUCCUCUUUCAUGACCUGAUCUAGAGAGGUUUAGCUACUCAUGAUGUCUAAACAUAUAUUAAUACAUAUGAAUAAAAAAAUGUAAGAAAAGAAAUACCAGUUGAUGAAGCAAAAUUCAUUGAUUGAAUUUGCACUUGAUCAAAACUAAUCUUUAAACUCGAAGCAAAUAAACACCGCUUUAAGACGAUAAAUAAAAAACACACCGCCCAAAUACGAAAAAUCAAAAUAAAUAAAGUCGUGCUAGACGACGAAAUCACAACAACAAACAAAAGAAAACUGAAAAUAUGUGAAAUAUUUCUAGUCAAAUUGAGAGAGAGAGAGAGAGAGAGAGAGAGAGAGAGAGAAGAGAGAGAGAGAGAGAGAGAGAGAGAGAGAUGUAACUGAACUAGGCAACCAGUUAAACUUAUGAAAAAAAUGAGUAAACUUGAGGAAGUUUGUAAGUUUAAUUUGAUUGCACAUAAGUGAUGAGUUCGUGGGAAUUUUACGUCCCUCUAACUAUCAAGUUGCACUUGCUGAUCACACUAAGGUUUUACGUCCCUCUUAAAUCUAAAAGGGUAUGUAUGCCUACGUAAGGUUGUUAGAGUCGGGUCUCACUCUUUAAGAAGUAAUUGAAAUAUAAAAGAAUGAGUAUUCCUAAAUUAUCAUCAAAAGGCUUCAAUUUCGUUUAUGAAUCUUAGAAGUACGUCAUAUAAACGUAGUGAACAACUAAGUAAAUUUAUAUUUAUUAUGUCACCUUAAUGACAAGAGGUUGUUUCAUUUUCGUAGUGAUAUACACCUGAAAAAUCUGUAUCUAAUAGCAAACAAGUCCUCUCCCAUCAGAGCCAGUUAUGUAACCAAGCUCGUCAUGCUCGAACUGGUUGAGUUGGCCUUUUGACAACUCUACACACUCUUUGUGGCUUUAGAGGGUGUUGACUGUAAGUUGAUUGAAUAAAAAUAUCAAACUAAUAAAAUAAAAAAAUUGCACAAAAUUUAAUUUUGUUGAAUAUAUAUAUUAAAUAGUAAAUGUUAGGAUGUUAAUUGUUAUUCCUUCAAUAAAAAAAAAGUAUGUUAUCCCCGUGAGCUUAACUCAGUUGGUAGGGAUAUUGCAUAUUAUAUGCAGGAGCCGGGGUUCGAACCCCGGACACUCCACUUCUCCACAAUUAAAUUGUGUGAGCUCUAGCCACUAGACUACUUGACCAAAAAAAAAAAAAAGUAUGUUAAUUGUUAUGUUAAUAUUCCUUUUUUUGAUAUGAUUCGAUCAAUGAAUCUUUAACUCUUUUAAUCCCUUAACUCAAUAAAGAGAUAUGUCCAUCUACCCAAUUUAUUGAAUCUAUUGAGAUAUUAUUUAGUAAAAAAUGUUCGACACAUGUCAUAUAUUAAACCAAAAUGAAUAUUAAAUAUAAAUAAUUAUUUAUCAAUAUUAUCAUUGAUAUGAAAAACUAUCUUGUGUGAGUAAUUUUACAAUAUUAAGAAUGUAUUCACAAAUGAAGUAUUUUAAAUAACAUUAUACGAUAUUAAAAAUGUAAUUAUCUUUUCGUAUAAUUGAAAAAUUAUUUUGAUCAAUAUAUACAAUUUCGACCACCAAUUUCCCACGAACUCUAAAAUGGACAAACACUCACCAGUCACCAACAAAGUUAGGUAUUGAUACGGAAUAGGGACUUUACAAGUGAUGAACUACUGGUCAAAAAAAGAAAAGAACUACAACCCUAUUUUAGGUGGAAGUAGAACCCAACUAGGGUUGGGAAUAGACCAGACCGGUCUAUAGGGGCCUAUGGCCUGAUCUGUUUAAGUCUGGCCUGACCUAACCUGUUUAUUAAAAAGGCUAAGUUUAGGCUUUUUAAAAAGUCUAUUUAAGUAAAUAGGUCAGACUUAAGCUAUCAAAAAAGCUUAUGAAGCCUAAUAGGCCGGCCUGUUUAUAUAUGUUAGGCUUCAUAGUGGACUUUUUAAAUAUGCUUUAAAGCUUUAGAGUGAAAUAAGCUUUUAAGGCCUAAUAGUAGUGAUAGACAAGUCUUACACUGAAAUAGGCUUUGAGGCCUAUUAAUCCUAUUUAAAAGUAUAUAAAAUGGAAUGUUUAGUGACUUUAAUAGUAAGUAGGCCUGUAAAUAGGCUUUCAGGCCAGGUUAGGCUUUUAAAUAGGCCAGACAAGACCAAAAAAAUAGGCCUAUGAAAGGCCAUAGGCCAGGCUCAGACCUGCAAAUUUUUUCGUAGGUCAGGCUCAAGUCUAUCAAAGCCUGACCUGGUCUGACCUAUUCCCAACCUUAAACCCAACCCAACUACAUACACCUCAAAUAAGAUUUCAUGCAACAAUAGAAUGACAAAAUAUAUGCAUAUGCACUCGGGUGCUAAAAUAAUUACACAAAAGGCAAAUCAAAUCCUCUAGUAAUCUUGUUAAAAAAAAAAAUCUUUGUAGCCCAUAUAUAAAUAAGCAACAAAAAUAAAAAUUUCUCUUUAAUAUAGUUAUAAAUGAGUGAGUCGUAGGGACAUUAUGUAUUAUAUGCAUAUGUCGGGGUUCAAAUUUUGGACAUUCUAUUUAUUCAUCUUUAAAUGAUAAUUUUUUUUUUGGUCAAGUAGUCUAGUGGCUAGAGCUCACACAAUUUAAUUGUGGAGAAGUGAGGUGUCCAGGGUUCGAAUCCCGGCCCCUACAUAUAAAUAUGCAAUAUCCCUACCAACUGAGCUAAACUAUUUAAAAAAGAAAAGGAAAUGUGUGAGUCAAACUCACCUCAACUUAACUCGAUAUCAAUUGAUUUAUCUCACUCUCAAAACUCGACUCGCGUUUAAUAAAAGCUUUUUUUUUUUUAUCUUAAACUUGAAUCGUUUCAAAUUUACAAACAACUUGAUUAAGCUGGAAUUAAACAAUUCAAAAGUUUUUUUUCUUUCUUUUUUACACUUUUGAAUUAAUUUUUCAUUAACAACAUAAAUAUUAUAUUAAAAUAAAGGAGUAAUAAUCAUUUUGGUCACUGUAUGUGUAAAUAGCCAUUUAAUGUAUCAAAAUUUUAAAAUAAUUUUUGAUUGUUCAUUUCGUUAGUCAAAACAGUCCCUGAUGUUAAAAUAUUUAACUAAUUUUGUCAUGUCAGUCUGAAGUGACUAUUACCAAUUGUAACGAACACAAAAAUUGCAAAAUAUUCAAAAAAUAAAUAAAUAAAUAAAUCAUAUAUAAUUGAAUCAACUCAGGAAAAAAGAAAAACAAGGUGAGAUUUAAUAUAUCUUUUGAAUAGCUCUCUUCCCAUUCUCGCUUGUGAGUCAUCACAAAAACCAUAGUUUUUUCUCCUUUAUCCACUAAAGAGGGGUGAUUUAGGAUCAAUUUGAUUCAAAAUCUUUUCGUUUUAUUGAAAUAAGUGAUUUUCACAUCUAUUUCGUUUUUUCUUUCGUGAUUUCGUCGUCUUAGUGCGACAUUGUUUGUCUUUCUUGUUUCGCUCAAGUAUUUGCUCAAUUCAGAUUGUCAGAUCAGAUUCGAUCUAGUGCAGAUCAAAUGAAUGACUUUGGAACCGUCAACGUUGCAGAUUCGAAAACAUGAGUAUUUCAGAGACUUAAAUAUAAUCAUGUAGACUUUAGUACUUUGCCGUUUUAUGCUAUUAACAUGGAUGCUGUGAGUUUCUUCACAUAUUUAUAUCUUUUUUCUAGCGAAUUUUUAUUAUAUCGAUGUACUCUAUCAAUUUAAAUGAAUAAAUAUCGUUUAUUUUUGUAAAAAGUAAAAUAAAAAAUAAACCAUACAGUCAAAUUUAUAAAUCAAAUUUAACUCAUUUAAUUUCAUAUCAAAUUCAACUUAGUUGAUUUAUGAAUCAAAUUCAAAAAAUUAAUCAUAAAAUCAACAUUUUAAACUACGACAAAGUUGAUUGGGUUCAUCUUAUUAUUAGUCGCCAAUAAUGGUGAGCACGACUAAACGAGGCACCGCGUUACCAACUGACCAAGCAACUAGAUAGAUCAACUUUCUUUCCACUCCCCACUUUCAACUCAAACACAAAAGCACUUCUUCAUUCUUACACCCCCCACGAUCUUCAAACAAACCCCUCUAUCAUUUUUCAUCUCCAACCUCAAAAAACUUCCCCAGAUUCCUCAAAAAACUCAUCACCAUGAUGCAAUCUUCUCACAGGGUACCCAAACUGGGUUCCUUCCGUCACAGUUUCCUUGAAAAAAAGGAAAAACUCAUGUCAAUGAAAGGUGGCGGUGGCGGUGGGUAUUCACAAAUCGGCAUCCCUUUACCGGAAUCCGACGAUGAUGAUGACUACAUUCAACGACGACGGUGGUGUUCGUUUCGAGGAUUCUCAGAUGGGAUCGUAGAGUUUUGGAAGAAAUCAAAGCGUGUGGCGGGUAGAGCAUGGGAGAUGGGUGUGUCUGAUCCAAGGAAGUUUGUGUUUUCAGCUAAGAUGGGUUUAGCUUUGAUUUUGAUUUCGUUGUUGAUUUUUCUUAAACAACCGUUUCCGGAUGUUGGGAAGUACUCUGUUUGGGCUAUUCUUACUGUUGUUGUCGUCUUUGAGUUCAGUAUAGGUAAAUAAUACUAAUCUUUUACUACUUCACUUUAGCACCGAUACUUCUGAUCGAAUGUCUAUGUGUUCUCGUCUGACACUGUCGAUUAUAAUGAUUACAUUCAAUUAUGUCAUUUUAUCAUAUUAUUACACCGGUCAAAUUAUUUCAACCAACGACAUUGUAGUGUCUUGUUCGAUAUACAUGUAACCGUGUUUGUGUUGCUGCUUCGUAGGGACAUUAUAUAAUAUAGGUAGGGGCGGAAUUUGACAAAAAAAAAAAAAAUUCAACAAAGUUGAUGUAUUAGAUUAAUAAUUUAAAUUUGAUGCAUCGACUAGAGGAUCACUACUCCAUACCAAAUAGAGAAACAUUCACAAUCAUUUUUUGUUUAGUUGUUUUAUUUAUAUAAAGUCGUGUGUAAUUUUGAAUCUUUGAUUUUAAAAUAAUUUGUGAGUCAAUUUUACUGUAGUAAAGUUGUUGAAAUUAGAAAAUAUAUCCAUGAACCGAAAUUUGUUUCUAUUUUUAGUAAUUUUAUGACAACACUAGAUAGACAGUUUUCAAAAUAUAGAGUACCAAACAAACUAACUGACACAAGAUAUAGAGUACCAAACAAUGGUCUAAGUCAAACUGACGAGUUAUUUGUCAAAGUUGUUUUUGUUUUUUUCUAUCAGCGAUUAUUUUUUAGUUUUCAAAAUUACAAGUGGCAAUUUUUUUAUAUAAAAAUUGGGAAGGAGAAACUUUGUGGUUAUAAUAAUGAUCAUUUUACAAUCAAAAUCAUUGAGAAUGAUGUUUUUUUUUUAUCCAAUUGUAAGAAUGAUGGUGAUGAUAUGAUAUCAUUAAAACAUGUGAUUGUAUAAAAGCAAAUUUGAAACUUGUAAUUUUAUGAAUAAAUAAAGUAAAUAAAGGAGUGUUAAUUAGCACUCUAGUAAAUAAAUAAAUAAGUAAAGGAGUGUUAAUUAGCACUUCAGUAGAUAAAUAAAUAAAUAAAUAAAUAAAUAAAGGAGUGUUAAUUAGCAAAUUUUCUGAAGAAAUUUGAUUACAAAAUUUGACCAUGGUCAUGGGAUAUAGAAUUGUUCAUACCUAUGUAAAUGUUGUUAAAUUUAGCAGAAUUUCGCUGGUUAUCCUAGAACCACUUGGUUGAAAAUUUUCUCUUCUACCUUGGUGACCUAGGUUUGAUACUAUGGCACACCGAAGAUAAUUUAGCAGUAUUUAAAUUUAAUAGUAUUCAAUUUGUGAUAAUGAAACCACAUGUUAUAAACAUUUCUGCUGCAUGUUCCAAAGUCACUGUUUUGCUUAUUCAAGUCAAUUGUAUAAUGUUCAUAAACUCUCUGUUAUUAAAUUGAAAUACAGUUGACUUAAGUACACUUUAUAAAUAAAAAUCCAUGUCCUGCGUUGACUAUGGAUAUGACUUAAGUAGAACUCGUAUAGCUUAGACAAUCCUCACCUUACAAGUCGAUUGUAAAGCUUAGACAGUCCUCAAUUUACAAAUCGAUUUUGUAGACUUUAGUUUGACCUUAAACUUGAAAUGGUAUUAUAAUAUAUGCUAGAUCUGUUGUUGAGCCACGAUAUGACAAGUCCGACAUAUGGCUUGAAUAGAUCUUAUAAAAUUUAUACAACGCUUCAAUAUAAAGCGUUAGAAGUUCACACAUUACAUACUAGUUUUAUUUUAUUAGGUUGAGUUAGGUCCAAAACCUAAAAACCUAUCAUCGAGCUUUCCAUUGGGUCAACAAGACAAGCAUAAGUAUAAACUUUUCACUUAUGAACAAUAAUUAGUCACAAUAUAUUUGUGCAGGAGCAACUCUUAGCAAAGGUCUAAACAGAGGAUUAGGGACUUUAUCAGCUGGAGGACUUGCUUUAGCAUUGGGAAUGCUAUCAAAAUUGGCUGGACCUGGACAGUGGGAAGAAAUUGUAAUCAUGAUUAGCAUCUUCAUUGUAGGUCUGAUUUUUUAAUCACUUUCAUCUAAUCUCCUUUUUCCUUAGCUUAUACCUUGUUUUUCUGAUAGUAUGCUAUGUGAUUUGUAGGAUUUUGUGCCACAUAUGCAAAACUAUAUCCAACAAUGAAGGCUUAUGAAUAUGGAUUCCGUGUGUUCUUGAUCACCUAUUGUUACGUUAUUGUAUCUGGAUAUCGAACCGGAGACUUUCUUCAUACAGCAACAAACAGAUUUUUGCUCAUUGCUCUUGGUGCUGCUGUAUCUGUUGGCGUAAAUGUGUGCAUAUAUCCAAUAUGGGCCGGUGAAGAUCUACAUUAUCUUGUCGCGAAAAAUUUCACAGGCGUAGCAACAUCAUUAGAAGGUUGAACCCAAUAUACUUUUCUUGCUUAUUAAAAUUUACAACAUUUAAGGCCCGUUUGGAUACUGGCAUAAACACUUGUGAGAUUGGUUAGGCGAGCUUAUGAAAACGACUUAUGACAUGGCCAUUAACUAUUUUCAGCUUAUUGCCACAAGCUCACCAGGAUAGCUUAUGAAAACAGCUCUUAUAAUUUAUAUGAAACAUUUUGACUUUAUUUUAUUUUUUGUUCUAGAAAGAGCUUAUGCAUAUAUACCAUAAGCACUUAAUUAAGUUGUUUAUCCAAACAGAAGCUUAAUUUGUAAUAAACAUCUACUCUAACAUUUAGUUUUGCUGCUUCAUAACCUUAUUUCUUCUGUUGAAUAACUUUUAAGUUUCUUUUCAGGUGUUGUAAAUAACUACCUUAACUGUGUCGAAUACGAUAGGGUGCCAUCGAAAAUUCUUACGUAUCAAGCUUCUGAUGAUGUGGUUUACAGCGGUUACAGAUCAGCUGUUGAAUCUACAAGCACAGAAGAUGCAUUGGUAUUACCUUUUUCUACUUAAGUUCUCAGUCUAUUUUAUGAAGAAAAAAUUGUUCAUCUUUCUGACUUAUCGUUGCGUUUGUGUGUUGUUGAUUGGGAAGAUGAGUUUUGCUAUUUGGGAGCCACCUCAUGGUCGUUACAAAAUGUUUAGAUAUCCAUGGAAAAAUUAUGUUAAAGUAAGUGGAGCACUCAGGCAUUGUGCAUUUAUGGUGAUGGCUAUGCAUGGAUGUAUACUUUCUGAAAUACAGGUACUUAUCUAGCAACUUUUUCUAUGUAGCAACUUUUUCUGUUUGAUAUUAGCCUUUACUUCAGUUUUUUUGUGUCGGUGUCUGACACAUACAUGUGUCGAAUACCAGACACAGCUUUAAUAUGAAGCGUCGGCGCUACAUAGUUGAUACAUGUUUCCAGAAAUGACUAUUUGUUCAAUUGUUGCGUUUGAUUCUUGGAAUGUAAGAGAUGUUUCAUCUAAACUGAUAUGAACCACAAAACUUAACCAUUUUGCUUUAUAGGAAAAACUUCCCAGUUCCCACUGAUUGUAAAGUACAAAUUUGUAUUAUAAACUAUUUUGUCAUUGUUGAACUCUCAAGUUUCCUCUUUCUGUUAUCCUCUACCCCUUCAUAUCAAAUUCAAGAAUAUUCUUAUUGUUCCUAACUAGAGAUGUUGCAUGAGUCUUAGUCUUAAUGGUUUCCUGUAUAGGAUUAUGAUAGUAGUUUGUAAGAAGACUCUCAAUUAUAUCAUUGUGGUAUAAGUUAGCUUAAUUAUGUCCAUAUAUGCUAAUUGUUGCUUCUACAUGUGUGUGAUGUUAUGGUUUCUUAAUCAUAAUAAGUAACUAGAAUACUGCUAGGUGGCGCCCUCUGCACAAUGUUAUCAAUCACAGAUCGCAGAAAAUAGGUGUUUGUUCAAAUUCUACUAUGCCGCAGUCACUAUUUGACAACGCUUGGUACUAACUCAUGUAUGGUGCAACAACAAUAGCGCUUUGAUUAAAUUCCUCUACGCUAUAGCGCUGAUAUAUCUGCUAUUUGACAACACUCCUCUGCACCACUUGAUUAGCAUUUAAAUUUGUUCUUUUUCAACCUACUAAACCUCCUUUUUGUGAAAUAGGCUCCAGCGGAGAAGAGACAAGUUUUCCGCAAAGAGCUUAAGAAGGUAAGUUCUGAAGCGACUAAAGUUCUACGUGAACUCGGUAACAAAGUUAAAAAGAUGGAGAAACUAGGCGAAGAAGACAUUCUUUUUGAAGUACAUGAAGCAGUAGAAGAAUUACAACAAAAGAUCGACAAAAAAUCUUUCAUUCUUGUAAAUGCCGAGCUGUGGGAAAUCGGUAACAGGCCAAGAAACGAGAAUGUUUCUCAAGACCUCUUACAAAUGGAUGAAGAAAGACAUUUCUUGGAGUACAAGUCACUAAGUGAAGCUGUGCUUGAUUUAAGAUCAGUUAGAGUUCCAAAAAGUUGGGAAGAAAAUCUUGUUACACCCGACAACAUCAUUAAACCUGCUAAUGUUGUUACCGACGAAAACAUGUUUAGGAAACCAGGAACUUUGUCUGCACAUCUUUCAUUUCAAGAAGAUCCAACAACAAAAGUGGAAGAAUCAAAAACCUAUGAAAGUGCUAGUUCGUUAACUUUGGCAACAUUCUCAUCACUUCUGAUUGAAUUUGUGGCUAGGCUACAAAACCUUGUUGAUUCUUUUGAAGAAUUAGGUGAGAAAGCGAAGUUUAAGGACCCUCUUGAACAACAAGAACUUGUAACAUCUGGUUGGACUAGGUUGUUUAAUUGUUUCAAAUCUAAGGAUUGACAUAUACACUUACACUUUGUAACAUGUAUCAAGGAAAGAUCUAAAUGUUGGAGUAAAACAAUUUUACACUCACAUAAUAAAGUUGCAUCAUUUUGCCACAUCACUCCGCUUUUGUAAAAAUAAUUUGGGAGAGCAUGAUUUGGGAGUGCAUUAUAAUGAUAUAACCCAAUAACUUUGAAUGAAAAAAAAAUUGAAAGUAUUAAGAAAAAAAAUACACUUACUAAUUUGAAAUAUCCAAUCACAAUUUUCUAUCUUACAUUAUUCGGCAGAGCAUGAUAAUGAUGUAACCCAAUAACUUUGAAUGAAAAUUCUCUCAAUCUAUAGUUGAUUGUAAACUAUUUUUCUUUUCUCGUAUUAGUUUCAUGUUUAAAAAUAGGCAAGUACUAAGAAAUACUCUAAAAACUUAAAGAACUAAAUAUAGAAAUAAUAUUUUGAAAGGGGUGUAUUCAACACUUAAAAAAGUUAAAUUAUAAAUAAAAUACUUAAAAAUCCAAUUUUUUUUUAAUAUUACAUUUAUACUUUUUAAUUCCUUAACAUGCAAGUCCCUUAAAAUUAAUCAAUCAAGAUAAUUUUUUUGGUGAUGUAUGGGAUUCGAAUUCCGAACUUUACAUAUUUUAAUGCAUUGUCUUUACUAACUCUAACUGAACUAAUUAAAUAAGUGACCGGAUUUAAAACAAUAAUUUUACAAAAAUUAUUUAAGUGAAAAAAUCUUCUUCCGGGUCGGAUCCACUCAUUCCAGAUCCAAAAAACCCAAUUAAAAAAAUCUCCACCCAAAUAACAAAUCAAACCAACUUUUACACCUUCAAGAAAAUGGUGAUUUUCUCGAGAAAAUUCUAACAACACCAAAAUUUUCUCUCCAUUUCCAAACACAUCAGAUCCAAUCCAAUCCAAAUUCCUCUCCACUCUUCAAUCUCCUUCAGGUUCAUCAUCACUCCUUCAUCCUCUUCCUCUUCCUUUUCCAAUUUUUCCAUUUUUUAAAUAAUUGUUCUUUAAAUUCAUUCUAAUCACGCUAUUUUUCU
rnacentral:lncRNA from 1 species